rnacentral:lncRNA from 1 species
UUUUUUUGUAGUGAUAAUCCACCUCGGUCAUAUCGUAGCGGUGCUUAGACGAAGCCCUGCGUCGGUAGCAUCAUCAUCUCCGUCAUCACGCUGUCGUGCUGACGGAACUCUCCUUCGAAACUCUGCUGGAUCGGAGUUCGUGGGACGUCACCGAGCUGAAUGUGUGCUGAACUCGGAGGUGCCGUGCGUUCGGUACUUGGAUCAGUCAGAUCGUGAAGACGUACGACUACAUCAACCGCGUUCUCAUAACGCUUCCGCUUACGGUCUACGAGGGUAUGUGGACGACACGCUCCCCUCUUGUUGCUAUGCAUCACCAUGAUCUUGCGUGUGCGUAGGAAAAUUUUGAAAUUACUACGUUCCCCAACAGUGGCAUCCGAGCCAGGUUUAUGCGUAGAUGUUAUAUGCACGAGUAGAACACAAGUGAGUUGUGGGCGAUACAAGUCAUACUGCUUACCAGCAUGUCAUACUUUGAUUCGGCGGUAUUGUUGGAUGAAGCGGUCCGGACCGACAUUACGCGUACGCUUACGCAAGACUGGUUCUACCGACAUGCUUUCACACAGGUGGCUGGCGGGUGUCAGUUUCUCCAACUUUAUUUGAAUCGAGUGUGGCUACACCCGGUCCUUGUGAAGGUUAAAACAACACAUACUUGAUGAAAUAUCGUUGUGGUUUUGAUGCAUAGGUAAGAACGGUUCUUGCUCAGCCCAUAGCAGCCACGUAAAACUUGCAACAACAAAGUAGAGGACGUCUAACUUGUUUUUGCAGGGCAUGUUGUGAUGUGAUAUGGUGAAGACAUGAUGCUAAAUUUUAUUGUAUGAGAUGAUCAUGUUUUGUAAUCGAGUUAUCGGCAACUCGCAGGAGCCAUAUGGUUGUCGCUUUAUUGUAUGAAAUGCAAUUGCCAUGUAAUUGCUUUACUUUAUCACUAAGCGGUAGUGAUAGUCGUACAAGCAAUAGUUGGCGAGACGACAACGAUGCUACGAUGGAGAUCAAGGUGUCGCGCCGGUGACGAUGGUGAUCAUGACGGUGCUUUGGAGAUGGAGAUCAAAGGCACAAGAUGAUGAUGGCCAUAUCAUAUCACUUAUAUUGAUUGCAUGUGAUGUUUAUAUUUUAUGCAUCAUAUUUUGCUUAGAUCGACAGUAGCAUUAUAAGAUGAUCUCUCACUAAAUUUCAAGGUAUAAGUGUUCUCCCUGAGUAUGUACCAUUGUGGAAGUUCGUCGUGCCGAGACACCACGUGAUGAUCGGGUGUGAUAAGCUCUACGUUCACAUACAACGGGUGCAAGCCAGUUUUGCACACGCAGAAUACUCGGGUUAAACUUGACAAGCCUAGCAUAUGCAGAUAUGGCCUCUGAACACUUAGACCGAAAGUUCAAGCAUGAAUCAUAUAGUAGAUAUGAUCAACAUAGUGAUGUUCACCAUUGAAAACUACUCCAUCUCACGUGAUGAUCGGACAUGGUUUAGUUGAUAUGGAUCACGUGAUCACUUAGAUGAUUAGAGGGAUGUCUGUCUAAGUGGGAGUUCUUAAGUAAUAUGAUUAAUUAUACUUUAAUUUAUCAUGAACUUAGUACCUAAUAGUAUUUGCUUCUCUAUGUUGUUGUAGAUAGAUGACCCAUGAUGUCGUUAUGUUGAAUUUUAAUGCGUUCCUUGAGAAAGCAAAGUUGAAAGAUGAUGGUAGCAAUUACACGGACAGGGUCCGUAACUUGAGGAUUGUCCUUAUUGCUGCACAGAAGAAUUACAUCCUGGAAGCACCGCUAGGUGCCAAACCCGUUGUAGGAGCAACGCCAGAUGUUAUGAACAUCUCGCAGAGCAAAGCUGAUGACUACUCGAUAGUUCAGUGUGCCAUGCUUUACGGCUUAGAACUGGGACUUCAACGACGUUUUGAACGUCAUGGAGCAUAUGAGAUGUUCCAGGAGUUGAAGUUAAUAUUUCAAGAAAAUGCCCGAAUUGAGAGAUAUGAAGUCUCCAAUAAGUUCUACAGCUGCAAGAUGGAGGAAAAUAGUUCUGUAAGUGAGCAUAUACUCAAAAUGUCUGGGUAUAACAAUCACUUGAUUCAACUGGGGGUUAAUCUUCCUGCUGAUAGUGUCAUUGACAGAAUUCUUCAAUCACUGCCACCAAGCUACAAGAGCUUCGUGAUGAACUAUAAUAUGCAAGGGGUGGAUAAGACAAUUCCCGAGCUCUUCGCAAUGCCAAAGGCUGCGGAGGUAGAAAUCAAGAAGGAGCAUCAAGUGUUGAUGGUCAACAAGACCACCAGUUUCAAGAAAAAGGGUAAAGGGGAGAAGGGGAACUUCAAGAAGAACGGCAAGCAAGUUGCUGCUCAAGUGAAGAAGCCCAAGUCUGGACCUAAGCCUGAGACUAAGUGCUUCUACUACAAAGGGACUGGUCACUGGAAGCAGAACUGCCCCAAGUAUUUGGCGGAUAAGAAGGAUGGCAAGGUGAACAAAGGUAUAUGUGAUAUACAUGUUAUUGAUGUGUACCUUACUAAUGCUCGCAGUAGCACCUGGGUAUUCGAUACUGGUUCUGUUGCUAAUAUUUGCAACUCGAAACAGGGACUACGGAUUAAGCGAAGAUUGGCUAAGGACGAGGUGAUGAUGCGCGUGGGAAAUGGUUCCAAAGUCGAUGUAAUCGCGGUCGGCAUGCUACCUCUACAUCUACCUUCGGGAUUAGUUUGAUACCUGAAUAAUUGUUAUUUGGUGCUAGCGUUGAGCAUGAACAUUAUAUCUGGAUCUUGUUUGAUGCGAGAUGGAUAUUCAUUUAAAUCUGAGAAUAAUGGUUGUUCUAUUUAUAUGAGUAAUAUCUUUUAUGGACAUGCACCCUUGUAGAGUGGUCUACUUUUGAUGAAUCUCGAUAGUCGUGAUACACAUAUUCAUAAUAUUGAAGCUAAAAUAUGCAGAGUUGAUAAUGAUAGUGCAACUUAUUUGUGGCACUGCCGUUUAGGUCAUAUUGGUGUAAAGCGCAUGAAGAAACUCCAUUCUGAUGGACUUUUGGAAUCACUUGAUUAUGAAUCACUUGGUACUUGCGAACCAUGCCUCAUGGGCAAGAUGACUAAAACGUCGUUCUCCGGAACUAUGGAGCAAGCAACAGAUUUGUUGGAAAUCAUACAUACUGAUGUAUAUGGUCCAAUGAAUGUUGAGGCUCGCGGCGGGUAUCGUAAUUUUCUCACCUUCACAGAUGAUUUGAGAAGAUAUGGGUAUAUCUACUUGAUGAAACAUAAGUCUCAAACAUUUGAAAAGUUCAAAGAAUUUCAGAUUGAAGUGGAAAAUCAUCGUAACAAGAAAAUAAAGUUUCUACGAUCUGAUCAUGGAGGAGAAUAUUUGAGUUACGAGUUUGGUCUUCAUUUGAAACAAUGCGGAAUAGUUUCGCAACUCACGCCACCCGGAACACCACAGCUUAAUGGUGUGUCUGAACAUCGUAAUCGUACUUUACUAGAUAUGGUGCGAUCUAUGAUGUCUCUUACUAAUUUGCCGCUAUCAUUUUGGGGUUAUGCUUUAGAGAUGGCUGCAUUCACGUUAAAUAGGGCACCAUCUAAAUCUGUUGAGACGACGCCUUAUGAACUGUGGUUUGGCAAGAAACCAAAGUUGUCGUUUCUUAAAGUUUGGGGCUGCGAUGCUUAUGUGAAAAAGCUUCAACCUGAUAAGCUCGAACCCAAAUCAGAGAAAAGUGUCUUCAUAGGAUACCCAAAGGAGACUGUUGGGUACAUCUUCUAUCACAGAUCCGAAGGCAAGACAUUCGUUGCUAAGAAUGGAUCCUUUCUAGAGAAGGAGUUUCUCUCGAAAGAAGUGAGUGGGAGGAAAGUAGAACUUGAUGAGGUAACUGUACCUGCUCCCUUAUUGGAAAGUAGUUCAUCACAGAAAUCUGUUCCCAUGACUCCUACACCAAUUAGUGAGGAAGCUAAUGGUGAUGAUCAUAUGACUUCAGAUCAAGCUACUACUGAACCUCGUAGGUCAACCAGAGUAAGAUCUGCACCAGAGUGGUACGGUAAUCAUGUUCUGGAGGUCAUCUUACUAGACCAUGACGAACCUAUGAACUAUGAGGAAGCGAUGAUGAGCCCAGAUUCCGCAAAAUGGCUUGAGGUCAUGAAAUCUGAGAUGGGAUCCAUGUAUGAGAACAAAGUGUGGACUUUGGUUGACUUGCCCGAUGAUCGGCAAGCCGUCGAGAAUAAAUGGAUCUUCAAUAAGAAGACUCAUGUUGAUGGUAAUGUUACUGUCUACAAAGUUCGACUUGUUGUGAAAGGUUUUUGACAAGUUCAAGGAGUUGACUACGCUGAGACUUUCUCACCCGUAGCGAUGCUUAAGUCCAUCCAAAUCAUGUUAGCAAUUGCCACAUUUUAUGAUUAUGAAAUUUGGCAAAUGGAUGUAAAGACUGCGUUCCUGAAUGGAUUUAUGGAAAAAGAGUUGUAUAUGAUGCAACCUGAAGGUUUUAUCGAUCCAAAGGAUGCUAACAAAGUGUGCAAGCUCCAACGAUCCAUCUAUGGACUGGUGCAAGCAUCUCGGACUUGGAAUAAACGUUUUGAUAGUGUGAUCAAAGCAUAUGGUUUUAUACAGACUUUUGGAGAAGCCUGUAUUUACAAGAAAGUGAGUGGGAGCUCUGUAGCAUUUCUAAUAUUAUAUGUGGAUGACAUAUUGUUGAUUGGAAAUGAUAUAGAAUUUCUGGAUAGCAUAAAAGGAUACUUGAAUAAGAGUUUUUCAAUGAAAGACCUCGGUGAAGCUGCUUAUAUGUUGGGCAUCAAGAUCUAUAGAGAUAGAUCAAGACGCCUCAUUGGACUUUCACAAAGCACAUACCUUAAUAAAGUUUUAAAGAAGUUCAAAAUGGAUCAAGCAAAGAAAGGGUUCUUGCCUAUGUUAUAAGGUGUGAAGUUGAGUCAGACUCAAUGCCCGACCACUGCAGAAGAUAGAGAGAAAAUGAAAAAUGUUCCCUAUGCUUCAGCCAUAGGCUCUAUCAUGUAUGCAAUGUUGUGUACCAGACCUGAUGUGUGUCUUGCUAUUAGUUUAGGGGGAGGUACCAAAAUAAUCCAGGAGUGGAUCACUGGACAGCGGUCAAGAACAUCCUGAAAUACCUGAAAAGGACUAAGGAUAUGUUUGUAACACCCACAAUGCGGCUAUAUCUCCCACGUGUCGGGGCACGACUUAGAGGCAUAGCCGCAUGGUAGGCUUAUCGCAAGAGGGGUAAUCUGUAGAGAAAAUUCCUUAUUUGACACUAUCUUAAAAUCUGUUUCCUUAUUUGACACUGGAAAAGUUUUUCUUCCCUAUUUGACACAAGUUCUAAAUUUUAUUCCCUAUAUGACAUUUCCGUCCAUUUUGAGCCUAAAUGACACAUGAAAAGAUUCUUUUGCCCCUCAUGUGGUAUGUGUGUGAGGGGCAAUAGCGCACGCACGCAGCAUCAGUGCGAGGGAAAGAGAACACACGCAGCAACACAUACACAUGUACCAACACACACGCACGCGCGCACACACGCAACAACACGCACGCGCACGUGCACACACACACACGCAACAACAUGCACGCGCACGUGCACACACACACACGCACACACGCGGCAACACACAUGCACGCGCACACACACGCAGCAACACACACGCACACAGCACACACACAUACACACACACGCAGCAGCAGCACACACACAGGCAACACAUAGGCACGCAACAACACACACACACACGCGCGCGCACGUACACACGCAGUAGCAAACACACACUACAGCACACAUGCACACACACACAUGUGCGCGUGCACCCACACACGCAACAGCACACACGUGCGCGCACACACAUACCGCAUGAGGGGCAAAAUCGUCUUUUCAGGUGUCAUUUAGGCUUAAAAUGGACAGAAGUGUCGUAUAGGGAAUAAAAUUUAGGACUAGUGUCAAAUAGGGAAGAAUAACUUUUCCAGUGUCAAAUAAGGAACCAGAUUUUAAGACAGUGUCAAAUAAGGAAUUUUCUCUAAUUCUGUACACAUCCCAUGUACUGAAUAAGAAAGGGAUAAAGAGUUGGCUUACAAUCGCCACUUCACACAAUACAUAAAUAAUUCAUACAUCAUCCAAAGUACAAUCAAAGGUACGACUAUGGAACCAAAAUAAAAGAAGACAACCCCAAAUGAUAGAUCCCCGAUCGUCCCAACUGGGCUCCACUACUGAUCAUCAGAAAAAGAAACAUAAUAACGACCCAAGUCUUCGCCAAAUUCCCACUUGAGUUCGGUAGCAUCACUUGCACUGGUAUCCUCGGCACCUGCAACUAUUUGGAAGUAUCCAUGAGUUAUGGUGACUCGGCAAUCUCACACCCGUGAGAUCAAGACUAUUUAAGCUUAUGGGUAGGAAAGGGUAAUGAGGUGGAGCUGCAGCAAGCGCUAAGCAAAUAUGGUGGCUAACAUACGCAAAUAAGAGCAAGAAGAGAAGCAACGCAACGGUCGAGAAGCUAGAAGUGAUCAAGAAGUGAUCCUGAAACUGCUUACGUUCAAACAUAACUCCAAAACCGUGUUCACUUCCCGGACAUCCGCCGAAAAGAGACCAUCACGGCUACACACGCGGUUGAUGUAUUUUAAUUAAGUUAAGUGUCAAGUUCUCUACAACCGGACAUUAACAAAUUCCCAUCUGCCACAUAAUCGCGGGCACGGCUCUCGAAAGUUUAUACCCUGCAGGGAUGUCCCAACUUAGCCCAUCACAAGCUCUCACGGUCAAUGAAGGAUAUUCCUUCUCCCAGGAAGACCCAAUCAGUCUCGGAAUCCCAGUUACAAGACAUUUCGACAAUGGUAAAACAAGACCAGCAAAGCCGCCCGAUGUGCCAAGAAUCCCGAUAGGAGCUGCACAUAUCUCGUUCUCAGGGCAACACCGGAUAAGAAAUCCGUACAACUAAAACCAACCCUCAAGUUUCCCCGAGGUGGCGCUGCAAGGGGCUCUAGUUCAGACCAACACUUAGAGAAGCACUGGCCCGGGGGGGUUAAAAUAAAGAUGACCCUCGGGUCUGCAGAACCCAAGGGAAGGUAUAGGUUGUUAGGGAAAUGUAAAACCAAGGUUGGGCCUUGCUGGGGGAGUUUUAUUCAAAGCGAACUGUCAAGGGGUUCCCAUAACACCCAACCGCAUUAGGAACGCAAAAUCAAGGAACAUAAAACCGGAACGACGGAAACUAGUGCGGCAAGAGUGGAACAAAACACCAGGCAUAAGGUCGAGCCUUCCACCCUCUACCAAGUGUACAGAUGCAUUAAUUAAAUAAGAGAUAAGUGAUAUCCCAACAUAUCCAUGUACCAACAUGGAACAAACUUCAACUUCACCUGCAACUAGCAACGCUAAAAGAGGGGCUGAGAAAAAGCGGUAACUUAGCCAAAUAACAGUUUGCUGAGAAGGUGGGUUAGAUGAUUGACAUGGCAAUAUGGGAGGCAUGAUAUAACAAGUGGUAGGCAGCGCAACAUAACAAUAGAGCGAACAACUAGCAAGCAAAGAUAGAAGUGAUUUCGAGGGUAUGAUCAUCUUGCCUGAGAUCCCGCAAGGGAGAAGAACGAGUCCAUGAAGAAGACAAACGGAUGUAGUCGAACGAAUCCUCACACCUCCGGAACGAAACCGAAGCUUCGGAGCGUGCGUUUUCGAAGCGCAUCGAGUUCGUCAAGGGAAGUAGUCGUUCACGGCCAUCGUGGAAGUCACGGUACAGGUUCGGGAAGCGGUAGAGAUACUGGUCUUCGACAACGGUCGUCGUACACGUUCCGAGGUCGUGGGUAGAGUUUCUCGCGAUCUCGGCGACGGUAGUGGAAGUAGAUGUUCAUGGCGACGGCAGUAGAAGUAGUGGUAUUAUCGGUCCUCGACAGUAGUGGUACACGUUUCGAAGAGGAACUUGACGAAUCCGGGUAACUUGGGGGUCGACGGUAGUCGUUCACGUUCAUAGUUGCACGAGUUUCUGUAGAUGUUCAGAGUCAUGGUAAGGAACUUGACGCAUCGUUGAACUUGGCGUCCGAGGAAUCCCGCGUAGUACACGAGUCGUAGUCGAACUUGACGGUUCCGUUACACGGUUCUUUGUAGAAGAUAGUCGUACACGGAUCUUCAGCCACGGUAGUUGUACACACGUUCAGAGAGAAACUCGGCAUAACCAAGUACUUGGCGUUCUGGUGUGGUAGUCGUACUUGCGGUCUUGACGGUACAACACGAAACAACACAAGGGUCAGCAGCAAGGAGGCGAUGGUGGUGGUCGAACGAGGCAGGGGCCAGGGGCAGCGAAGCAACAGCAACGUGCGGGCACCGAUGGGCGCCAUGGCCGUGAGGAGGAGGGGCUCUGCACGAGACCAGCAGCGAGGCAUGCAGGCGUGCCGGUGGAUGCAGAGGGUCGCCGGUCAGCGGAGGUACGAUGGUGCGCCGGUAGCAGGAGGCGAAGGCGAAGUGGCUGGCGUCGGCCUUGGCGCGAAGCAAGGAGGCGGAGCUCCUGCUCGAGCAGAGGGCUCGGGCGUGGGUCUUGAGGUGCCGGAGACGGGAACGGGACCCUGCUGGCGGGAUCCGGCCGGGAACGGGCGAGGACGGCGGAGGCCGGUCGGAUCAGGUGGUGGAGACGAGGAACUCCGGCAGGGACGGCGGCAAGGUCACGGGGUCGGGCGCCGCGCCAUGGAGAGGCGACCAAAGGGCAGGAGGCACGGACGCCAAGGCAAGGCGAGCGCAGCGCUGCGUGUGGGGCUGGGAGGCCGCGCAUAGGAGGGGAUGAGGGAGAGGGGCGAUGGGAGAUGGGGAACGAGCGCAGGGGAGCUCCUCUCCCUGGCGAUGCGAGGCGGCGGCAUGAGGAUGGAGGGGAUCGAGGGAGAGAACGAGAGGAGGAGGUCGGGGCUCGAGGCGUAGGAUUAGGAAGGCAGGGGCCGGCUGGGCCUAAAGGGGCAAAUGGGCCGGUGCUGGUGGUUGGGAGGUUGGGAGGCCCAGGUGGCCCGAUAGGCUGGUUGGGCUCCUCUCUCUCUCUCUGUUGUUCUUCUUAUCCAUUUAUAAGAUAUAAAUGGAACUUGCAUAAAUACACAGAGAGGUAGCAGUGGAAUUAGGGAGAGACAAAAAUAGUUCUGGAGUCCUUGGAAUAUGGCCAAUUAAAGAAAAGUGGUGUGAGGAUUUUACAGACUAUAAAUUUAAACAUGUUUGAAUUUAAUCCAAACUUGCAUGAAUUUAUAACUAACCAAACCGAACCCAAGUGGGCUUAAUUUUUAUAGGAUGGCCCUACAUAAUAGAUAUGAUUUAUGGGCACAAGAUGAACAUUUAUAGAGGAAGUAAGAAAACCAAACAUAAUGAAUUGAGUUCAAUAUGUUGAAUUCGAAAACCCUAUCAAUGAGUUCUGGUUGGGACAAAAUUUUACAGGGUGGCUGGACAUAUAAAACUUGCAUUAAGAAGAGGGUUUGGGUAAGAAUUGGAGAAGUGGAAAUGCAACUCAAAUAGAGGAAGAGCAGGGAACGAAGGAAGUAGCACUUUGGGAUUUGGAAACUUGGGCUAAACCAAGUUAAAGUUGAGCAAUGAGUAAAAUACAAAGGAUCAAAGAGAAGGAGUUGCAAUACACAUGAUGCUCAUGGCAACAUGAAUGACCAAAUGCAAUAUGACAAGAGAUAUGCAUGGCAAUGCAAUAUAACCGAUGAUGAACAUGAUGCAAGAAGCAUAAUAUGACAAUGGGACUCAUCAUGAUUAUGGCAUAAACAUAUAGAAAUGAAAUAUGCAAAAACAUUAUGAUAAUGCAACAAACAUAGCAAACACACGACAACAACUAAGAUAAAAGGAAAGCAUCUAGAGCAUCGGUCUUGGGGCGUCACAAUGUUUCUCGUUUAUGGAGGUGACAAAGAGAUCGUCGUAAAUGAUUACGUCAAUGCAAGCUUUGACACUGAUCCGGAUGACUCUAAGUCACAAACCGGAUACGUAUUUAUAUUGAACGGUGGAGCUGUCAGUUGGUGUAGUUCUAACCAAAGCAUCAUGGCGGGAUAUACGUGUGAAGCGGAGUACAUAGCUGCUUCGGAAGCAGCAAAUGAAGGAGUCUGGAUGAAGGAGUUCAUAUCCGAUUUAGGUGUCAUACCUAGUGCAUCGGGUCCAAUGAAAAUCUUUUGUGACAAUACUGGUGGAAUUGCUUUGGCAAAGGAAUUCAGAUUUCACAAAAGAACCAAGCACAUCAAGAGAUGCUUCAAUUCCAUCCGUGACCAAGUCAAGGAGGGAGACAUAGAGAUUUGCAAGAUACAUACGGAUCUGAAUGUUGCAGACCCAUUGACUAAGCCUCUCUCACAAGCAAAACAUGAUCAGCACCAAGACUCCAUGGGUGUUAGAAUCAUUAUUGUGUAAACUAGAUUAUUGACUCUAGUGCAAGUGGGAGACUGGAGGAAAUAUGCCCUAUAGGCAAUAAUAAAGUUGUUAUUUAUAUUUCUUUAUAUUAUGAUAAAUGUUUAUUAUUCAUGCUAGAAUUGUAUUAACCGGAAACUUAGUACAUGUGUGAAUAUAUAGACAAACUAAGUGUCACUAGUAUGCCUCUACUUGACUAGCUCGUUGAAUCAAAGAUGGUUAAGUUUCCUAGCCAUAGACAUGAGUUGUCAUUUGAUUAACGGGAUCACAUCAUUAGAGAAUGAUGUGAUUGACUUGCCCAUUCCGUUAGCUUAGCACUCGAUCGUUUAGUAUAUUGCUAUUGCUUUCUACAUGACUUAUACAUGUUCCUAUGACUUUGAGAUUAUGCAAUUCCUGAAUAUCGGAGGAACACCUUGUGUGCUACCAAAUGUCACAACAUAACUGGGUGAUUAUAAAGUGCUCUACAGGUGUCUCCGAAGGUACUUAUUGGGUUGGCAUAGAUUGAGAUUAGAAUUUGUCAUUCCGAUUGUCAAAGAGGUAUCUCUAGACCCUCUCGGUAAUGCACAUCACUAUAAGCCUUACAAGCAAUGCAACUAAUGAGUUAGUUGCAGGAUGAUGUAUUACCAAACGAGUAAAGAGACUUGCCGGUAACGAGAUUGAACUAGGUAUUAAGAUAUCGACGAUCGAAACUCGGGCAAGUAACAUACCGAUGACAAAGGGAACAACGUAUAUCGUUAUGUGGUUUGACCGAUAAAGAUCUUCGUAGAAUAUGUGGGAGCCAAUAUGAACAUUCAGGUUCCGUUAUUGGUUAUUGACCGGAAACGUGUCUCGGUCAUGCCUACAUAGUUCUUGGCCCCAUAGGGUCCGCACGUUUAACGUUCGGUGACGAUCGGUAAUAUGAGUUUAUGUGUUUUGAUGUACCGAAGGUAGUUCGGAGUCCCGGAUAUGAUCACGGACAUGACUAGGAGUCUCGAAAUGGUCAAAACAUAAAGAUUGAUAUAUUGGAAGCCUAUAUUUGGACAUCGGAAUAGUUCCGGGUGAAAUCGGGAUUUUACCGGAGUGUCGGGGGGUUACCGAAACCCCCCGGGGGUUAAUGGGCCUUGCUGGGCCCUAGUGGAGAGAGAGAGGGGCCGGUCAGGGCAGGCCGCGCGCCCCCUCCCCUUGAGUCCGAAUAGGACAAGGAAAGGGGGGCGGCACCCCCCUUGCCUUUCCCCUCUCCCACUCCUUCCCUCCCCCUUCUAGUGAGACUAGGAAAGGGGAGUCCUACUCCCACUAGGAGGAGGACUCCUCCUCUUGGCGCGCCCUGCUAGGGCCGGCCGGCCUCCCCCCUUGCUCCGUUAUAUACGGGGGCAGGGGGCAUCCCAUGACACACAAGUUGAUCAGUUGAUCUUUUAGCCGUGUGCGGUACCCCCCUCCAUCAUAAUCCACCUCGGUCAUAUCGUAGCGGUGCUUAGGCGAAGCCCUGCGUCGGCAGCAUCAUCAUCUCCGUCAUCACGCCAUCGUGCUGACAAAACUCUCCUUCGAAGCUCUGCUGGAUCGGAGUUCGUGAGUCGUCACUGAGCUGAACGUGUGCUCAACUCGGAGGUGCCGUGCGUUCGGUACUUGGAUCGGUCAGAUCGUGAGGACGUACGACUACAUCAACCCCGUCUCAUAACGCUUCCGCUUACGGUCUACGAGAGUACAUGGACGACACUCUCUCCUCUCGUUGCUAUGCAUCACCAUGAUCUUGCAUGUGCGUAGGAAUUUUUUUAAAUUACUAUGUUACCCAACACAUGCAUACCAAAUAGGGGGCCAAAGUCGACAGCGGUAAUUUGGGGCAUGAAGUCCUCGUGGUUACCCCUGGCAUGGGAGAACCUUUCUUGAGACGCUGGUGCCGCUUGCUUCCUAACACGUGGAAAUAGCAAGCAUGAUAACUGCAUGUUGUCAAGCUCAUAGCUUCACAUAAGCAAAUAGGUAGCAAGUUGGAAGCAUGUGUUGGAGGUGACAUGGCCACAACAUCAAGGUUUAGAUAAGCAAAGAGGAAGCAUGUUGCAUAAUAUUUAUGAUUAAGGAUUUUACCACAUACAAUUUUUAUGAUUACAUGGAAGCAAAUUAUUUUCUUAUAGUGGGAGCAAAUGUUUUUUCUUUAGAUGCAUAUUACCAACUGGGUUGAAGCAUAUGCAUAAUCAUAUGAUGAAACUAAUUCCCUUUUUUCACUCAAAAAUGGUAAUAAUUAUGUUUUUGAUGGAAAUAAAGUUGUAUCACGUUGGAAGCAACAGUCUCGUUGAUGGAAACAAUAUCAUGACCUGGUUUUGUAGAACUUGUUUCCCACUAAAUUUGUGAUAAAAAUAUAUUAAAUUUAAGCACAAUUUAUUAAGUGUGGAAACAAAUUCUCUUAUCGAUGGAAACAUAAUGUGCUUCGUGGUUUUCUUAUGCUUCACCCACGGGUUCAUGUCGCUCCUGGCGACGCCUUCAUGUUUUUGUUUGUGUACACUGGGCGCAAAUACAAUCGAACUAGAUCGAAGCGAUCGUCGGUUGUUGUGGAAGCAAAUAUUUUGGCUGGCCGAAGCAAACAAAUUCUAUCCAGAUGGAAGAAAUCUACAUUGGCAAACAAAUUCUAACCAGACGGAAGCAAUCUCUAUUUUCCAUGGAAGCAAGCAAUUUCCGAGGCCGGCAGAAAAAACAAGAUCAUGUGUACGAGACAAGUAUAGAAGCAAAUCACAUGCAUGGAAAGUUGGAAACAGAUAGCAAGACGCCUAAUCAAUUUGAUAUGCCAUGAUUUAUAGGAGUAGUUGUUAGGAAAUAAACAGAUCGUAAUUACUUCCUCCUUUUCGGUUUAUAGGGCUCAAUUCAAAAAUCUCACCAACCAAGGUAGAUUGUGAGUGGUGGAAUACUUUUUGUAAUUUACAAAAGCACCCAAUUAAUGCUCUUGCUUUCCUAAAAAUUUAUGUUUACCAAUGUAUUGCAAUGCAUGCAUGCAUAAAGUACAUGCAUUGGUCAAUUUUCUUUUAAUACUUGCAUGCAAUUAUUUAACGCAUCUUGGAAUCUGAACUUGUGAUGAGGAACAAUCAAAUUGAGUCUUAUAAAAUGGAAAAACUAAAAUUUUAAGAUAAGCCUUAUAAACCGAAAAGAAGGGAGUAGUACAAAAUCAUGCAUGCGAUAUAAUUAAGGGGUGCACAUUUUAAGGAAGCAAUAGACACACCACUGCAUCACGUGAGGGGGCUCCCAGAUCCGGUGGCUAUCAUGCAUCCCAUCAUACGGUCUAUCACUAGUCUGAUAAAAUGCAACGAUCAGUAAUCUGAUACCUAGCGGCUCCCUUUAAAAAUUGCACUAGCUUGUAUUGGUUCUUCCAUGUCUUCAAGCAAUGCAAAUUUUAUGAAUAUUGUGUGUAACUUGUAUAUAAUGAAUUAUAUGGUUCAUUUUGUUUUUACUAUGACUUGUUUAUUUUUAUUUUUCUACAAAGGUAGGUCAAGUCCAGGAAUUUUAUCUAUUAUAGAUAAAAUGUAUCUCUUCUAAAAGAUAGAUAAUUUUUUUCAACUAAUAUAUGCUCAUCUUUUUUUUAUUAUGUAGGUUGUCUUUUUAUGAUUUUGGAUUACCUUUGUAGGCAGGGAAAUUUUUGUUUUUGCCACUCUAGAUUUUGCCAAUUUUCCUUAUGCCACUUUAGAUUUUGACAUUUCACUUUUACCAUUCUUAGUUUUUGACAAUUAUCACAAUUGCCAUUCCCGUGGCAAAAGCAAAAUGUUGAGAGUGGCAAUUGUGAUAAUUGUCAAAAGCUAAGAGCAGCAAAAAUGAAAUAAAAUUAUUUUGCUUUUGCCACAGAAUGGCAAUUGUGAUAAUUGUCAAAAUCUAAGAGUGGCAAAAGUGAAAUGUCAAAAUCUAGAGUGGCAUAAGAAAAAUUGACAAAAUCUAGAGUGGCAAAAACAAAAUUUUCCCUACUUGUAGGCAUGCUAUGAAUGAAAAAAUCCAUAUGUUUUUGAACACGAUACAAUUGAAAUCGCUCACAUACACGAGCAUACGUUCACUCAUAUAAAGGCACGCACACACACCCUACCCUUAUGAGCACCUCUGAGAGACUGAGAUUGACAAAGUCACCAACAACACCUUCAGUGUCGACGGGAGCGUCUCCUCCCACUAAACGCACAUCGCCGAAAGACCUGAAAUAAAUUCAGGAAAAUGCGAGCACCAAUAUCAAGUCUAGGACUUGUGCUGGUGAUAUCACUGUCCUCCUAACCAUCAAACCAUUGGUUGAUUCACAAACAACAACAAAAACAUAUUCAGUCAAAAACAAGGAAAUUUUGAUUGAUAAAGUUAGAAAAGUUGCUAAUUCCAUUGCCCCCAAUGCAAUCUAGCCAUGUUUAGUAAAAUGUAUCUUUUGUGUGUGUGCUUAUUGGCGUAGUUCGUUCUUGAGUGUUGGAGCUGGUAAAAAACAAUUGUAAAAGCUUGAUUUACUACUAAAAUGAAAAGAACAAAAUAGCAUUUGUCAUAUGCAAAUCCAAUAGCUAGACUAAAACUGACUAGGUUUUAAAAAGAUCGGGUAACUUCUUUUGAACUUCGGCGAGUUUAUCUAAUUAAUAAUCAUAUGCUUUACAAUAAGCGGAAUAAGGAAAUCAGGGAGUUUAUCAUGCCACACCCUUGACUCCUGACCCAAAAAACUAAAACGAGCAUAGUAUGAGCACACUCAUUUACAUCACGCACACAAUGAUUUAUCAUCGCCUUGCCGAAAGAACUCAACAACCUUUCGACAUCGGGUAACUUAGUACCCCUCCUUGUCUCAAAAAAAAAAAACUUGGUACCCCUCCGUUUCUGAAAAGAACGCCUAUAAAUAUUAGCAGGUCAUCCCCUGCUAAAUGGACUUGUGGCCCAUUGGUACGUCUGCUAUGACCCACACUGCCUAAACAGAUUUGCGGCCCAUUGUACGUUUGCUCACUUUCAACUCAGUAUGCUCGACUUUCUCACAUGCACCCGAAUGAACAGUAAAUUAAGAAAAAAAUAUCAAUUAUUUUUUAACUUUUGUGUGAUUAACAUGUUUCAUCUGCGUGCAAAGUUUAAUCAUUUAUAACGCUAUGUGCAACAAUAACAUAAUGGAUGCUCCAAAAAAUUGUUUCUGAAAACAUUUUAGUGUACCAAUUUUGUUCUUUUUUGCUAGACUGCUAUGAAUGCCAUUACAUCACAAAAAAUUGCACAUAGGUAGAAAGCAAAGGAAUGUUUGUUACCAUAAAAAUAAAAAUGAAUUGUUUGCCAUCUUUGUGGAUUUUACUAUUCAUGGUAGGAGCAUUUGAGCUUGGGAAAUAGAAUGACACAUUAAGAGUGAAAUGUUGUCACGGGAUCAUAUCAUGUGGAGAACUGAACUAAGCUCGGAGUCUUUCGACAAAAUAGAUUCACAUACCAGCUGACAGAUACUGAAUGGGCAACGAGCUGCCCAUACAAGCAGCAAAUCCCGCGUAGAUUUAAUUUCCUUCGGAAGAAAACCCAUAAAGAACUGCUAAUCAGCAGCAAAUAUCACAGAAAUAUCAAGUCCAGAUUACCAGCACAUACAAACCAUCCAGAUUACCAGCACAUACAAACCAUCCAGAUUACCAGCACAUACAUAAACCAUCUACUAAACGAGAGCAGAUAGGAGUGACAGAGAUGGAAUCAACAUAUAUGAAUCAAGGGGUGCCCAGCUCGGAUCAGAUACAGAGUUGAAUGAAACAGGCCAAAAGAAUGAUGUAUAGUACAAUGCCGUCACAGCCUCAGCAGGGGAGCACUAAUCAACACGCUCCAAUCACAGAAAGCAAUACAACGAAUGGGUGAUCACCAUUACACGGAUGCAGCUGGAUAAGCCAACCAAAUCAACACGUAAAUCCCUUCCUCUGUGUUGAGAGGAGCGUUGGUCAGAAAAAUCAAGUCAGUUUUUGUACAAACAUCUCCUCUCUGUCUUCCUAGCUACAAAGGAGGAGCAUCAUGCCUUUGGAUGGUCUCCAAAAUCAGCUCCCUACGAAAAAGGCUUGCUUCAUUCCAGUGAUAUGUCGGAACGAGCAGGAACUACAAACCUAAUAAUCUCUGGGGAUCCCAAUGCUGAUGCUGACAGGAGAGACUGGGUGGAGGUUACAAAGGUUCAAGCUUGCCAGUAGGCCGAAGGUUGCAUCGUAGGAUACCUGGCCUGCACAAAUCACCAAACAAAGAUGACAUCAUAUUUCAGAAUGGUUCUCAACUAUUUUGCUUGUUAUUUUUCAGUCACUUGCACACACAAGUGUUAAAUACUGUGCCAGCUACUAUAACUGCUUACUGAAUUCUGAAAAGGAUGCCAAAGCCAGCUCCCAGUUAAUUUCUGUCCACUCCAUAAUUUUCAAUAGGAAGUCGUAACUUUUUCAUAGAGCCAAACCAAAGCAGAAAUGUAUGGCAAUAUAUGAUUAUAUAUGCAAGGACAUCCCACAAAUUAUACUGCUGAACUAACACUCGUGGGAUAAAAAGGACAUGCUAGCCUGACGAGUUAUUAGUAAAAGCAGCAUCAACACUCGAGCACAAACAGCUUACUCUGCUACAUGCAGAACGUACAAGGCCUACAGGGGUGCCUAACUACCUAAGGAUAGAACUGACCUAUUGGUUUCUAGCGCCACCAAAUCUUCUGAUGCUACCAAAAAGUUAUUGAAAGUUCUAUUUUAUUUUAGAUUGUACUCCCUCUGUAAAGAAAUAUAAGAGCGUUUAGAUAACUAAAGUAGUGACCUAAAUGUUCUUAUAUUUCUUUAUGGAGGGAGUAUUAAUUUGUAACAUAAUCUAGCAUGCUACAAAAAUUAAAAAUUAAAAAGGGCAGCCCAGUGCACGUAACUCCCGCUUGCGCAGGGUGCGGGGAAGGGUCCGACCACUUUUUGUCUUUUGUAUGCAGCCUUUCCCUGCAUUUCUGCAAGAGACUGUUUCCAGGACUCAACCUGUGACCUGAUGGUAACAAGGAACAGCUUCACCGCUGCGCCAAAUGCUACAAAAAUCAAACUCAAACAGAACACAUGUAACAAGCAACAUAAAGGAGAAAUUCUGCUGUCAAUAGUACCUCCCUCCCUCAAUCUCUCCAGGAUACUGUCAUUUGAGUUGCAUAACCAUGAGUUUGAUCCUUUAGGUAAGGAAUCAUACAGAGAUAAGAAAAGUAGGAACUUAGUCACUAAUCUUCAUAUAGGUAUAGGCCAACUCUCUUCGUGUGUUUACUGUGCCAUUGAUAAAAGAACAAAGCAUGCCUAGACAGGCGUUUAAUGUGCGCAUAAUUGCACUCAAGACGCAUGCCUAGUGCCUUUUCCCACUUAAACUCACACAACUUUCAUGCAGUGUCGCUGAUGCAGCCAACAUAGAAUGUUCUCUCUCUUAAUAAUCAAGUACUAGCACAUUUCUAAUUUCUAAGAAGUUGGUCAAAAUACUACUGUACCUGUUUUGGUCUUAACCCACAACAGAGAGUAAUCAGGAUUAUGCUUACUGUCAUCAGAAACCCAACAACAGAGAGUAAUCAUGACUAUGCUUACUACCAUCGGAAACCCCCUAAACCCUGGCUAUUGCUCAAAAUUUCUUCUCAUCGCUGACAAACAUUAGGGCACAAUAAUCCAGGCGCCCUUAGUUUAAAAGCAGGCUGUGACGCAUAUCAACACAUAAAACUCCCAAUCUAAAGUUUCUACCAUACGACAUGUAGUGCAAAGUCUACAUAAGAUUAUUUACUACAGUUGGGUAUCCUUGUCUGACUUUCAGGUAACCACAACAGACGUGCGCUGCAUUGCCUAGAACAAACUGGUGUGGGCUCAAUCUCAUUUGAUUAUGUUCAGUUUAAAUGAAACUCCCAAGCAAGUAAGGAACUGAUAGCCAGCAGCAAUUAUCACAAGUGAAACAUUUCAACAUACCUCAAGAGUCCACAAAUUGGAGAUCCACCGUCAAACUGAAAUGAUCAUAGAUCCCUUCUCCCACACUCCAGCUCGCCAUAAUGCAACUCCAUUCUGGGCACUGCACUUCUUCCACCAACCAUAUUAAAUCUGGGGCAGUUCCUGUGGGUUAUCCAUUGAUGCCCUCAAUAUCAUCCCAGCCCUCCGCUUCCGGUCAUCCUUUUGUUCCUCCUUCAAAAACGACGGGUCCUCCCUCAGAUCCAUGGAAUUUGAAUUGAGGGCCACUGCCAGGGGCUUCUUGUUUACUCCAAUCUUCAGGUGCACUGGUGCCCUCACCUUUGGAACAAUGCUCUUUUGGUUCUGAUUCUGGUCCCAACCUGUCCCAGAAUCAAGCUCCAUAGCAUUUGCACCCUGAAUUGCUGGUGCAAAUGCAUCAAGGACAGAAAGUUUCUUCCGCUCAGAAGGGAUAUCAACCUCUGACACCUCCUUGUCUCCAUGCGGCAAAGCAGGCUCAAGAAAAGGAUUUCUCUUGCUCCCAGCCGGUUGUAUCUCCUUCCCUUUGGCUGCACUAUCCUCAGAAACCGCUGGCCGAAACCCAUCAGCGCCCGCAAGGGCCAAUCGUUGCUGCAAACUGAGCAGCGACUUCUCGGCCUUCCUCCGCUGCCGCACCUGUUCGACCAUGUCCACCCUGUCCUUGGCCGCCUGCUCACUCCACACCUCUGUCCUGACGUAGGUGUGUGGGUCCGGGAAGGCCGGUAGCCACUCAGGAACAUGCCUCAUCCCAGUCUCCCUCUCAGCCACAGCAAAGCUGGGCGUGGGCUGCGGAGCGCGGGGUAUAGGGAACUUGGGCAAUGGACGCGUGAAUGGCACCUCGUCCUUGGAGUCGACGAACGCCAUGAGGUCCUUGACGACGCCUGAGCCAACGAGGCAGCGGCCUGAGGUGCCGGCCCCGGCGAAGCCAUCAAAGUCGGUGCCGAUUUCCUCGAGGGACUGGAUGAUGUCGUACUCGUUGGCGAGCGCGCGGCCGGCGAGGUUGGCGUGGAAGGCCGCGGCCCUCCCGAGGUGCGUGAGGUAGCGGAGGAGGACGUCGACGAGCGCGUCCACGGCCGAGCGGUGCGUGCAGUCGAAGCCCGCGGCCUCGAGCGCCUGCGCCACCGCCGCCCGCGCCACCGCCCUCCCGAACUCGUCCCCGCUGCCGCUGCCGCUGCCGCUGGUGCCCGCGCGGUCACUCAUACUGCUCCCUCUUGUCCUCCCGCCGCUCCCGACCGGUCAUACCGUCGAGCACCUGGCGGGCGUGGCGGUCCCAGAUCCGGAGCUAGGGUUAGAUCUCUGCUCGGGCCACGCCGUCCGCGCCACCAUCCAGGGCGAGCCGGGGCGAGCUAGACGCAGCCGCGCGCCGGAAUUGCGCGCCCGACCGCCCGCCUCGAGCUCGCGCCCCCGGCGGGAUUCGAAUUCGGUCGGCGCGAGACGACGCGGUGGCUGGGGGCGGGGAUUGGGCGGGAAAUCGGGAGCGGGGUGGGUUUGGAAGCAGGAGACCGUUGGGGAUUUAGGGUUUGGGGAGGGGAGCACGCGCGGGGGGUUUGGGUGGGGCUCUCUCUGAUCCGAGCACGCGGGCGGGGAAGCGAGGGGAGGUGGAGACGAAGGCCUUGGGGAGAAGGGAAGAACGCGUCCGCUUGACUUUAUAGAGGAGGGCGUGUGGAAAUCCCGUGUGCGCGAGCCGGGUGCGCGGAGCUCGGCGGGGACACGUGGCGAUGGACGGUUGGUUUCGCCUCGUGGAUUCUUUCCAGCGUGGACGCCGUGUUCUCCACGACGGGGUUCUGUUGCUCGGGCCUCCGCAGAGGAAGGCGGCCCAACUGGCCCAGUUACAAGUGAAAUAUGCCAAAGGACAACACUAAAAUAGUACAGACAUUUGCCUCAAAAAAAUAAAAAUAGUACAGACAUAAACUGGAAAAUAAAAACUAGAUUCCUCUGUUCUGUUAUCCAUGGUUGCAAUGAAUAAGACGGUAUGAGAAAGAACAAAAUUUUCAUGGCUGAACAGCCAGUGAUAAAGCAUUGGCAUGCUUCAUGCCAACAUGACUACAACCCAUAACAGGAUGAACUGAACAGAAGAACCGGACCGAUCACCGGCAUCUGUGCCGCUGGGAACAUGUGGCAAUGCAGCAUCUGGCAUGUCGAUUUAGGUCUGUUUGCCCCGUCAGUGGUUACGCUUGUGGACCUCCACGCUGCCUGCCGAUGCCAGGUUCGCGGCUCGGUUGCUGCCAAAGUUCUUGCGGUUUGAUUCCCUUGCUAUUCUUGAACCAAACUGCACAAAGCAUCAGAUGGAUUGUAAGUGAGGACACAUAUUGUUGUCUACAACUCCCUACGGUCCAUAUUACUUGUCGCUCAUCCGGAUGUAUCUAGAAUUGAAAUACGUCUAGAUACAUCCGUUUGAGCGACAAGUAUUAUGGAUCGGAGGGAGUACAAUCCAAAUAGUGUAACUUAUCAACACACAACACUACAACUAUUCUACUGAAGGAAACAAAUGGUUAUAAAUUAUGUACCUGGAUUGCUCGCUUUGGCAAAAAAGCAGCUUCUUGUAGACCCAGCAGCUUUGCAACCUGCAACAGUGUCACAUUAUUGAAUCAGCAAAAGGGGAUGGAGAUCAGAACAUAGUCUGUAACAACUUAAAUAUAGGUAGAGUUAAGAAAAACGGAAUGCAAACCUCUCUCAGAAUCUUCUUAUCACCCUUCCCCACGGGCUCAUCAAGUUUAGCGAUAUCCCAUAGUGGGAUUUCCAACAAUGUUCUGAUCACACUCUCAUCAAGAAAUGGAAAACGAGCCUGUCAUGGGCACAUGGGUACACAUCAGCCACUAAAAGCCUAUAGCCAAAGCUGAACUAAAAAAGCAUGACGAAGAUUACCUCCUUGCCAUGGUCAGAAAUGCACCUAUCAUCUCUUCCCAUGUUUCUUUUCCAAAUUCUUUGCACAUCUAGUCUCAUUUCCUCGUCCAGUGAAACCCAUCUAAAUAGGGGUACAAAAAAUGAAUUUAAUUUGUUUUUGCAAUAUCUGCAAAAAUAUCUCAAACGACAGUCACAUUAUUUAGCAAUGCAGUGCACUAAAUCAAUGCAUACAUACCCUCCAACUCUAUAUUUAGUACGAUGUCUACCAUAACCAGCACACUGCUCAUCAGCUCCAGAACCGACUAAAAGGACUCUAGAUGUUGACUUGUGUUUGUAGCGAUCACCAUCUUGCCCAUUCACCCAACCAUCCCCGCUAGCAGCUAACCAUAGGGCUACACCAAUGUUCAAAUCCUGUGCAAAAGAUCCAGCAUUUUAACUCAAAUAAAUCUAACAGGAGCAAAAGAGCAUAGUAAAGAUUUACCAACAGUCCAUCAUAUUUUCAAAUUAAACAGAUAUGUGUGAAUGAAUAGAGCUGCAGUGCUAAAUAUUAUCUUCUAUUGUCCAGUACGUGGUGCACACACAUGAAGACGAUUGUGUCAUAUGACGGAACUAUGGUGAACUGUGGUCUCAAGGAUGCCAAAGGGUGUUCAGAUUUCUACUCCCAUCAGUCCACCACUGAUCUUACUGCAGCCUCUUACACAUAAUCUCCCACAGAACCACUAGGAAGACACAACCACCAUAACAAACGCACAUAAUAACCAGGUAUUUUUAUAAGUAAAUAAAAACUUGGUUAGAAGGGAUGGGGAAUUCAGGGGGUCGGGAGUUGAUGGGCAUGCGGAUGUAAGUGAGAUGAGUACUGGAAGUUUAACGGUCCAAAUGUGCAUCGUUGCUCAAAGAAUGUUUAAUAAAUCUUAGUGUUUCAUCAUAAAUUGGGAUGUCUUAAAACUACAAAUCAAAUUCCUCAAGAGUUUCUCGUCUAUUGCAAAACAGGGUACCAGGACUAAAAGCAAACACCCAUUUCAAAUCCUACCUUAAACUUCCUCCUCUAAACUCCAUCUCCCAAUUACUCCCUCCGGUCCUUUUUACCUUGCGCAUAACACAAAGCCCGGAUACCAAGGAGAGGCAGCCAUGCAAAAAACUGGACAAUUUUACCCCCACAACAGUGUGAUCUGUGUAUACGGAUACCCUGCUGAAAAAUAACUGCAGACGCUUUGAUUGGCUGUCCUCCUUUGACUCCUCAUAGCGCAGGCCCCUGCAUGCAUGCUCUGCAUGCCAAUUGGUUACUGACAGGUGCUAAUUAAGGGAUGGGAUGGAAAGGGCAGUGGCAUGGAUGGAAAGACUAGCUGCGGUGGCUUAGUACGCAGACUAUUAAGGGAAAAAUUGAAAAAAUUUAUACGCAGACUAUUGAGGACCGGAGGGAGUAUUAACAAACAGGUAUAGUCAAUUAGACCAGACUAAACUCUUAUCUUUUAUUAUAUACCAAAUGUGAUCCCAAAAGAAAAGAUGGUCUCGAGUCUUGACGUUUGGUAUUGUCAUAUGCAAAGAAAAAAAAGAUGCAUGAUUCGAAGUUUACAGCACCAUUCCAAAAUCCAAAUCCAAGAUGAAUUAAAUCAAGUGACACUGCAUGGAUGACUCGAUCGUUCAUAUGUUGUUUGGCCUUCAGCCUUGUAAACCAAGGAAACUAACCUAAUGAAGCAUUAGUAGGAUAUAAGAAGAUACACACCAUAUAUGUAUUUGAAGGGUAUAUCAGUGACAUCACGUGUUCACUUUCCUCUUUCAAGUUGGCCAAAUUACUGUCAAUCUCAACAAGACGCCAUCUGCAAAUAAGACAGUGAAAUGAAUAUCAUAGUGAACACUUCAUUUAGUAUUAGUCUGACACUCUGAUACAAAUUUCUUUUUACAUGGCCAGACCAAUGCAUGAGCAUAAUAUGCUAGCAUGGUAAAAUAAAAAUGCAGGACAAAAAAAGUUAAUCGAUAAGUGAACGAUGCAUCACAAGGAUACAGUAUCAAUCACUCCAAUUAAAGCAACAGAACAUUUACAGUGAAUGAUGGGCAUGAACGAGGAACUAAGAAAGCACAACUGUAAAAUAAUGCAAGACGCAGAUGACAGAUUAUGCACAUUAGAGCAUAUUGAUCAUCUGAUGGAUAGAAGGCUUGCAAAGUAAACAACAUAAGGUUCAUCAUGUAUGAGGAAUUCAUUAGGCUAUAGCACAAGUGCCAGAAUUUGAGUCCAGAAUUCAUUUUGCACAGAAACAUGAUGAAAGUACUGUCUGUCUUUUGAUAUGUGCAAACCAGCAACAAUACAAAAUCAUCUAUGUUCAGCACCAGAUACAAGCCAUCAAGGCAAAGAAUAUGGAAAGUUCACGUCAAAUCACCUCCGCAGAGGGGAGAUUCUCUGAAGCUCCUUCAGUCCUGCCAGUGAAGAAACUCUAUCUGGAGCUAGCUGCCCAUCAAAACUGACAUUCAGCAAAUCAAUUGUCCCUGCGCAAAAUCUUAGUUAGCUUUCCUCAAAAACCAAAGUUUGUGGUGUACUAUGUAGCAGCUAACUUCCAUGCUAUUAUGUUAAAAAGAAGAUAGUGAUGAAUAAAAUGUAGUAGGAACACACUUGAACAUACAUUUGGAAUCAAGGCACUGGUCUAAUAAUGCUGGAAGUAUCAUGGAGUCCAGGCCACCAGAGAAAAGGAUUGCUAUCGGGGCCAACUCCGCUUCCUCGAGUUUAUUCAGAUCACCCUGUCCACAACAAGGACUCUGUAAAGUUGGCCUGAUAGACUAGUAACAGAAAAUGCAACAUGAAAAAGGUAGCAGCAUUUUCCUUCCAAGAAAGAAGAUAGAACCAUUUCAAUGAAGGUCUCAAAACACUGGUGGAGUUGUAAAAAAAGAAGGCAAUAUUACGAAUAUGUUGGUUACUCACCUGAUACAGUAUGUUCACAUUGGUUCGCAGCAUUACAGAUUCCCUUAGUGCAAUUAAUACUCUAUGUGCUGAAACAUGAUAGAAAAGUCUCACCAUUAGUAACUUCGUAAAGUUAAAAUAUCUCGGGUAAUUUUUAGCAAACAUCUGAUGCACCUGACUGUAUACCUGGAGAUAAGCAAAUAUCUGAUGGGAGAUCUCUUUUCUCAAACCCAUUACUUGUACUGUCUUCAGCUUCUCUAGAGUUUCUGAAACACGACGACAAGUGAUGGUUCCCUUUGUCAACCGAACCCAUAGCCGAAAUCAACCCAUCCACAGUAGGAACUGUCGAUUUUCUCUCCCAUCGUAUUAAAGUAUGCAACGAAGAAUCCGUCCAAUCAUGUUUUCUAACUACACAUCCUUCCUUCGUACAUGCGGCAUUAUUAUCAAGGUCUUUCAGGUGAAUGCUGUAUAUCCCACAAGGAAGCUCUUCCCAGUAGCAAACUUUGGUGUGGUCAGAAAAAUCAGGGUCUGCUCCUGCCUCCAAACCACUUACUUUUGUUGCUGCAAGAGUGAAGAAGAGUAUAUAUGAGAAUGGACAUGCACAAUUAGAUAUGAGUUACAACAUUGAAAGCAUGUACAAAUUCAGAAACAUCACAGUUUAUUUUCAGUUCAGGAAUGUUUUCACCUUUUGAAAAAGAUGAUGAACAAACCAUUGAUAAGAUACUAAGAUAGAUACAUCAACUCACGCUUAUCUUACCAGAGUUAUUCCUUGAAAACGAAGGGGGUGAUACUGAUGAUAAUAUAAAGCGUGAAUCAUCAGGAGUGGGCCAAUGUACCAACAGGCUUCUUCUCCCAAAUGCAUCCCGGCCAAACCACAAUGUUUUUGAGUCUGUCUGGAAGUUCAAUGCGACAUUGAUGUUAGGAAACAGAGUCUACAAUGAAAUGAAAACAAGCCAAACAUCACAAUUACCUGCCUGCCAAUAUAUCAAAGCCCAUGGUCCUUUAAUAGUGGAGAGGAUCCGUGGAACUGAUUUCCCUACGCUCUCACGGCAAGGGUAUGCUUCAUCUCUAUCAGCAACAUGGAGGUCACAGCAACAGCAAGAUUCCAGUGAAGACAAGAGCGAUUGUGUAUCAUUCUGAUCAUUGGCAAUGUUAAUUCCUCCAUAUAUCUCACCUUAUAAUGAAAAUAAUAAGAGCAGUGUGAAUUUUCAUGUAACGUAAUAACUCAGGUCCUUAGAUACUUGGAUUAAAGGAAAGCAACAAUAAUAUGCCAUUGAUACAUCGAUGUGUGAUUUUAACUGAACCAUCAGAAGCAUUUCCUGUGUACUGAAGUCAGAUAUAUGUGAAUCAUGCAAAAGGGAUUACGGUUGCUGUUGAAUGUAAAUCUGAUCAACAAACCAUUUAAGAAACAUAAUCAACUAAAUAUGUAACUGAAUAUGGUGGAACUUGUUAUAAGCACUACCAAAAAUGUGUAUGUCCCAGUAUACAACAGCAUAUAUGAAACAUAUCAGAAGACAUCGAUUUGUAAGGAAAAGAAAAAGGAAAACAAUACUGUCUUUUUAGUUUAUAAAAGCAUUACCAUUAUACACUAGAACACUUCCUGAUUGCGCCACCAGUGGCUGCGAAACCGGCUCAGCUCCCCUGAGCUGCAGUGUCGCGCCAAUGAAGCACAACUCCGUGGCACCAACACCACCACCAACCUUAUCUCCACCGUCACAAUCUACGCCAUCUGCAACACACAACAGUCGUCAUAAGAGAUGGUCAAAGCGACCAAAACUCCAAAGCAUUACAAAACAUCAGUGAGGGAACCACCACCUGUAGCACCUACGAUGGUGCCGUCCGCGCAAAGGUGGAACCUAUGGCAUCCAAGGCUGUCCGGGCCUCGCCGCCGCAGGGCCUCCUUGAGCUCACCCACGGACACGCCCUUCCCCUGCACUCACAUGUACAGCUUGGCUCGAUUAGGGUUUAGGGUCUGGGAAACCACAACGGGGAGGGAUUUAACUCUGCUUUGGUAGGUUUUAACGGAUACUAGUGACAGUACCUCGUCGGAGAACGGUGUUCCGGAUGCAGCGGCUUCGGCGGCGGCGGCGGUGGAGGGGGCGACGACUAGGCAGUCGCCGGAUAGGACGAGGGCUAUGCCGCACAUCGCUGACUUCGGGACCCGCUUGCCAGUGGGGCGCAAUCGCACGCUCCGGCGCCGUGCAUAACCAUUUUUUUCUCUUUUUUUAGGGUACCUCUUUUUUUCUUUUUGAUUGAGAGAAGACGGCGACGUGCAUAACCGGUUUCGCAGCACGAGGCCUUGGGUUUGGUUGAGGGCUUGGGCCCAACAAAGUGUGUGUUCGGUUUCUUUUUUACUCACCAAGCAUAAGGAAUAUUUUGGAAAGAUGAAAUAAAAGUUGAAGUUAUCGGUUAUUCGGAAUAUCACAUUGAUGUUACGAUCAAAGACCUCGCCGAAACACAGUUCAGGGCCACCUUUGUCUAUGGAGAGGCCCAGGUGAAUGAGCGUUACAAGACUUGGAACAUGCUUCGUGGCAUAGUGGGGGUCAGCAACCUACCAUGGGUGGCCAUUGGCGACUUUAACGAAGUCCUCCACGCGCAUGAGCACGAUGGAGUCGGUCAGAGAAGUCAAGCUCAGAUGGAUGCAUUCCGGGACACACUUGACACAUGUGGUCUGUCAGAUAUUGGCUAGUCAGGCUCCAACUGGACAUUCGAAAAGAAAGUAGCCGGAGGCACAUACACCAGAGUGAGACUAGAUAGAGGGGUCGCUACUUCAGAAUGGCUCUUGGCCUUCCCCACAGCCGAAGUAGAACACAAGCAGGCGGCUACAUCAGAUCACGUACCGAUUUUGCUCCGGUUGCAAGACGUGCAUGCAUGCAGGAGGGCCCCGCGGAUAUUUAGAUAUGAGCAAUGCUGGGAGCGAGACCCCACGCUCAAUAAUGCAGUGAGUGCUAGGUGGGCUAGAAGCCAAGGAGACACAGUGGAAGCACUGAAUACAAAACUGCAGAACCUCUCUGGCGAUCUGGGAGAUUGGGAACGCAGCCACUUUGGGAACAUCCGCCAGGAGAUCAACUGUUUAAAAAAGCAGCUGCAAGUUUUGCGCGAGAUCCAAGGGCGAUCUGGGCCAUCGCAUGCAGAGGUUAAAGUGAUGGAUAGACUGGUAGAGUUAUACCACCGCGAGGAGAUAUUAUGGCGUCAGAGAGCUAGACUGGACUGGCUAGUACACGGAGACAAGAACACUUACUUUUUUCAUUUACGAGCCAGCCGGAAGAGACGUAAAAACCAGAUUAAAGCUCUGUUACGCCCAGAUGGAGAGAUGACAGAAGAUACCAUCCAGAUGGAAGCCCUGACAAACACUUUUUAUAAAGAUCUCCAUACGUCUGAAGGUGUCCAAAACAUGCAGCAGGUGCUCGAUACAGUUCCAUGCAAGGUCACUCCGGAGAUGAACGACAUGUUAAAUGCACCAUACACACAGGCAGAGGUCAAAACGACACUGUUCCAAAUGUUCCCGACAAAAGCACCUGGCCCGGAUGGUUUUCCAGCGCAUUUCUUCCAGCGGCACUGGGAGGUAUGUGGCGAUGAAGUGACACAAGUGGUCCUUAAAAUAGUGGAGGGGAAGGAGUCGGCUGAAUGCAUCAAUGAGACCAUAUUGGUUCUGAUUCCGAAGGUAAAGAAUCCAACUAUGCUGACCCAAUUCCGCCCUAUUAGCUUAUGCAAUGUUUUAUAUAAAAUUGCUUCGAAGGUAAUAUCUAACCGCCUGAAGGUAGUGUUACCUGAUAUAAUAUCAGAAGAGCAGUCUGCUUUUGUGCCAGGGAGAUUAAUAACGGAUAAUAUCAUCACGGCUUAUGAGUGUUUGCAUUUCAUGAAGAGGAAUAAGGCGAAGAAACAUCAAUCAUGUGCUCUGAAGCUAGACAUGAUGAAGGCCUAUGACAGGGUUGAAUGGUCCUACCUGCAAGCUAUAAUGCUCAAGCUAGGCUUUACGGACAGAUGGGUACAAAUAGUCAUGAGUCUUGUCUCUUCGGUGAAAUUUUCAGUAAUGUUCAAUGGCAAGAGACUAGAGGAAUUCAACCCUACCAGAGGUAUAAGACAAGGGGACCCGAUCUCUCCAUACUUGUUUUUGUUGGCAGCAGAGGGCCUUUCGUGCCUCCUAAAAUCUAGAAGUGAGUCAUCCAAUUUGCAAGGUUUACAAGUGGCACCCUCGACGCCUUCGGUGAACCAUCUUUUAUUUGCUGAUGACAGCCUGCUGUUUUUCAAGGCAAAUGGUAUGGGAGCAACCGAGGUGAACCUCGUCUUGGACAUCUAUUGUCAAGCUACAGGUCAGAGGAUAAAUUACUCCAAAUCAUCUAUUUUUUCAGUAAGGGAGUUCCCGAUGGGACAAGACAGGAGAUCAAAACGUUGCUACACGUUCCAAAUGAGACUCUCAAUGAAAAAUACUUGGGUAUGCCAUCUGAUAUUGGUUCUUCAAAGAACGGGUCGUUCAAAUAUUUUGAAGGAUCGAUUAUGGAGUAAAAUUCAGGGUUGGAUUGAAAAUACCAUGUCAGCGGCCGGUAAGGAGGUGUUGGUGAAAGCGGUUGCCCAGGCUGUUCCUGUAUAUUCUAUGUCAUGCUUUAAGCUUCCGAGGGGCCUUUGUGAACACCUCAACAUGCUUAUCAGGAAGUUUUGGUGGGGUUCCAAACAGGGACAACGGAAACCACAUUGGGUGUCUUGGAAAACAAUGACGCAACCAAAGAGCAUGGGGGGUCUCUGCUUUAAAGACUUUGAGCUUUUUAACAUGGCUAUGCUUGCUAGGCAAGCCUAGCGACUACUACAAAACCCGGAAUCGCUUAGUGCCAGAAUUCUAAAGUGCAUCUACUACCCAAACACAACAAUACUUGAAGCGGUCCUAGGAAACCACCCGAGUCAAAUUUGGAGGGCAAUGAUAGAAGGAAGAGAUACGCUCAAACUGGGUUUGAUUAAGAGGAUUGGCAAUGGAGGUGACACGAGGAUCUGGGAAGAUCAAUGGCUGCCACGGGGCGAGAUGAUGCGCCCCUAUGGAUGUAUAUCACAGAAUCCGCCCCCCCUUGUUUCGGAGUUGAUUGACUCAACGUCAGCCAAGUGGAACACACAAAAAGUUAAUGAGUUCUUCAUGCCUAUGGAUGCGAAGAUCAUACUACAAAUCCCCAUAUGCACAAGAAACAUCCCCGAUUUCUGGAGCUGGUUUUUUGACAAGAAAGGAAACUUUACAUUUCGUUCAGCAUAUAACAUGCUCGUGGCAAUCCGGCAGAGAAGGGAAGCCUGGCUCGAGGGGUAUGCCGGCCCGUCUAACUCGGCCAAAGAGGAGAAGGAGUGGAAGUUGCUGUGGAAGACGGCGGUCCCUGGAAAAGUCAGAAUGUUCCUUUGGCGUUUAUCACAGCACUCAAUACCCACAAAUGAUGUAAGAGCACACAGGCACAUGUCGGACUCCAGUGCAUGCGGAAUAUGCGGGGCGCCAGAUUCAUGGAAGCACUCUCUAGUCGAUUGCACCAUGUCAAGGUGUACGUGGGCACUAGUUGAUGAAGAACUCGGACAGCAAAUAGCAGCCACCUCUGAACCCAAUGCGAAACAAUGGUUAUUCACACACAUGCAGUCAUUAUCUCAUCCGCUGUUCGUAAAACUUGCGGUCACGCUAUGGGCAAUCUGGGCGGCUAGGAGAAAGGCCAUCCAUGAGGGUAUUUUCCAAAGCCCCCAUGCUAUACACUCUUUUGUGGUCCGAUUUAUUCAGGAGCUGGAGAUGAUUCGGGAAGAAGGAGGAAGAGAGGUUCGGGCCAACCCAGCAGCUCGCACUACUACAGCAAGAAGGCCAAAAGCUCCACCACAUGGCCACUGCAAGAUACACGUCGAUGCCGGGGUGCGACCGGGUCAAAGAGGAGUGGCAGUAGCAGUCUGCCGGGAUAGCGACGGGAACUACUUGGGGAGCUCAGCCCUGUCAAUUCACGGUCUCCACGACCCUGCUACUUUGGAGGUCAUCGCAUGUAGAGAGGCUCUCGCUCUUGCUUCGGACCUGAACGUCCAUCAAUUUGUCAUUUCCUCUGAUUCUAAACAAGCCAUCGGCGACAUCAAUGGGGGAGCUAUGGGAGACUACAGGGCUAUUAUCAAGGAGAUAAAGCUUCAAGCUUCAACUUUUACUUGUUCUUUCAUUUACGAAAGUGCUGCUAUCAAUUUUGAAGCACAUAGUUUAGCCAAAUAUGUACUUAAUCUCGGUCAGGGGCGCCAUGUGUGGUUUGGCCAACCCCAUGAUCCGAACCGUAUCCCACUCCAUGUGGCUUUUGAUGAAUAAAGUUUGGCUAAACCCUCAAAAAAAACCAAGCAUAAGGACAUCUCCAAGGUUGCGAAAUCACUAAUUAAGGAGUACUAGUAGAGUGCCCGUGCGUUGCCACGGGCUCUUGAAAUAGUUUACAAGAAUUACAUGUUCAAUUUCACACGUACAAACAAAUAUAACCCAAACACAAUUAUUGAAUAAUUGAAGUCCAUUUUUGCAAUAUAAAUUGAUAACAAAAAGAAAGAUUAACGACUUGUCCAUGUAACAAACUGAGCGAUGUUCGACCAUAACAUCUAUUACAAAAUUAUCAAUAUCUAGAUGAUGUGCUUAAAAAAUUCUUUCACAAUAUCAGAAAAGUUGUCUUUAGCUUCAUUCGCACGAUGUUUUAGUAAGUAUAAUAAAAAUUGUUUCCUCAACUCAUAUCCAUCCUGCACAAACAAUAUAUGUAGUUAGUAUAAAAUUUUUACGCUGAAGGUCCUAAAACAUGUAACAGACAAUACUCACCCCGCAAACCGGCUUGACCAAUUCUUUACCGUUCCACCGGAGCAUAAAAUGAAAAACGAAAUAGCCAGACACAUUCCUGCAAUUUUUUAAAUUAAUAAUAUAAAGAAUAUAGUGAUAACAAAAAUAAAUGUUUUUAUUAUGAAUUCAUUACCCGUCUAUUCUCAUUGAAAUACCAAACGAAAAUAAAUGUUGUCAUUUAGAUAAAUCGGAAUUCCAACCAGGCCGCUUUAUUUCAUGUGCUUCUUUGAAAUCCCUUGCAAAACUUCUAAAUUUCAGUGCAUGCCUUCCUCUAACGAUUGUGAUGUUUGAAUAGGCUCCAUAAUAUAUAGACGACGUGCCUCUUUGUCGAUGACGUAUAAGAUGUAUCGGCCGAUAGAUGCAUAGGGAAGAUAAAUCUACAAGUGGAGCUGUUAGAAACAAUAAUAAACCAUGAUCCCCCGCAAAAAAAACAAUAAACGAUGAUAACAAUAGACAAAAUACUUUACUUAUUAUGUUACACGAUGAGAUGUCGUUGUCUAUCCCAGGCCAACUAUCAAAUAAUGGUGCCAACGUCUGGAUAGUUUUCUUCUCGCAAAACUUCUGACCUCGUGUUGACUGUAGCAUCAUGGACUAAGUAAAAAAAGAAAUAUUCUUUCAACAUGUUGAUACUAAUGCUACAUGCAAUGAAGAGUUGCGAUAACUUACACAAAAUCUUAGAUCCAUAUAGUGUAUAGGAGGGUCUUUGAACAAUACUCUCUCGUCAUAUGCCAGUAUACACACGACGGUGUUGAAGCAAUCAUUGUCUAUAGGCUGCUCCAUGUUAAGUAUGCACUGAAGUUUCUUAAGACUUAAGCCCAUUGGAUGGGGUGUCGAGCUCCGGACCCAUUACUUCCUAAAAAUUGGAUGGUAAGAAGAAUAAUAAUGUACAUGCGCACAUUAAAUAUUGAUACAUGAAACUUACUCCAAACACCCGACAUCAUCGAUCGACAUGAUGUAGUUGCAGAGGCCGGCAAGUAAUUCAUGUUAGUCCGUGGGUAUGAUAGUAAUUGGGGUAAGACGUUUGUCUUUGACUACGUCAGAUGGAUUCUCGAGGAUCUCGAGAUCAUCAUUAGCUAAAGUUUCUUCAUCGUCCGGUUGAUGGUACAUGGGACCUCCUUUUAGCUUAUUCAGCUAGACAACUAAUUUUCGUCGAAAGUGUUUCAUAUCUUCCUACAAAAAAUAUAUAUAUAUAUAUAUAUUGAUAUAAUAUUUUGAGAUAAAAUAAUGAGAUAAUGUAUAAAAAUAAAAUACCUGGAUGAACUGGUCUGAUAGUGCAUCUGAUGUCCAAUAUUCCAUAUAAUUUAGCAUAAACAGUCCACAUGAUACGCUAUAAUAUUAUAAAAUAAUGCUUUAGAAUAUCACCCAGACGAACCAAAUAACCAAACCGUUGUAACAAGUGCUUACCCAUCAGUUUGUAUUACCUCAUAAAACUGCUCUACGACCGUCCAUUUUGUAACAUUGAGAUCGGGCCACUUAUGAUCUUUGUUAAACUCCGGACUAUGCUCUAGUAACUAUUUUAUAUAUGAAAAAUAUUAGGGAUUAAGAUCAAACAAAACAUAUGUUAAGAUAAGAAAAAACAAUAGAUGGUUACCGUAGUAGCAAGGUCAUUGUGUUUGACCCAAGAACCAAGUGAGUCAAAUACUUGAAUCUCACGUUUUUCGCAUUGGCGACUGCUAUUAUCCAAUGGUAGCCCAGAAUGUUAAUCGGAAGGAAUAACUGUUGUAAAUAUCAUACAAGUCGGAGUCAUAAUUAGAUAUAAAUAUUAAUAAAUCAUUAUACAUAUGAAUUAAAUAAAAACAAUCCAUAAUUAUAUGCAUGGAUAACGAGACAAGACUAACCAUAAGUUGAUGUAGAUAAGUAUUAACAUGAUGUAUGAUGUGACGAUAUUUUGAUGGGUCUAUAUUUUUUUUCGUAUUCUUUUAUCUGGCCAAAUACGAACAUGUUAAUAAUGUGUACCUUUUCACCCGCUACAAUGCAUAUAAAUAAAUCAAACACAGAUAUCAAACGGGGCGCCCGGUAGGCUUCCUAAAAUUCAUCCAUGUGGAUAGUCCGAACUCCCUCGAAUAGUGGCAGCGACAAUACCAUAGAGUAAAGAAUCUCAUCUCUCUCUCACACACACUUUUUUUUGUCAAACAUCUCUCUCCCAUUGGGAUCUCUCUCACACACACUCCCUUCUUUAUGUAUCAGUAGCAGCGGCAUGAACAUUAACAGUAGUGUAGCAGCAACGACACGUAUAUCAACAGUAGUGUAGUAGAAGUGCCGCCCCUAUGCACGGGCCGUCUCCCUGCCCUUCCCCGCUUGAGCGACGCUAUCCCCUACCUUUCCCGCCACAUUUGCUUGGCAUUGUGCUCCCUCUGCUUUCCCUUCUAUCUAGCUCAUAAAUAAUAGCAAAGGAUAUAGGAUUUAGAAUGCUUAAGGUCUAAAAUACUUUAAUCUCUACCAACUGGAGGCACAGAUAACUACAUUUAAAAGCAAGCACAGAUAACUACAUUUAAAAGCAGGAACAUAUGCUAUCUUCAUCAGUAAGUAAAGAGUAAAAAAGCAGAGGACCAAAACCAAAUAAUUAGGCAUGAAUGUUAUAGGUCAUUUAAAGGCACAAUGAAAAUGUUGCAAACCAUUGUACUGCUACCACUUACAAAAUUUUAACAACAAUUCUCAACUCCGCCAGCAUGCAGUAUAUUUAUUACUAUAGGAGACUGGAUACAAAUUUCUUUGUAAAGGGUUUCAUACACUCUUGUUAAUGUGUAAGUACAUCAAACAUGUUUGAACAAGCAGGAAUGAUGAGGUAAAAUCAAACCAUGGAUAUCAGACUACCAACUCCUCUUUAAUAGUAGAGAUAAUUCUGAUGCACAUGAGACGGUGUCAUUAUUUGUUUACCCGUUAAAUCUCUUUUCCUGUUGUUCCUCCUCUAUCCACUAUCUCCCCCUCUCUUAUCCAAACUUAUCACCACUAUCAAUGGUGCAACCAGCUCUGACCACACCACAUUAAAUAGAUUCACUUAAGCAAACAAACAAAUUUGGUUUCUAAAUAACACUACUUAUUGGGAAUGUUGUCCGUAUGUUCCAUUUUAACCAGGAAGAAGUGAUAUGUUGUUGUCUUAAAUCCACAUUACCCUACAAGCACUAACCACAUAAUUUGUGGGUUCCUUUCCCAUAGGAUCAUUACUUUCUCAGAGGAUCAUUAGAUAUAUGUAGUAUCUUACAACUAAGAAUGAAAAAGUUAGGGUAAGGACAACAUAACAAGUUGAAACACGGACGCAUCAAGAGUUUGGUAAAGCAAGACACCAUUUUAUUUCAGAUUGAGCCUCAUAAUGGAAUUUAAAAACUUCCAUGAAACUUGAGCAUUGUAUGCUCUUGUCCACGAAGAGAGAUAUAGCCUUAUAGCACCAGCAUGCCUGUCUAUGUUACUCCUCAAGCCAAACUAUAGAACUUUUAUCUGUCGACAACCUGUCCAAAGACACUGGCUAAUUACCCACAAACUGUCCAUUCCGCCACAAAUAUGCACAGGCAUGCAUCACCUUCCUCUUUGGUCUUCUCAUUCGCGUGAACAUCGUCGACAUUGCCCACCAUGCUUGCUCGCAUCUACUUGCUCCUUGUCAAGUACAUCCACGCUUCCAACUCUCACCUCAUCACCAUGCUCGUUGAUGCAUAUGUCAAGUCCAGCCUCGUCACACAUGUGGGUGUACAAUUUUCGUCUGACACAUGAAUGGCCAUUGCCACGCCCUUCCUUCUCGUUUGUUACGCCCCUACUAACCUCACCGCCGUGUGCGUCCUUAUCCUGAGAAAAAUACAUUCAGAACAUUAUAAAAAUCAUAAUAUUUGAACGUUUUUUUGAGUCAAUGGAAGAUGCGGUUCUGCACCUUCACUUCAUUAUCAGAGGAGUCAAAAUUUAGGAUUUAAUAUAGCUUUCAACAGGAAUAAUGUGUAUUAUAAUCAAGCAUGGGCUAGGUUAUCAAUGAGAAGCAUAAUACAGAAGCAAGCUAAAGCUACCCACUCUUAGGUUUAUAGUGUAUACUACACUACAUACUACAGAAGCAUAAUUUUGAGAUUAACGCUACAACUUUGUCAUGUAUCAGGGUAUCUUUGUUUUGAAAAGAACACAUCAUGUGUGGAAUGUGGCUGGUAACAUGUGCUCAUUGUUCAGGGUGUGUCGAGAUCUGCAAGUAUUAGCACAAGAAACUCUUCAGUUGUAACACAAUCUACCAAUGCCUGAAACAAAUAGAAUUAUUGAAAUGGCCUACCGUCAAAUUAUUACCCAGAGUAUAUAACUUAUUUUUCAAGUAAAUAAGAUCGCGUGUGAAAAGAGAUAUGUCCAAGCUAUGAUGAGAAGUUCAUACCAAUCAUGUACAUGAAAGCAUUGACUAUAGCCACUCCUGAAAUGUAGAUUAGAAAAAAAUAAUGCAGACCAAAAAAACAUGGUGAGCGAGUGAAAGACUGAACUUACCUUUACCAAGAUUUCCGCAUAUGCCAAACAAAUUCCAGCACUGACUUUUAUCCAAGCGCUGCUCUGGCUCUUUUCCUUCAUACGUAUCACCCUGCAAUGAAACAUAUCACAUUAAAAAUAAUUAGAGGUAUUCUGAAAAAUAAAAUGAUAGCAAUUAGUAUUAUUCAGUAAAUGAACAAUGAGAUUUCUGGAAAAUACAUUGUAGUAACAUAUUAACAUUUUUGUAGUACCAUAAGAACAUAUUAAAUUAGGCCAAGCUCUGGAAAACGCCCAUUCUUUUCAUGUUAUUAUUUAUAUAAUGGGAUUUCAAAAGAAGAGCGAGAGAGAAGGGAGCAUGAUGGAAUUAUUAGUAUGCCCAUGUUACAAGCACAUGCUUAUAGAAGAACAUGUUUCUGCAUCUAUCAUAGAUUUAUAGUAUGUCCUAGCUCUGUCGCUACAAAAUGUGGGUGCAUUAUAGUUAGCAUGGAAGAACACCGUCCGGUAACAUCACCAUGCCAAAAUGUGGGAUAACUGUCCUCUGUAAUCUUUUGGUGCUAAGAUUCAUUGCUCUAUCUAUUAUAUCUCGUAUUCUUCAUGUUCUUUGUGCCAUCAGUAGAGAAGGCAAAAUAAUUUCAAUAGUUCCAAACAUAAAAUCCUGAUGUUGCUCUCUUAUCAAGUUCAUCUGGAAUUUCUACCAAAAAAAUGUUCCCUGUUCAUAGAGAUGCUUGACACAAAUUGGUUUGAUUUAGUAUAACCAUCAGCGAGUGAGUGACGAAACUACAUGCUCUCAGCUCUCAGGUCCAUGUCAGAACUUGCAUGUUCCUACACAAAGCUGGGGCAGCAACACCUUCCCAAUGAGGAGUCGAGGCAAAUCUGUGACUGAUUGCGCCUCACAGACUCAAGGUUUCUGUAAACUGCUUAAAUUAUUCAGAGCAUGAUGACGGGGAUGAUAUCCCAUAUAUCUUUUGCGUACUGGUGUAUCAUACGGUCACUGCUGAACUUGGGGGAACCAGCUAUAUUGAGCAUGGACGUUUUUGUCCAAAGCCGCAGGUAGAGACGGAUAUGAUGUGAUUAGGAGGAUCAAACACUCUGAGUGACUAUCUACCAGUCUACCUGUCUAUGUGGAGAUAGUAAUGAAAUAGCAAACUAAAAAUGUUAAUCACACAUGAAACAGAGUGGAAAUAUCCACGAUAGCGGAAUAAUGUUCAGAAAUGAAAAACAGUUUUCUGAAGUUAUUUUUGGAUUGGAAUGCAUAGAACAACUUUCCUGAAGCUAGGUUCAUCAAAGCUCAUACGUCUGCCAGCCAACAUAUGAGUAAUUAUAGCACAUCUAGCACCUGCAUUCUCUGAUUGGCUAUGAUGUUCUUCCAACAUACUGAUAAACACUUCAGUGUGAAAUAAGAAAUAUUCCUAACAAUCAGUGAAGUCGUUCAUAGUGAAACACUGAUGUACCAUUGGGUAAAACUUGCAUAGAGGCAUAGGCAUAUAACUGUCAUAUUCAAAUGCAUUGAAACCUAACGAAUCUAAAUCUAACAAUGUCAUUCUUGUGAAAUAUCAUCCAAAAAUAGUUAAUAUAAUAAAGAAGAGAAGUAGACACACUGAGCAAAACAUGAGAAAUAUUUUGCUUUUCGUUAAUACAAUGAUCAAGAUACAAAUGCAAUGAUUAGAGGGGACACAAAAAAGGCCUUGGCAUUAACUCACAUGAAGUGAAAUAAAUAACAGGUUUGUGGUAACACUCCAAUCUGAUGCACAAGAACUCUGAAUAAAGCAUCACCAAAUCGAGAAAUACUUGGUUCUAUAGUCCCAUGCAGUUACAUUUCUAUACUUUCAAGUUUUUGGAUCAACGACACUAAAUAAACAGAGCAUCUAACAAAAAAACAUUAUGUUACAAAAGCAUUUCCCAUGUCUUCUGUUAUUAGGUCUAUACAGGAUAGUAUUAGGCCAAAAAAGUGAAAGAGUGUAAUGAGAAGGUCUAGCAAGAAUAUUGUAAUAAUUUCCUUUAAACUGCAGUUUUUUAAAAUGAGCUCAUUUACUGUUGGUUUGUCAUAUUUAGGUGUAGUCGAAAGAGAAUCCAACUCAAAAGCUAGCAAAGCUCCAUCCUGGAUACGACAGAGUACGGGCAUAUUUAAGCAUUGACUGCUUGAUCAAUUGUGGCUUGUUAAAUAUUAAUUGUACCUAGUUAAAUAGUAAUUGUCCCUACUUACAUGGUAUAAGGAACACUUUCUCAACAAAUGCAAUGCUUCGGUAACUACAAACCAUAAUGCUUCAGUAACCACACAGUUUUUCUCUGUUUAGUUGCAAGAACAGGGCGAGUAGAAACUUUUUUUUGCCUUCAUUACCUCGCAGAUUGAAAUAGAAAGUGAGGCACCCUGACUCGAUGUUCCUGAAGGCGCCCUCGCUAUGGCCUAGUUCACCCUUCUCAGGGCCAGGAGUAAAACCACAGCUUGCCUCCUCAAAAUACCAGCAGAACCAACUCAUCAGGCAUGCAAUCAGGAUAACAACAUAUCAUUCAGAGUUCAAACCAAGUAAACAAACAUAUGCAUCAGGCACUGGUGCAUCCAAAGUUUAACUCUAUUCUCCUCCCAUAUAAUGGAUGAGGCAAAUCUUUUGCCUUCGUUUCGGAAAAAAAAGUUUAACUAUAUCAAGAGCUAAAAACAAUUAGCAUGUCAUAUAUGGCAAUCUGUAAGAGAUAAAAUAAUAGCCAUAUAGAUACCAGACCUUACUCCCUUACAAGACAGUGUCAUAAAAAACUCUUAAAGCAACACCAGGAUCAAUUCACCACACCAAACCAGUCAUCAUGAACUGAUGAUACUCGGGGUAACUUGUCCAAAUGAAAAUAAAAUUAAACCAUGGUGGUUCAGUUUCAAAUAAAAAGUGCAUAUAUCAGUUCGAAGUGGACUCGCCACGCGUUGACUGAAAAAUAACUCAUGUGCCAAGAAACAUAAUCUUACAUCUGACUUUUAACAGUUUAGCUGACAGCAAAAUGGCUCAUUCAAAUCAAGCAACUAUCUAAGAUGCAACCUUUAUUUGCCAUCAAGCACUGAAGAGCUUGUUGUGCAUAGAUUGAUGCCCAGGAGAAACAGAGGGGGCUAAAAAACACACCUCUCAGGGCUUGUAGAUCUGGCCAUCUAUAAUUGUGAGGUGUGCUAUUAUGACCACCACAAUACCAUGGGUGGAAAAGCCACUUAAACUUUCAGUUUAGAACAAUACAUGAACGAGGCUUCUAACUUCUAAACUAUGCAUGCUUACAAAACUAAAAACCAUACAUGACCACAAGUUUGCUGCAACAAAUUCAAGAAGAAUUCACCACAGCAAACUGAACCUGAAAGAUAACCGAUAUAUAUAUAUAUAUAUAUAUAUAUGAUCCAUGUUGUAGGACACCGUACACAACAAAAAGGAAAUGAAGUACGUACUAUUAUGCAUCUGAACCAUAUUGACUACUGAUGUAACCUGUGUUGAUGAAUCUGAAAAGGCUACGACUUGCUCAGAAAUUCAAAGUGCGUCAUAACAAGCUUGAUGGUCAGCCGCACACACUCUCGAAGGCGACCAGGGAGAGGUUGAUGCAGGUGAUGCCACCGCCAGAAGCUCCAGCACAUGUCGCUAGUUGCCGCACCUGACCUCAAGGAUCUGCAACACAUCAACCCACAACAUAUACUCAAAUCAGUAAAUGACAGAGUCCCACACGAGUGACAUCAAGAAUCAGUGGUGGAUGCAGCUUCCAGAACAUGCAUCAAGUGAGCGAGUUCCAAAUCAUCUAAUCACUUACAAAGAGAACUCUGUCAUGUGACUGAAUACCACGUCUCAAAGAUGACCAUGUGGGUUGAGGCACGAGCAAGGGUGAAGGCACCAUUGUUUUGACCAUGCUGUGACAAAAAGAGUGAUGGAAAAUUAGGAGCACAAGCAAAGGUAUUUGGCUAAAUUCAAGAAAUCAAUCCAAAUCACAGAGUGGGGAAAUUAAUCUAACCUUGUCAAGGAAGAUAUUUACGUAAUUGAACUAAUAUAAUCAAUUUCCGAAGAGAAAUAGCCAAAUCCUAGACUACUUUCAACAUCAAGAACUGUAUGUUUGCAUGAGCACACAGGAAGGGGAUGUCAUGCCUUGUAAGGGAAGAGCAACAAAUCGACAAGUUGUCGGCUGACCUGGAGGAGAACCAGAGCACGUUGUCUUCUCCACUCCUUCACGAGGCGGUACUUGACAGCCACGGCGAGAAACCGGCAUCAGGAUACAUGUGCAAACAAUGGAACCAACAUCUUUGUAGGCGGACCAGACCAAAUCCAUCAGGUACCCAAGCCAAUGGAUGCGAGGGGUGGAUGCAUUUAUCAUAUCAGAGGGGCAACAGGGAACCCGACGAUGGUGCAUCUAGGCGUGCGAGAGCAAGCCACACAGGAGCCUGGUGACGAGCCAAGGGCCACCCCGGCGCGAGCCAGGGCCGGCAGAGCACAGUGGACGGAGGGCCAAAUGCGGCUGGCAGACGCAGAUCCACGGAUCUCCGGGCAGAGCAUCGCCACCGGCCCGUGGAGUCAAGCGGGAGUGGGGGAAGCAGGCGGUGGAGGAGGGCGCUGGGGUUGGGGUCGCUGUCGGACGAAAGGGCAGAUCCAACGAUGAUGUAGCUGUCGCGCGCGACCCUAUCUGUGCGCCGCAAGCAAGCCCAACGGUGGCCAACAAGUGCCGCGCAGAGUGCCGCGAUGGGGAGGAGGUGGGCCAUGUGGGUCAAGCUGGCCGCCGGCGGGAGGGCAGCUGACGGCCACCAUGAGCGAAGGUGAAGAUCGGAUCGAGGGGAGGAGAAGCUCGCGCGAACGGACUUGGAUUUCGACGGGAGACGCGUCCCCGCUCUGAGGAGCCGCCUUCGCCGCCGCCGCCGGCUGCACUCUCAAGCUAUCGCGGCGGGGCAGCGAGGGUAAGAAACCCUAGCGGCAGCCGAGCGUGGGGGUGGGGGUUGGAGUGCUGUUGCGUGAGGGAGUGGAGAGGUGGAGAUGCUCCUGCAGCCGCGCCCGAUGAAGAGGUCGGGCCGGCGGAGCAGCAGGGGCGGCAGCGGAGCGGGAGAUGAGGGCGACGACGGCACGGGAGAUGGGGGAAAGAGAGAGGUCGCAUCGGGAUCGAGAGGUGGGGGCGUUGUACUGGUUUUUGCGGGAGGGGUGGUGCGAAAAAAAAUCUAUGAAGGUUAACCUACAAAAAAACCGGACGAAAGUGAUGGGACGAAAAUUGACCGGCGGAGACUAUCAGCUGCUCCAUUAGGAGUUGUCCUGGCCAUGGGCCGCCCGGCCCGAACAGCCUGGCCCGACCCAGCCCGAAAAAGCCCGGCCCGACGCUGCUCCCGGGCCGGGCCUGGGCCUAGGUUUUGAGUCCGAAGACUAGGUCGGACCGGGCCUGGGCCCGCUGUUUAUGCCAUUUACUGAAGAGGCCCGGCCCGAGGCCCGACGUGUUUUUUGCUGUGAUGGGCCGGGCUCGGGCCGGGCUCGGGCCUGAGUUUUCUACCUCGGGCUUGGUCAGGCCCGGCCCGAAGCCCGGCCCGGCCCGAAGGAUGGCCAGGUCUAAUUAGGAGUAGAGAUACUCGUUACAAAGAACACUCCAUUUUCCCAGGUCGUGACAAGUGGCGCACAUGCAGCAUGCUACUCGUCGCAACCUGGGAGUUUUCUCUUUUUUCGUAGAUUCGUUUAUUUAAAAUGUUUUAUCUUUUAAACCGUGCGUCCAAAUCUUGAACUGUUUUCAUCAUUGGAUUCCUCGCGUUGAGAUCUUCAAAAUUAGAUCCCAUGUUGAUAGGUUUUGACAAACUUUUUUUUCACGAAAAAACGGACGAAAAAACCAGGCGAAAAAACUGAACCGAGAGCACGAUUUUUUCCUUUCCGAAAGAGGCACGCCCAUGCCUCUCGCGAAAUCACACCCGUGCCUCUCGUGGAAGCAAAAUCGUGACUCUCGUGGAAGGAAAAAAAAUAAAACGCGUUUUUUCCGAUUCCGAGAGGCACGACCGUGACUCUCGCAAAAAGCACAACCGUGCCCCUCGCAGAAGCAAAACCGUGACUCUCGCGAAAGAAAAAAAACUGAAAACGCAUAAUUUUUUCCCUUUCUGAGAGGCACGCCUGUGACUCUCGCGAAAGCACAACCGUGCCUCUCGUGGAAGCAAAACCGUGACUCUUGCAAAGAAAGAAAAACUGAAAACGCGUUUUGUUUUUCCCUUUCCGAGAGGCACGGCCGUGACUCUCGCGAAAGAAAAAAACAGAAAACACGUUUUUUUCGUUUCCGAAAUGCACGGUCGUGACUCUCGCUAAAGCGCAACCGCGCCUCUCGCGGAAAAAACCAUGACUUUCGCGAAAGAAAGAAAAAAAAACGCGUUUUUUUGCGCAAAAAAUCGAUUUUUUAUCAAAAAACUAAGGAAGAGCGGGGGAAAACCAAAACAUCGAAAAAACCAUUUAAAAGCCAAAAACGUGUGCGGAAAAAUAAAUAAAAUAAAAUUCAGAGGAGGCAUCCAGAGCGCGACACGUGGAGAAUGGCUGAGAGCGCGCCAAGUGGCGCUGAUCAUUGCGAGGCUCCUGAAGGAGUGCUUGUUUUUUUAACCUGGCGAAUCCCCUUUCCAUUACUUGAACAUAACGGAAAUACAACCAAGUUCAGAAAAUAGGACGGGAAAGAGGAAAGUGGGUUCAAGCAUAGUCGGGAAACCCAUCAUGAGCACUCGCCAUCGAGAUUACUCACCAUGGGGCGAAAACCCGACGACACUAUAAAUCCAAGACCCCAACAUCUAACUCGGGGUUUUCAAAAGACCACUGCUCACAUGAGAGCAACAUGCCCCACAACAUCCUCACGCAGGAGGUAUCUGACCAAAAGCAAUAACGAAGGAUGCAGCAGAUUCUCUUUCUUCUUUCAAUCUUCAUAGCGCACUCCUCCAUCCUGGUGAGAAGGAGCGCUUGUUAACUAGUUGCUCCUCCAAGGUUGACUCUUAAAUCACACUGCAUCCGUCCGUGGAUGAGUAGGGACCAGUCUGUGACAAUGAUGCGAGAGCUGGCCAUCCCGUUACAUUUCGAAUGAUUUAAAAAAACAAAUAUAUGCAAAUUUAAACAAAUUGCAUGAAUUUCAUUCAAACUUGGAUAAAUUUUACAUAAAACCGGAUGAUUUUUGACAUACUUGAGUUGCCCCUAUUCUAACCUAGCCUAAUUGAUCAUUGAUCGACCAUGAGACCCAGAAACUGAAACUCCGCCUCCGCGAAGCGGCCAAGCGACUAAUCGAUCGACGAUGAUGACCGCGUCAAGCUUAGCUUCAACGAGGAGGGGAGGAGUGGUGGCCUUCGUGGGGCCCAAGUAUCUGCGGCCUCGUAUGCUCUACUCUUCCUCACUGUCGGCGACGUCCGCGGACAUGCUGUGGCAACGGGACUUGGCUGAUGCGGAGCUGGAGACGUCGUCCGUGCCGUCGUAAAACUCCGUCGCCGCCUCAUUUAUCUCCGUGAAGGCGGCUUCUUUCUUCACCUGCAGGACACGGUGCCACCUUCUUGAGUGCCAGGGACAAAAUUGUUUUUCUGUUUUAUGUGCAUGUACAAGUGAAAUUGUUUGUUGUAAGAACUCCUUCCGGUUCGAUAAACCUUGAUUCUUUAUUGAGGAAAAUUCUUAUUGCAAGGUUACUUCACCCUUACACUUGGAGUAUACCCAAACACUCUUAUGAGAGAGCAAGCAAGAUUUCUGGCGCCGUUAUCGGGGAGUUUCUACUCAAAUAAACUGGUGUUAUACACUAUCGCAUCACUUCCUUGUUAUCUUUCUUGCCUAGUUACUUUUGAUUUAUUAUUUUCUUACCAAAAAUACCAAAAGGAAUUACACCGCACUUCCUAUUUACCUUGCUAUCAUGGCUAGUUCUCCACUUUCUGUCACCAGACCCGAGCUAGAAGUGCUAAAUUUUAAACAAAAAGGUUAAGAAAGUUUAAAAUAUGCUUGGUAUAAGAUACUAGAUGGUCAAAGUAGGUUUAGCGUAAGCAAUCUAUUACAAUCCUUAGGAUUUUUUAUGUUGGCAUUACUACUUUUUUUGAGGAUCACAUCACCGUUUAUUGCUUAAAACAAGUUCGGAAUGUCAUCAGAAACACAAGAAAGAAUGCAGUCUAGUGGCAUAUUCAGCCAAACCUUAUUUAAAUCUAAACACACGCCCUCCCGAGCUAGAACAUGGGCAACUUUAUUCCCACUUCGUCGAACCCAUGUUACCUUGGAAGCUUGUUUUGAUCGAAGCAACUCCUUCAUCCCCUCGAUGAUUGAUCCAGCAGCUGUAAGAUUCUUCUUUUCGUCAUUAAGCAUGGCCACCACACUCUUGUUGUCCCCCUCCACAUGCACCCUGGGAGCGUCUAUUUGCAUCGUCAGCUUGAUAGCUUCCCUGCAAGCUAGAAUCUCGGCUAGCUCUGGGUUAGUUACGCCCGGAAAGGUAAAGCAUGCAGUAGCUCUGAACGCCUCGUCGUGGUCUCGAGCAACUACACCGCCACCACCUCGAUCGUUAUGCUUGGGCAUCGCUCCAUCUGCAUUGACCAUUAUCCAUCCUUGCUCCGGUGUUUUCCACCUCACAGCCAGUGCUGGGGUAGGAGUUUUUACCUUGUUUCCAUGUACUAGCAUCCAUUCUUCAGCAAGCCUGAUUAUCGAGUCAGCAACAUCCCGAGCAUCAGCAAUCCUUCGUCCAUCUCAUGCCUCAUUCCUCGCUAACCAAAGACCAUACACCGCCUGGAUCAUUAACUCCUUUGAAUCCUCGCUCACCUCCGCAAACCAUAGUUAUAGCCAUUUUGAUAGUGCGACUGGGGACUCGUCCAUCUCCGAUGGGAUCGCCGCUGGUGCCCCCUUUUCCUCACCCAAGACCUUUCAGAACAACACAGAGUGUGGACAUGCCUAGUAACGGUGGUAUAGUGUUUCCUCUCUGCCACACGCCACACAAAACACUCCAGGCUUAAUUCUUCGCCGAUGCAACUCAAAACCAACUGCCAGUCCAUUUCUCAUUAAGCGCCACAUGUGGAUUUUGGACUUCCCUGGAGCAUUUGUAUUCCACAACGAGAGCCAACUUCUAUGUUGCUGUACUGAGGACGAGGAUUCUGGCCGUCCAGAACUCGCUCGCUUUAUGUUCAUGCACAAUUGAUACGCCGACCGUACGGAAAAUUGACCACUCUUUAUAUAGUACCAUGCCAAGAAAUCACUACAUCCAGGGCCUCCAAUUACCACCUGUUUUAUGUCAGUUGUGUCAUCCACAGAGAACAUAGCGUCAACUUUGGUCUGAUCCCAGGCUGUGCCAUCUGUAGUCAUUAAGUCGUUAACCCUAGUAACCCCAUGCAUAUAAUUCUGCCCUAGAGGUUUGAGACUACCACUCCUUGGUAUCCAGUUUUCGUGAUGUAUGUUUACAGUUGAACCAUCUCCAAUGCGUCAUUGUAAGUGCAUCUAGUGCCCCUUGGUGUUUUUGGUGUAUUAAAGACUUAUAGGUUAAGGGACUAAUGUGUUUGAAAAUGUACUGUCAGAGUAAAUAGCCAUGGGUUGCCUAGCCGGCUUCCCCUGGCCCUUCUGAAGAAAAUUGCGAGCCCGUCCGGCUCUCAAGAGUCCAAGACAUGGGGCCGCCUUCCCCUUGCUGGUUGUCACCCAGGCCGGCUUCGAGAAGGCGGCCCGACUUUAGCCAUCAUAAAGAAAGCCAUGGGAGGGCCGACUCCGAGAAGCCGGCCGCGAGAAGGCCGACUCCAAGAAGCCGGCUCCCACAAAGCGGUCGAGACCGUACCCUCAAAGUUUGCAUCCACCUAGCGGCGAUGUGAUGGGGCGUGGCUACAGUGAAGCCUGCCACCCCCGAAUACCGGAGCACUCCUGGCACAGUGCGCCAUACGGAGUGGCCAUGACCCGUCCGGCGCGGCAUUGUUGCCAUGUUGACCCUGAUGUCAUCCACGACGGGAUACCAGUACGGCCCAUGGGCGGUGGGCCCCUUCGGGCAGAGAGACGCCCGAAGGCGGCCAGGCCUCCCCCAGUCAGCCCGAGGCAGGGCCGGCUCCCCGCAGCCGGCUCGCUUCCCCCCUCAAAGGGGACGCCCCAUUAAGGAGACAAGACGCGGUAAGGCUACAGUAAUCGCCCGCCGGACGGCGGCACUAUAGCCACGCUUACCUCGACGAAGCCCUCGUCAUCAGGUUGAGGCAACAGUAACCAGCCAUCGACAAGACCCUUGGCAGUGGGGCAUGCCUGUUGCCAAGGAGUUGGUAGCCGGCGGGACCCACCAGCCAGCGGGCCCCAGCAGUCGGCGCAGAAGCCGGCGAGCGCAGUCACAGACGGCUGGGCCCCGCGCCUAGUCGGAUUACCAUUGUACCCCCGUGGGGUAGGCCUAUAUAAACCCCCUGGGGCACCCAUGUAAAGGGUUGGACCCCCUGCUGGUUCUAGACACCACACAAGGAGAAGAAGCAAGCUAGCCGUGCCCUUCUUCCUCCUUCCACCGAACAGCUCAAGGAGCAUUGUGUAGCUACUUGUCCAUCUAGUGAUCAUGCGGAGACCCCGCAGAGCAGCAGUAGGGGUGUUAUCUCCACGGAGAGCCCCGAAGCUGGGUAAGAUUCGCCGGCGUGCAUGUCUUCGCCUCAUCCCGUUUCCAGGCACCGGCGAUGUCUUACUAGCUCCCACAAUGAUAAGCCACCCGUUGGCAUAUGUCGCACCUACCACCCGACAUUUGGCGCCCACCGUGGGGCCAGGUGCACCAUCGUCCGGAGACCUGUUUUGGACGGGAACCUUCUUCCUCCCCGGCGAGUGUAGCCAGCCCGGCACGCCCGAUGGCGCUUGCCACGACGCACUGCAAGGCGUCACCAGCGUCUGCGCGGCGAGCAGCCUCGCCGAUCUCCUCGACGAAACCCUCAUCUCCGACAAGCUCGCCUCCGAUGCGGGCACCGACCACCUCGCCAACCUUCUCGGCCAGCUCCAUGUCUCCAGCGAGCCCGCUGUGGACCUGGAGUCGGUUGGCUCCACCGACCUGAUGCCUGUCGACUCCGACACGGCCUCGUUCGACACCUUCCCCACCAACGUCACGAUCUACAACGACCCGCUUCCCCGAGCCGGUGGCUGCGACGCUGUCACCACCGAAGUGAUGGUUGUCGGCCACGGUGGCCCGGCCGACGAGAGCGCCCACGACGCCCCGCACGCGGCGGCCCACGACUUGUCCACCCCCCUCCCGGCUGAUGCCGACGACGAAGCACUGGAGGCACGCCGCCUCGCCCUCCUCGCAGAGGGCCGGAGGCUGGCUUCCGUAAGACGCCUCACUGAGGCCUACCAGCGCGAAGCUGACCGCGCCGCCUUCGGCACGCCGGCCCUGGGCGGGCCAAGCCGGGUCGGCCUUGUCAAGCAACGCGGCGCCGUCAUCGCCGACAGGCUGGGAGUCGACCGCCCGGUCUAUGCCACUCCGCUCGAGAACGUGCGUGCCGCCCAGGCGGCCGUAGAGGAGUUGGACGGCUUGGAGGCCGAAGACCUCCCCCACAUGACCCGGCACAUCCAGCAACUGAUUGACGCAGCCGCGCAGCAACAUGAAGCCGACGCCCGCGCGGAAAGCCCUCCCCCGCGCCGAGAUCACGGCGCGACGUCCCGGACACCGACUACGAGCAACACCCGCACGCGGCGUGAGAAAGAGCCGGCUGCCAGCCGCAGCCGGACCCGAAUCUCCAUCGAGCGAGACGCGGACGGCCAUCCCCAAGCCAUGAAAUGGCGGGGCAACCCGCCUCCGCCUCCACCCCGUGGAGAGAGAUAUCCCGCCCCACCGCCAGUGGCGCACCCGACUCUCAGCGGCCGGCUAGGCCGCCGCGAAGGAGUCGGCGAGAACGACGCCCGCCAUCGGAUCGACCGCCUGGCGCAAUCCCUGGCGUUGGAAGAAGAAGACGCUGUCGGCCCGCCUUGUUUCGGCCCCCGCAUCCGCGACGAGCCCUUCCCCAAAGGGUUCUCGCUCCCAAGAUACACGCCCAAGUACAACGGCUCCGUGAAGCCGGAAGAUUGGUUGAUCGACUACUCCACGGCGGUUAGCAUAGCCAACGGCAACCGGCGCGUUGCCGUGAAGUACGUGCCCCUCAUGCUGCAAGGCACGGCGCGGACCUGGCUCAACAGCCUCAAGCCGCGCAGCAUCAACAGUUGGCUGGACUUCACAGAAGCCUUCAUCCGCAACUUCACCAGCACCUAGAAGCGGGCUCCCAAGCCCAGACAGCUCUCCUUGUGCGUACAAGGCCCCGCCGAGUCUACUCGCGACUACCUCACGCGUUGGGCCGAGCUCCGCAACUCUUGCGAAGGGGUGCACGAGGUGCAAGCCAUAGAAUACUUCACAGCCGGAUGCCGAGAAGGCACCCUCCUCAAGCACAAGCUCCUCUGCGAUGAGCCGACUACCCUCGACGAGCUUCUGGACAUAGCGGACAAGUACGCCACCGCCGACUCCUCGAUGAAGACCGAGCUUCGGGUAGACGCGUCCGGGAAAGUACUUAAUCCGGCGCCCAAGACGCCCAAGACGCCGAAGAGGAAAUUGUGGAUCGCUGAGUGACCGAGUCUGUGAAGGUUUGGAAGUCACCUGAAGACUUACCACGAGUGACUGAGCGAGGUCUGUGUGACCUUAGCUCAAGGAGAAUAUGGUGAGGACUGUGUGUCCUCAGUUUAAAUACCUAGCCGCUCCAACUAGACGUACGACUGUGACAGCAGUUGCAACUGGUCUACCAAAUCAUUGUCUUCACCGAGCUAACUGGUUCUAUUUCCUCAACCCUUUCAUUUCCUCUUACUGUGUUGUUGUACCAGAUCGUUACUGUUUGAAGACUUUGACUAAAGACUUUCUCAAUUUCCUCAGUUCAAUUUCUUCAGUCAGUUUGUCUUCAACCUGCUUAUCCUGUGUUUACGCUUCUUAUACUCUGUGCUUGUUUUCAUUUCUUCAUGAUGGCUGUGCUACUACUCUGUUAUGGUUUCAUCUGAGUACUUAUUCCGCUGCUAAGUAGUUUGUUGCUUAGGAAUUUCCUCACCCUGAAAUUCCUCAGCGACGAAUUUGUAAAAAUCGCCUAUUCGCCCCCCUUAGUCGAUAUAACGCACUUUCAGUCACAUUACUCCUUCUUUGAGUAAAUCCCUUCCAAACAGAAUACUUCAUAACGUAUAUGAUGCGGCACUAGGACAUGUGGCAUUUGUUGGGGAACGUAGUAUUUUCAAAAAAAAUCCUACGCACACGCAAGAUCAUGGUGAUGCAUAGCAACGAGAGAGGAGAGUGUUGUCCACGUAUGAAAGGAUCGAUAUGGUUGACUAGAGGGGGGGGUGAAUAGGCAACUAACAAAUUUUAGCUUUUCUUUAACAAUUUAAACUUUGCAUCAAAGUAGGUUGUCUAGAUAUGCAACUAGGUGAGCAACCUAUAUGAUGCAACGAGGAUAGGUACACAAGCAAGCAAGAGAUAUGAAACAAGUAAGCUUGCUCAAAUAAAGGCACAAGAUAACCAAGAGUGGCGAUGGUGGAGACAAGGAUGUGUUGCCGAAGUUCCUUCCCUUUGAGAGGAAGUACGUCUCUGUUGGAGCGGUGUGGAGGCACAAUGCUCCCCAAGAAGCCACUAGGGCCACCGUAUUCUCCUCACGCCCUCACACAAUGCGAGAUGCCGUGAUUCCACUAUUGGUGCCCUUGAAGGCGGCGACCGAACCUUUACAAACAAGGUUGGGGAUCUCUCCACAACUUAAUUGGAGGCUCCCAACAAAACCACGAAGCUUCACCACAAUGGAAUGUGGCUCCGAGGUGACCUCAACCGUCUAGGGUGCUCAAACACCCAAGAGUAACAAAAUCCACACAAGAAAGUAUGGGGGAAGCAAAUAUCCUUUGGUGGAAGUGUAGAUCUAGGUCUCCUCCUUCAAUCCCUAGCAAAUCAACAAGUUUGAGUGGCUAGAGAGAGAGAUCGGGCAAGAGAGCUUGAAGGGCAUUAAUGGCGGAGUGAGAGAGGUCAAAGGUAGGAGUGGUAGGUGGGAGAAGCCCCCUUAAAUAGUCACCCCUCAUUUCCAACCGUUACUGCGUUUUUUGCACUGCAGCGGUACAACCGGUCCUCGUCCCGGUACAACCGGGACUCACGGUGUAACUGCAGAACCCUACCAAGCGGUACAACCGGACAGGCGGGCGGUAGUACCGGCUAAGAAAAAUAACCGGACUAACCGCCUGGCUACCGCACAACCACCGCAUCAAAACAGGAGCUAGACCGGUACUUGGGCGGUGCCUGGCCGGAACAACCGCAUGGCCUUGAGCUCUUGGGCGGCUAAGUACUGAGCGGAAGAACCGCUCGGACCACCGGUGGUACCGGUCAUCAUGGAACGACCGGACCAACCGGGCCACUACCGCCCAAGAACCGCAUCACGCCAGAAGCGAGGGUGGUACUUGAGCGGUGCAUGGACGGAACCACCGCCCCAGCUAUUGCAGAGCAUGGUGGCGGUACCACCGCCCGGAGGCAGCGGUACAACCGCUCGAGCAAAGCUGGUGAGCGACAAGACCCAGCGGUACAACCGCUCCAGAGAGCGGUACAACCGCUGGGCAGACACUGUGAGCAGAAAAGAGGGGAAGAGGCAAGGAAAACUCUCUCUCUCUCACACACACCUGAGGAAGGCAAGGAGAGGGUGAGAAAAGUGUACAUGAACUGAUUCCCCCAGAGCUUCCUAAUGAGGAUUCCCUCUUAAUAGUACGGGUACUCUACGACCAAAGAAAAUAAAAGCGUAGAGGACAUGUCUUCGAUCUUUUCCUUCGAGAGGCAACAGCAAUCCGAUGUAAACCUAAGCAUCGAGAACCUGAAACAUAUAGCACACGAUUAGACCACAAAGGGUUGUUAUCAUCAUCCAAAACAUAAGGUAGGGAAAUGCCCUUUCAAUCUCCCCCUUUUUGGUGGAUGAUGACAACAACAUGAUUUGCAAGAGAUAAGUCAAUGAAAUCUAGACGGAACUCCCCCUGGAUGUGUGCCCAACAAGUACUAGCUGUUAGAAAGCAUGGGCACACCUUCAGGACUAGACUCCCCCUAGAUUUUAUAGACUCAUCACUCUAAGCUCAAAAGGAUAGACAAUAUAAUACUUAGAGGCAAUAAAAACGAUAAUGACCUACGAACGGAAACAGGUCCACAAACAAACAAGUCUCACACACAGCACGGAACGAAACAGGUCCACAACCAAACACAAACAUGAGAAAAACUCAAGCAAAACCCCGAGACCUAUAGAACCCUCUCCCCCUUUGGCAUCAAGACACCAAAAAGGAAAAGAGCGAAGCUAGCGACCCAAAGCUCAGGCGUCCUCCUCUGACUCCUCGGUUGCAUCUGGAUCUUCAUCAUCAGAGUCAUCAUCAUCGUCGUGAUCAGAUUCUUCCAUGGCAUUGUCAGCUGCUGCAAACGAGGAUGAUGGCUGGGGAGGAGCUUCAUCAUUAGUCCAGGUGCUAUGGGUAGAGAUCCAACGCUCCUCUAGGGUGAUGCUCUUCUCAGAGCCACUCUGAACCUGCAUGUUGAGGUGCUUCAUCAUUGCAAUUUGGCGACGCCGUGCAAGCUUCUCAUUGACAUGUGCCUCAUACAUCUUCUUCUGGAUGUCAGCCUGGAGACAAAAGGUCUUCUUCACCUUGGCAGUAAGUUUGGCCACCCAUGAAGGCUGGGCCCCUGGCUCCAGCUCAAAGUCCUCAUCGUCAGAAGUAGCAUAGACAUCCUCAGGAGCAUGUUCAGGGAAGUGAGGCUCGGCAUGCUUCUUCUUCUUAAGGAGCUUGACCUCAUGAACUGUGAGGUUGUCUGGAGAAGUGAGGAGCUCUCCAGGACGAUGAACAGCCCACACAGAGUUCAGAAAGCACAUGACAAGCGGAGCGUAGAUUGGGACUUUACGGUAGAUGACCAUGUUGUACAUCUCAUGCCACAGCCAAUUUGACACAUCAAACGUUGCCCCUGUCCCCACCAUGGUCUUCAUAGCAACCAUCAAAUCAACCAGAUAGCCAUGAAUCUCAUCUUGAUUGCCCACCUUGGGCAAGAGCACAUUUCGGAACACUCAGUGCAUGAUGUCAUAGACCUUCUCCAAAUCCUUGGAUUCUCCAAUAAUCCCAUGACCCCGAAUGUACAGAGGGGCAAGCUUCUCCUUAGGCAUGGACUCAGGAAGAUCAUGAGGGCGAAUGCCACCCCUUCCUUCCAGACCGGUAUCCUCGUACCCAAUAGCAUUGCAGAAAGCCCUCCAGGGAACGUGAAACAAUUCAUCGCGACACAUGAAGGUGAGAGUGCGCGCAUCAUCUUCCCCAAAAUGAACCGUGGCAUAGAACUAAUGGAUGAGUUGAACAUCAAAGUCACAGUUGACUGACAUGAUCUUGACAAGAUCAAACUCUUUGCAGAGAGCUAGCGCCUCACCAAAAUACUCCAUAUUGUUUCUCCAAUGAUCAAAAUCAAUUGUCCACUGCUUGGCAUAUCUAUUCUUGUUGUGCUCAAAGAGUUCAUGAACAAUCCGCACUUGCAUCUCAUUCCGGAACUGAACAGUGGUCCAACGGGGAGCAAUGGGAACCUCAUACGGAUUCUUUGAGCGGAAGGCUUCCCAAUCCUUGGCUUUCCAACGAUGCAACGGCAUAACCACACGUUGCUUAGCAGCUGCAUACUUUUCACGACGAGUGGGCUUGGUGGGAAUCACAACUUCUUCUUCAUCAUCAGACACAACCGGGCGCAAGGUCCUUCGUGCCCUCUUCUUGGUCUUGCGAGGAGCAGAGCGAGAACUAGAGCCACCUGAACACACACACACACACGAAAAGAACACACAAAAACCCAACAAGGAUGAGAGGAUUGCACCCACUAGCAGAAAAGGAACAAGUUGCAACAACAGAGAAGAUAGAACAGUGCUUAGUGGUUGAUAUACUAUGGUUGUACCGGAUCUUCCGCCGGUAGUACCGCUCCAGCGGUUGUACCACCCGUAGGGGCGGUAGAACCGCUGACAGUGGCACUACCAAGGAAGAUAGAUCUAACCGAGGCAUACGAAUCACACAAGUAAUAUUCCGAGUUCUAAGUGCUGCAAACAAGACAGGAGGCUAACAAAGAACUCUUCUAAGCCAUAGAACGAACACUAAACGCGGAAAGAUAAGUAAAGCCCUAGACAAGGAAGAACCCCCAAAAAAAUCUAGAGGCAAAGAACACAAGGCAUUACCACCAUCCAUGGGAAGAGAUCGGGAGGCCUCCACGGAGAGCCAAGGAUCCGAAGCGCGAGACGCACUCCGGGGCAGGGGUAGAGAUGGCCGGCGGCUAGGGCAAGAAAAAGAGGAACGAGGACGAAGGGAAAAAGACAACCCUUCAGCCCCGUCGAGUAUAUAUAGGCCCAUACACACGCCCCGGUAGAACCGCUUAGGGGAGCGGUUGUACCGCUCGUCUGGUACAGACUGGUGGAUGGAGGCGGUACUUCCGGUGCCUGGGAGGCACCGGUAGUACCGCACGGCAUCAACCGGUAGUACCGGACGUGGGUUACCAUGGGUUUGUGCGGUGGAACCGCCCAAGCACCAAACGGAGACCCUUGGGACGGCACAACCCGGUACCAGCGGUAGAACCGCUCGUGGUACCGGUUGUACCGCCCGACCACCUAAGCCCAAGCCAAGAUCAAAUGAGUGCAAUCCGAAGGGAGGAAGAAGGGGCACAAAACAGGAGAGAAACAACACCCUAGGAGAACCUAACACAAAGAGCAAAGAGAGAAAGAGAGAAAACAACACGAGAACAACAAGGCUAACUCCAACCUCCCGAAGAGAGGACGGUGGCCGAGGCCACCUAUGUUUGAGUCAAUUGGUAUGGCACGGCGAAGAAUUAUCCUUGGGUCCAUGACCAAAAUUCGCCUUUGAAGCACAAGUACCAUCAAAUAUGGCUAAUGUGAAAGACACAAUCAAUUUAUGCAUAAUGGGGGGAGGGAGAGUUCAUUGAGAGAACAACACUCCCCCUAUGUCCAUGCCUACACCUAAACUAGACAACAAGUUGAGCGUGGUAGGGUGUGCAAGGGUUCAAGCCACAUUGCUCGAAUCAAUGAUAUUUAGCUCAUGCCUUAACUCGCGAAAUCUUGCUUCAUCCAAGGGCUUCGUGAAAAUAUAUGCAAGGUUGUCAUGAGUGUUGACAUAGUUGAGCUCGAUCUCUCCUCGUCUAAUGUGAUCCCGGAUGAAGUGAUACCGGAUCUCAAUAUGCUUCGUCUUGAAAUGUUGCACCAGAUUGAGAGAGAUCUUGAUGGCACUUUCAUUGUCACACCAAAGAGGCACUUUGUCACAAGUGACACCGUAAUCCUUUAAAGUUUGCCUCAUCCAUAGGAGUUGAGCACAACAACUACCGGCGGCAACAUACUCCGCCUCAGUGGACGAGAGAGACACACAACUUUGCUUUUUGGAAGACCAACCAAGGAAUUGGCACCCUCCGGAAGUGGACUUCCUAUCCACUUUGUCUCCCGCCCAAUCGGAAUCCGAGUACCCUACAAGCUUGAAGUUUGAUCCUCUAGGGUACCAUAGGCCAAAGUUUGGGGUAUGAGCCAAAUAUCGAAAGAUUCGUUUGACUGCCACAAAGUGACUUUCCUUAGGUGCGGCUUGAAACCGUGCACAAAUUCCCACACUCAACAUGAUGUCCGGUCUAGAUGCACAAAGGUAAAGCAAGGAUCCAAUCAUGGAAUGAUAUACCUUUUGAUCCACCACUUUACCAUUGGGAUCUAAGUCAAGUUGGCACUUGGUGGGCAUUGGAGUGGAAGCCGGCUUGACGUCACUUAGCUUGAAUCUCUUGAGCAUGUCUUGAGUGUAUUUGGAUUGAUUGAUGAAGGUUCCUUCUCUUCUUUGCUUCACUUCGAACCCUAGAAAGAACUUCAACUCUCCCAUGGAGGACAUCUCGAACUUUGAGGUCAUGAGAGUGGCAAAUUCCACAUUGAAAGCUUUGUUAGGAGAACCAAAGAUAAUAUCAUCAACAUAUAAUUGGCACACAAACAACUCCCCUUUGACCUUAUUAGUAAAAAGAGUGGGGUCGAUUAGCCCAACUUCAAAACCACGGUCUUGUAACAACUCGGUAAGGUGGUCAUACCACGCACGUGGGGCUUGUUUAAGGCCAUAGAGCGCCUUAUCGAGUUGAUACACAUGAUCGGGAAAGUAGGGAUCCUCGAACCCGGGGGGUUGCUUGAUGUAAAUCAAUUAAUUAAUGGGACCAUUAAGAAAAGCACUCUUCACAUCCAUUUGUUGUAACUUAAAAUUAUGAUGAGAAGCAUAUGCAAUUAACAUGCGAAUGGAUUCAAGACGAGCAAUGGGAGCAAAGGUUUCACCAUAGUCGAUACCCUCGACUUGGGAGUAGCCUCGUGCUACCAAAUGAGCCUUGUUGCGAAUGAUAAUCCCAUGGGCAUCUUGCUUGUUCUUGAAUAUCCACUUGGUUCCAAUGACAUUGUGGUUCCCCGUUGGCCUUGGCACCAAUCUCCACACUUUGUUGCGCUCGAAGUUGUUGAGUUCUUCGUGCAUGGCAUUGAGCCAAUCCGGAUCUUCUAGCACCUCAUAGACCUUGUGGGGUUCCACACAAGAGACAAACGCGUGAUGCUCACAAUAAUUUGCUAAUUGUCUAUGAGUGCUUACCCCCUUUCUUAAGCUUCCAAGCACAUUCGUCAUGAGAUGAUCCUUGGUGGAGAGCUUGGAUGCAAUCUUGGCGGCACGACGCUCUAAUUCCUCCUCGGUGGUGAGUUGAGGAGCGGUUACUUGAUCAUCUUGAGCGCCGUCAUGAACUUGUUCUUGAUCUUGAACUUGCUCGGGGGAGAGAACUUGACCUUGGGCAUCACUUGGUGUGUCAACACCGUCUUGAGUAUGAUCUUGCCCUUGGUCUUGUUCAUGAGGUUGAGGGCCUUCACUUUGUUCUUCGGAAGUGUGUGGGCCUUGGGUUGGUGAUGGCUCCACUUGAGUGGAGCAUUGUCCUUCUCCUUCGGCCACAAGGGGUUCCUCAAUGGGUAGGAUAAAACCAACACCCAUUCUUCUUAUGGCUUGAGGAGGAAUUUCAUCACCUACAUCGCAAGUGCCACUUUGCUCCACUUGGGAGCCGUUAUUCUCAUCAAACUCCAUGUUACAUGUCUCCUCAAUAAGUCCCGUGGAUUUAUUGAGGACACGGUAAGCAUGAGAGUUUGUAGCAUAACCAACAAUAUGCCCUCAUGAGCUCUAGCCUCAAAUUUAGACAACCGAACACCUUUCUUGAGAAUGAAACACUUACACCCGAAUACCCGGGAGUACUUGAGGUUGGGCUUGUUACCGGUGAGUAUCUCAUAUGGAGUCUUGUUCAAGCCCUUGCGGAGGUAGAGCCGAUUGGAUGCAUGACAUGUGGUGUUGAUGGCUUCGGCCCAAAAGUUGUACGGAGACUUGAACUCCGCCAUCAUGGUCCUUGCCGCAUCCAUCAACGUCCGGUUCUUCCUUUCCGCAACACCAUUUUGUUGAGGGGUGUAUGGUGCGGAAAAUUGAUGCUUGAUUCCCUCAUCACUAAGAAAUUCAUCCAAGGUGUAGUUCUUGAACUCGGUGCCAUUGUCACUUCUUAUUGUCAAGAUCUUUGCAUUGUGUUGACGUUGUGCUUCAUUUGCAAAGUCAAUGACGGUUUGUUGGGUCUCGCUCUUCCUCUUGAAGAAAUACACCCACGUGUACCUUGAGUAGUCAUCCACAAUCACCAAGCAAUACUUCCUACCUCCAAGACUAUCGAAGGAUGGAGGCCCAAAGAGAUCCAUGUGAAGGAGCUCCAAAGGCCUCUUUGAAUAAAUGAUAGUCGUGGGAGGGUGAGCCUUCUCAUGUAGCUUUCCUUCGAUACAGGCACUGCAAGCACGAUCUUUAGCAAAACUAACAUUCGUUAGUCCACGGACAUGGUCCCCCUUGAGGAGACUUUGCAAAGAUCUCAUAUUGACAUGGGCUAAACGGCAAUGCCAAAGCCAUCCCACAUCAACUUUAGCCAUUAGGCAUGUCGCGGUCUUAGUGGGUCGCUCCGAAAAGUUAAUCACAUAUAGACCGUUCUCGACAUGCCCAACAAAGGCUACUUUAAGAGUCUUGCUCCACAAGAGGGCCACAGUAUCGAUAUCAAAGAAAGUGGCAAAGCCCAUGAUUGCAAGUUGACGAAUGGAAAGUAAAUUGUAUGCAAGGGACUCAACAAGCAUGACCUUCUCGAUCGUGAGAUCAUGAGAGAUGACCACCUUGCCAAGUCCCAAUACCUUAGAAGAUGAGGCGUCACCCCACUCGACAUUGGUGGGCAUAGAUGGAACCUUGUGCACGUCCACCAUCAAGUCCUUGCUUCCGGUCAUAUGAUUUGUAGCUCCGCUAUCAAGCAACCAUGAUCCACCACCGGAAGCAAACACCUACAAGAGAUCAAUGCUUGGUUUUAGGUACCCAUUUUGUAAUGGGUUCUUUGAUGUUAGUAACAAGGGCCUUAGGAACCCCAAUAGACCAUUCAAUGUAUUCAUGAAGAGAACCAACAAAUUUGGCAUAAACAUCCAUCACUAGCACGGCAUAACACAUAAGAAGGAUUAAAAUCGCUGGCUUUGUUGGGAGGGGUGACAUUGCCCUUCUUGACAUUGUUCUUCUUCUUCUCCUCGGGGGCACUCUCUCCCUCCCUCACAAAGGUUUGCAUGAGAGGAGGAGGUCGUUUGGUCUUGUCAUUCUUCUUCUUGUUCUUGGAGUCGGGCGCGUACCCAACCCCUUCCUUGGCCACAACUCCCUUUUGGUUGAUCAAGAGAUCGUUGAGGUUCUUCUUGCCUUGUAUGCAAGCCGCAAGACCUCUCUCAAGUUGCUCCUUCAACUUAGCAUUUUCCUCAACAAGAUGUAUAUGCUCACAACAUGGGUUAGUAGCAUUUGCAUUAUCAAUUAAAACCAUAUGAGGAAAAGUUGCUUUCUCCUUAGUUAGCUUCACUUGGAGUUGAUCAUGAGACUCCUUGAGACUAGCGUGAAUACCCUUCAAGGCCUUGUGGGCCUUGUCAAGUAUAUCAAACUCCUCUGUGAGUCUAGCAAGAUCAACCCCGAGUUUGGCCUUCUCGGAAUUUAGCACAUGAGAAACAAUGAGGUCAUGAUCAUAAUCUUUAUUUAACUUAGCAUGAUCAACGUUGUGUGACUCCUCAAGAGCCAAACGAAGACCACACUCUUCCUCAAGAGCAUUGGAAAGAUCUGAGAUCGCAUCGGCAUAGUCACGACUAUGCCCUUCCAUCUUAGAGAUGGUGUCCUCGUGAGCCUCAAUCAUGUCAUUGGCUUCACCAAGUUGUUCCAAGAGAGCAACAAAGUGCUUCUUGGAUUUUCCCUUGAGUUUGCCCAUAAAGGCCUCAAACUCGUUAGCCUCCACAUUAGCUCCCUCAAGUUCAUUAAUGCAAUCCGUCGGGGAAGGAUGAUUAAUGAUGGUAGUUUUGAUGUUGGAGGUUACCUUGUUGGUGGCUUUAGCCAUGAGGCACUUGGCGGUGAUGCUCUCGUUGGGUGAGUCGAAGAGAGACACCCGUGACGUUGUUGCAAUGGCAACGGAGGCCAUGGCAACUGACUCAUCAUCUUCAUCAUCGUCAUCAUCCUCAUUGUACUCUUCUUGCACAACCAAAUCCUUGGGAGGAGUCUUCUUGGAGAAGUUGUUCUUGUUGGGGAACGACUUGGCCUUGUCCUUUCGGAUGAGCUUGCCACCAUUGUCUUCCCUCUUCUCAUACGGGCAUUCCGCAACAAAAUGACUCACGUUGCCGCAAUUGUAGCAAGUCCUCACACAUUGCUUGCCCCUUGUACCACUUGAGUUGUUUUUGCUAAAGUUUGGCCUCGAGUUUUUCUUGCUCCAAAAGAUUGCCUUGAAGGAAGUGCCAUGUGUUCAUGAUAUGCAUACUUCGUAUCUUCGGGGUUGCUCUCCUCUUCUUCCUCUUCUUCGUCUUCCACGAUGAGCUUGGCCUUCAAUGCAAGGUUAGGCUUCUUUGCCCGUUGAGAACGGAGCACCGCAUUAUCGGCGGUCUUGUCCAAAAUGUUCAUGGCCACAAACUCAUCCAACACUUCGCUUGAGGUCAAAGUGUGGAGGUCCGGUCUUUGACGAAUGACGGAGGACAUGGCCUUGUGAUAGGGCAUCAUUGCCUUGAGGAAUUUGCGCUUGAUCCAAUUGUCAUCCGUGUCCUUGCUCCCGUGAUCUCGUAGUGAGACCGCAAGUUUGGUUACUCUCCGAUAGAGCUCACGAGGUUCUUCAUCUUCCUUCAUUGCAAACUCAUCGGCCUCAUCUUGUACCACUUCAUAGUUGGAGCGUUGAAUGCUUGCGCUUCCCCGGUAGAGAGACACGACACAAUGCCAUGCAUCUUUGGCCAAGGCGAAAGGACGAAGAUGAGGUAGGUCUUCGGGUGGAAUUGCAUCUUGAAUGAUGAAGAGAGCAUUCUCAUUGAAUUGAUUGUCCGCGGCUUCUCGAGGAGUGAAGUUGCUUGGAUCAUGUGGAUAGAAACCUUCUUCAAUGAUUCUCCAAAGGUUAGUGUUCACAUGAUUUAAAUGACGUUUAAAGCGGUAAACCCAAGAAUCAAAAUCCUCAUUUUUCACAAUCUUGGGGGGAGGACCGGCAUGAUUCAAAUGAAUGGAAGGAACCGGUCCACCAUAAACAAGUGGUGGUUCCACAUGGGCAAAGAUGCCGGUGCCAUUCUUGCCACUAGAAGAAGGAGCCUUUUCACUACUAGCUCCCCCCUUGUCGGGGAUAGCAUCCAUCACCUUGUUGGCGGGAUCACCCACUUUCAAUGGUGCGGUGGAUAGUUUAAGCCCCUCAAGAAAUUUAGUAAACAUGCUUUCGACUUCGGUCGUCAUGGAGGUUUUCAAUGUCUCCAAGGCCACAUUGAACUCCUCAUGAGAGACCGAAGUUCCCCCAUCUCCCGUAGACGAGAUCGGAUUCACACCGGAGUGUUCCUCCACACCGUCUACGGUAUCAACCAUACUCUUUGGACGGUAAAGUCCUUAAUAAAGAGACGAGGCUCUGAUACCAAUUGAAAGGAUCGAUAUGGUUGACUAGAGGGGGGGGGUGAAUAGGCAACUAACAACUUUUAGCUUUUCUUUAACAAUUUAAACUUUGCAUCAAAGUAGGUUGUCUAGAUAUGCAACUAGGUGAUCAACCUAUAUGAUGCAACGAGGAUAGGUACACAAGCAAGCAAGAGAUAUGAAACAAGUAAGCUUGCUCAAAUAAAGGCACGAGAUAACCAAGAGUGGAGACGGUGGAGACGAGGAUGUAUUGCCAAAGUUCCUUCCCUUUGAGAGGAAGUACGUCUCCGUUGGAGCGGUGUGGAGGCACAAUGCUCCCCAAGAAGCCACUAGGGCCACCGUAUUCUCCUCACGCCCUCACACAAUGUGAGAUGCCGUGAUUCCACUAUUGGUGCCCUUGAAGGCGGCGACCGAACCUUUACAAACAAGGUUGGGGCUCUCUCCACAACUUAAUUGGAGGCUCCCAACAAAACCACGAAGCUUCACCACAAUGGAAUGUGGCUCCGAGGUGACCUCAACCGUCUAGGGUGCUCAAACACCCAAGAGUAAAAAAAUCCACACAAGAAAGUAUGGGGGAAGAAAAUAUCCUUUGGUGGAAGUGUAGAUCUAGGUCUCCUCCUUCAAUCCCUAGCAAAUCAACAAGUUUGAGUGGCUAGAGAGAGAGAUCGGGCAAGAGAGCUUGAAGGGCAUUAAUGGUGGAGUGAGAGAGGUCAAAGGUAGGAGUGGUAGGUGGGAGAAGCCCCCUUAAAUAGUCACCCCUCAUUUCCAACCGUUACUGCGUUUUUUGCACUGCAGCGGUACAACUGGUCCUCGUCCAGGUACAACCGGGACUCAUGGUGUAACUGCAGAACCCUACCAAGCGGUACAACCGGACAGGCGGGCGAUAGUACCGGCUAAGAAAAAUAACCGGACUAACUGCCUGGCUACCGCACAACCACCACAUCAAAACAGGAGCUGGACCGGUACUUGGGCGGUGCCUGGCCGGAACAACCGCAUGGCCUUGAGCUCUUGGGCGGCUAAGUACUAAGCGGAAGAACCGCUCGGACCACCGGUGGUACCGGUCAUCGUGGAAUGACCGGACCAACCGGACCACUACCGCCCAAGAACCGCAUCACACCAGAAGCGAGGGCGGUACUUGAGCGGUGCAUGGACGGAACCACCGCCCCAGCUGUUGUAGAGCAUGGUGGCAGUACCACCGCCCGGAGGCAGCGGUACAACCGCUCAAGCAAAGCUGGUGAGCGACAAGACCCAGCGGUACUGGAGCGGUACAACCGUUGGGCAGACAUAGUGAGCAGAAAAAAGGGGAAGAGGCAAGGAAAACUCUCUCUCACACACACACCUGAGGAAGGCAAGGAGAGGGUGAGAAAAGUGUACGUGAACUGAUUCCCCCAGAGCUUCCUAAUGAGGAUUCCCUCUUAAUAGUACGGGUACUCUACGACCAAAGAAAACAAAAGCGUAGAGGACACGUCUUUGAUCUUUUCCUUCGAGAGGCAAUAGCAAUCCGGUGUAAACCUAAGCAUCGAGAACCUGAAACAUAUAACACACGAUUAGACCACAAAGGGUUGUCAUCAUCAUCCAAAACAUAAGGUAGGGAAAUGCCCUUUCAACGUACCUUCGUAGACCGAAAGCGGAAGCGUUAGCACAACGCGGUUGAUGUAGUCGUACGUCUUCACGGCUCGACCGAUCAAGCACCGAAACUACGGCACCUGCGAGUUCUAGCACACGUUCAGCUCAAUGACGAUCCCCGAACUCCGAUCCAGCAGAAUGUCGGGGAAGAGUUUCGUCAGCACGAUGGCGUGGUGACAAUCUUGAUGUUCUACCGUCGCAGGGCUUCGCCUAAGCACCGCUACAAUAUUAUCGAGGAUUAUGGUGGAGGGGGGCACCGCACACGGCUAAGAGAUCAAUGAUCAAUUGUUGUGUCUAUGGGGUGCCCCCUGCCCCCGUAUAUAAAGGAGCAAGGAGGGAGGCGGCCGGCCUAGGAGGAGGGCGCGCCAAGGGGGGAGUCCUACUCCCACCGGGAGUAGGACUCCUCCUUCCCUUGUUGGAGUAGGAGAGAAGGAAAGAGGGGGAGAGGAACAAGGAAAAGGGGGCUGCACCCCUUGUCCAAUUCGGACCAGAGGGGGGGGGGGCGCGCCUCCUUCCUUUUGGCCUCUCUCCUCUAUUCCCGUAUGGCCCAAUAAGGCCCAUAUACUCCCCGGUGAAUUCUCGUAACUCUCCGGUACUCCGAAAAAUACCCGAAUCACUCGGAACCUUUCCGAUGUCCGAAUAUAGUCGUCCAAUAUAUCGAUCUUUACAUCUCGACCAUUUCGAGACUCCUCUUCAUGUACUCGAUCUCAUCCAGGACUCCGAACUCCUUCGGUAUAUCAAAACUCAUAAACUCAUAAUAUAACUGUCAUCGAAACCUUAAGCGUGCGGACCCUACGGGUUCGAGAACAAUGUAGACAUGACCAAGACACGUCUCCGGUCAAUAACCAAUAGCGGAACCUGGAUGCUCAUAUUGGCUCCCACAUAUUCUAUGAAGAUCUUUAUCGGUCAAACCGCAUAACAACAUACGUUGUUCCCUUUGUCAUCGGUAUGUUACUUGCCCGAGAUUCGAUCGUCGGUAUCUCAAUACCUAGUUCAAUCUCAUUACCGGCAAGUCUCUUUACUCGUUCCGUAAUACAUCAUCUCGCAACUAACUCAUUAGUUGGAAUGCUUGCAAGGCUUUAGGUGAUGUGCAUUACCGAGAGGGCCCAGAGAUACCUCUCCGACAAUCGGAGUGACAAAUCCUAAUCUCGAAAUACGCCAACCCAACAAGUACCUUCGGAGACACCUGUAGAUCACCUUUAUAAUCACCCAGUUACGUUGUGACGUUUGGUAGCACACAAGGUGUUCCUCUGGUAAACGGGAGUUGCAUAAUCUCAUAGUCAUAGGAACAUGUAUAAGUCAUGAAGAAAGCAAUAGCAACAAACUAAACGAUCAAGUGCUAUGCUAACGGAAUGGGUCAAGUCAAUCACAUCAUUCUCCUAAUGAUGUGAUCCCGUUAAUCAAAUGACAACUCAUGUCUAUGGCUAGGAAACUUAACCAUCUUCGAUUCAACGAGCUAGUCAAGUAGAGGCAUACUAGUGACAUACUGUUUGUCUAUGUAUUCACACAUGUAUUAUGUUUCCAGUUAAUACAAUUCUAGCAUGAAUAAUAAACAUUUAUCAUGAUAUAAGGAAAUAAACAAUAACUUUAUUAUUGCCUCUAGGGCAUAUUUCCUUCAGUCUCCCACUUGCACUAGAGUCAAUAAUCUAGUUCACAUCGCCAUGUGAUUUAACAUCAAUAUUUCACAUCACCAUGUGAUUAACACCCAUAGUUCACAUCGACAUGUGACCAACACCCAAAGGGUUUACUAGAGUCAAUAAUCUAGUUCAUAUCUCUAUGUGAUUAACACCCAAAGAGUAUUGAGGUGUGAUCAUGUUUUGCUUGUGAGAGAAUUUUAGUCAAUGGGCCUGCCACAUUCAGAUCCGUAAGUAUUUUGCAAAUUUCUAUGUCAACAAUGCUCUGCACAGAGCUACUCUAGCUAAUUGCUCCCACUUUCAAUAUGUAUCCAGAUUGAGAUUUAGAGUCAUCUGGAUCAGUGUGAAAAUUUGCAUCGACGUAACCCUUUACGACGAACCUUUUGUCACUUCCAUAAUCGAGAAACAUAUCCUUAUUCCACUAAGGAUAAUUUUGACCAAUGUCCAGUGAUCUACUCCUAGAUAACUAUUGUACUCCUUUGCCAAACUCAGGGCAGGGUAUACAAUAGGUCUGGUACACAGCAUGGCAUACUUUAUAGAACCUAUGGCUGAGGCAUAGGGAAUGACUUUCAUUUUCUCUCUAUCUUCUGCCGUGGUUGAGUUUUGAGUCUUACUCAACUUCACACCUUGUAACACAGGCAAGAACUCCUUUGACUGUUCCAUUUUGAACUACUUCAAAAUCUUGUCAAGGUAUGUACUCAUUGAAAAACUUAUCAAGCGUCUUGAUCUAUCUCUAUAGAUCUUGAUGCUCAAUAUGUAAGCAGCUUCACCGAGGUCUUUCUUUGAAAAAACUCCUUUCAAACAUUCCUUUAUGCUUUGCAGAAUAAUUCUACAUCAUCUCCGAUCAACAAUACGUCAUACAUAUACUUAUCAGAAAUGCUGUAGUGCUCCCACUCACUUUGUUGUAAAUACAGGCUUCACCACAAGUCUGUAUAAAACUAUAUGCUUUGAUCAACUUAUCAAAGCGUAUAUUCCAACUCCAAGAUGCUUGCACCAGUCCAUAGAUGGAUCGCUGGAGCUUGCACAUUUUGUUAGCACCUUUAGGAUUGACAAAACUUUCUUGUUGCAUCAUAUACAACUCUUCUUUAAUAAAUCCAUUAAGGAAUGUAGUUUUGUUUAUCCAUUUGCCAGAUUUCAUAAAAUGUGGCAAUUGCUAACAUGAUUCGGAUAGACUUAAGCAUAGAUAUGAGUGAGAAACUCUCAUCGUAGUCAACACCUUGAACUCGUCGAAAACCUUUUGCGACAAUUCUAGCUUUGUAGAUAGUAACACUACUAUCAGCGUCCGUCUUCCUCUUGAAGAUCCAUUUAAUCUCAAUUGCUUGCCGAUCAACGGGCAAGUCAACCAAAGUCCACACUUUGUUCUCAUACAUGGAUCCCAUCUCAGAUUUCAUGGCCUCAAGCCAUCUCGUGGAAUCUGGGCUCAUCAUCGCUUCCUCAUAGUUCGUAGGUUCAUCAUGGUCAAGUAACAUGAACUCCAGAGUAGGAUUACCAUACCACUCUGGUGCGGAUCUCACUCUGGUUUACCUACGAGGUUCGGUAGUAACUUGAUCUAAAGUUACAUGAUCAUCAUCAUUAGCUUCCUCACUAAUUGGUGUAGUAGUCACAGGAACAGAUUUCUGUGAUGAACUACUUUCCAAUAAGGGAGCAGGUACAGUUACCUCAUCAAGUUCUACUUUCCUCCCCCUCACUUCUUUCGAGAGAAACUCCUUCUCUAGAAAGGAUCCAUUCUCAGCAACGAAUAUCUUGCCUUCAGAUCUGUGAUAGAAGGUGUACCCAACAUUUUCUUUUGGGUAUCCUAUGAAGACGCACUUCUCCGAUUUGGGUUUGAGCUUAUCAGGUUGAAACUUUUUCACAUAAGCAUUGCAACCUCAAACUUUAAGAAAUGACAACUUAGGUUUCUUGCCAAACCAUAGUUCAUACGGUGUCGUCUCAACGGAUUUAGAUGGUGCCCUAUUUAACGUGAAUGUAGCUGUCUCUAAUGCAUAACCCCAAAACGAUAGUGGUAAAUUGUUAAGAGACAUCAUAGAUCGCACCAUAUCUAAUAAAGUACGGUUACGAUGUUCGGACACACCAUUACACUGUAGUGUUCCAGGUGGCGUGAGUAGUGAAACUAUUUCACAUUGUUUUAACUGAAGGCCAAACUCGUAACUCAAAUAUUUUACUCCUGCGAUCAUAUCGUAGAAACUUUUAUUUUUGUUACGAUGAUUCUCCACUUCACUCUAAAAUUCUUUGAACUUUUCAACUGUUUCAGACUUGUGUUUCAUUAAGUAGAUAUACCCAUAUCUGCUCAAAUCAUCUGUGAAGGUCAUAAAAUAAUGAUACUUGCCGUGAGCCUUAACACUCAUCGGACCGCAUACAUCGGUAUGUAUUAUUUCCAAUAAGUUAGUUGCUCGCUCCAUUGUUUCGGAGAAUGGAGUCUUAGUCAUCUUGCCCAUGAGGCAUGGUUCGCAAGCAUCAAGUGAUUCAUAAUCAAGUGAUUCCAAUAGUCCAUCAGCAUGGAGUUUCUUCAUGCGCUUUACAACAAUAUGACCUAAACGGCAGUGCCACAAAUAAGUUGCACUAUCAUUAUUAAUUUUGCAUCUUUUGGUUUCAAUAUUAUGAAUAUGUGUAUCACUACGAUCGAGAUCCAAUGAACCAUUUUCAUUGGGUGUGUAACCAUAUAAGGUUUUAUUCAUGUAAACAGAACAACAAUUUAUUCUCUUACUUAAAUGAAUAACCGUAUUGCAAUAAACAUGAUCAAAUCAUAUUCAUGCUCAACGCAAACACCAAAUAACACUUAUUUAGGUUCAACACUAAUCCCGAAAGUAUAGGGACUGUGCGAUGAUGAUCAUAUCAAUCUUGGAACCACUUCCAACACACAUCGUCACUUCACCCUUAACUAGUCUAUGUUCAUUCUGCAACUCCCGUUUCGAGUUACUACUCUUAGCAACUGAACCAGUAUCAAAUACCGAGGGGUUGCUAUGAACACUAGUAAAUACACAUCAAUAAUCUAUAUAUCAAAUAUACCUUUGUUCACUUUGCCAUCCUUCUUAUCCGCCAAAUACUUGGGGCAGUUCCGCUUCCAUUGACCAUUCCAUUUGCAGUAGAAGUACUUAGUCUCAGGAUUAGGACCAGACUUGGGCUUCUUCACUUGAGCAGCAACUUGCUUGCCGUUCCUCUUGAAGUUCCCCUUCUUCCCUUUGCCCUUUUCUUGAAACUAGUGGUCUUGUCUACCAUCAACACUUGAUAUUUUUCUUGAUUUCUACCUUCGUUGAUUUCAGCAUUACGAAGAGCUUGGGAAUCGUUUCCGUUAUCCCUUGCAUAUCAUAGUUCAUCACGAAGUUCUACUAACUUGGUGAUGGUCACUAGAGAAUUCUGUCAAUCACUAUCUUAUCUAGAAGAUUAAUUCCCACUUGAUUCAAGCGAUUGUAGUACCCAGACAAUCUGAGCACAUGCUCACUGCUUGAGCUAUUCUCCUCCAUCUUUUAGCUAUAGAACUUGUUGGAGACUUCAUAUCUCUCAACUCGGGUAUUUGCUUGAAAUAUUAACUUCAACUCCUGGAACAUAUCAUAUGGUCCAUGACGUUCAAAACGUCUUUGAAAUCCCGAUUCUAAGCUGUUAAGCAUGGUGCACUAAACUAUCAAGUAGUCAUCAUAUUGAGCUAGCCAAACGUUCAUAACGUCUGCAUUUGCUCCUGCAAUAGGUCUGUCACCUAGCGGUGCAUCAAAGACAUAAUUCUUCUGUGCAGCAAUGAGGAUGAUCCUCAUAUCACGGAUCCAAUCUGCAUCAUUGCUACUAACAUUUUUCAACAUAAUUUUUCUCUAGGAACACAAUAAACUGGGAACAUUAUCGCGAGCUAUUGAUCUACAACAUAGAUAUGCUAAUACUACCAGGACUAAGUUCAUGAUAAAUUAAAGUUCAAUUAAUCAUAUUACUUAAGAACUCCCACUUAGAAAGACAUCCCUCUAAUCUUCUAAGUGAUCACGUGAUCCAUAUCAACUAAACCAUGUCCGAUCAUCACAUGAGAUGGAGUAGUUUCAAUGGUGAACAUCAGUAUGUUGAUCAUAUCUACUAUAUGAUUCACGCUCGACCUUUCGGUCUCUGUGUUCCGAGGCCAUAUCUGUUAUAUGCUAGGCUCGUCAAAUUUAACCUGAGUAUUCCGCAUGUGCAACUGUUUUGGCACCAGUUGUAUUUGAACGUAGAGCCUAUCACACCCGAUCAUCACAUGGUGUCUCAGCACGAAGAACUUUUGCAACGGUGCAUACUCAGGGAGAACACUUGUACCUUGAUAAUUAGUGAGAGAUCAUCUUAGAAAGCUACUGUCGAACUAAGCAAAAUAAGAUGUAUAAAAGAUAAACAUCACAUGCAAUCAAAAUAUGUGACAUGAUAUGGCCAUCAUCAUCUUGUGCUUUUGAUCUCCAUCUCCAAAGCAUCGCCAUGAUCUCCAUCGUCACCGGCAUGACACCAUGAUCUCCAUCAUCUUGAUCUAUAUCAAUGUGUCGUCACAUGGUUGUCUCGCCAACAAUUGCUCUUGCAACUAUUGCUAUCGCAUAGCGAUAAAGUAAAGCAAUUAUUUGGUGCUUGCAUCUUAUGCAAUAAAGAGAUAACCAUAAGGCUUUUGCAUGUUGCCGAUAACUUCAACAAAACAUGAUCAUCUCAUACAACAACUUAUAUCUCAUCACGUCUUGACCAUAUCACAUCACAACAUGCCCUGCAAAAACAAGUUAGACGUCCUCUACUUUGUUGUUGCAAGUUUUACAUGGCUGCUACGGGCUGAGCAAGAACCGUUCUUACCUACGCAUCAAAACCACAACGAUAGUUUGUCAAGUUGGUGCUGUUUUAACCUUCGCAAGGACCGGGCGUAGCCACACUCGGUUCAACUAAAGUUGGAGAAACUGACACCCGCUAGUCACCUGUGUGCAUAGCACGGCGGUAAAACCAGUCUCGCGUAAGCGUACGCGUAAUGUCGGUCCGGGCCGCUUCAUCCAACAAUACCGCCGAACCAAAGUAUGACAUGCUGGUAAGCAGUAUGACUUAUAUCGCCCACAACUCACUUGUGUUCUACCCGUGCAUAUUACAUCAACGCAUAAAACCUAGGCUCGGAUGCCACUGUUGGGGAACGUAGUAAUUUCAAAAAAAUUCCUACGCACAUGCAAGAUCAUGGUGAUGCAUAGCAACGAGAGAGGAGAGUGUUGUCCACGUACCCUCAUAGACCGAAAGCGGAAGCAUUAGCACAACACAGUUGAUGUAGUUGUACGUCUUCACGGCCCGACCAAUCAAGCACCAAAACUACGACACCUCCGAGUUAUAGCACACAUUCAGCUCGAUGACGAUCCCCGGACUCCGAUCCAGCAGAAUGUCGGGGAAGAGUUCUGUCAGCACAAUGGUGUGGUGACGAUCUUGAUGUUCUACCGCCGCAGGGCUUCGCCUAAGCACCGCUACAAUAUUAUUGAGGAUUAUGGUGGAGGGGGGCACUGCACACGGCUAAGAGAUCAAUGAUCAAUUGUUGUGUCUAUGGGGUGCCCCCUGCCCCCGUAUAUAAAGGAGCAAGGGGGGAGGCAGCCGACCUAGGAGGAGGGCGCGCCAAGGGGGGAGUGUCGUGGAUCUAAGACUGACAGUAGAAUGGGGGUAGGUAUGAGGAGGCAAGAUCCUAGCUAUGGAGUAGUUGUACACACGAGUUUACGAGUUCAGGCCCUUCUCGGAGGAAGUAACAGCCCUACGUCUCAGUGCCCUGAGGCGGUUGACUGGAUUAUAUGUGUGUGUGAGUUUACAAAAGUGCGAACCCUUGUCCCAGAGGAGGGGGGUGGCUUAUAUAGAGUGUGCCAAGACCCCAGCUCCCCUCCGUUACACAGGGUUCAAUGCUCAUAAAGGAAAGGCGUUACUGGUAACGUCUACAGUAAAGUGUCAUAAAUGCUCAUAAUGAUAUGGUUUAAGUCCUGACUGUUGCAGAGUGGAGGGUUCCUCAUCUUCUGGUGGUCGAGUGUCUUCAAGGUGGUCGAGUGAGCGCAUCUCCAUAGUUGAGUGGAUGGUGGUUUCUCUUUGACUGCUUCUGAUUCUUUGUAAAGAUGUCCUUGGGGAGGGUAUGCUGGACAGGUCCAUGACCCUACCCUAGGUACAUAGCUUCAUCAUUAGCCCCCGAAUGGAUCAGGGUUUGAGUGAGGAAGGGGUUGAGAACACUUCCGACCCACUCUUUGUGCUAUGAAUAUGCCUUGUCCUGAAACAAUGAGUUGAGGUGACGACGUCGACUCCUUUCUCAAUCGCCUUGGUCCAUUCUUGGUUGUUGUCGAGUGAACUUUCAUGGUAGAAUUCCGAAUGAUGAUGUAGAGGGUGUUUGUCUUCAGUCUGACAGGUUGUUCUGCUCUCCGCGGAUCUCACGGGAUUUGAAUUUUGGGAAGUGCGCCAGACGGGAGGAAUCGAGGUUAUCGGGACAGAUUAGGCAAGUCUCCUCGAUCCCCGCGCCACCUUUUUCGCCAUGUACUGCGCGCGCGACUGUUGCGUGAUUUGUUUAGAUCGCUUGGGUCCACCAGUCAGCCACUCGGUGGAAGGCCUUAUAAAAGGUCUCGGGCCAGGCCUCUGCUCCGCACGCUCCCAUUCUCUCUUCUCUUUCUCCCGAUCCCUUCGCCACUCUCGCUUCCGCCUCGUCGCUGGACCUCCGCUUGAGCUCCAUCCGCCACCAUGGGGAGUGAGGGAGUCCUGGAUUAGGGGGUGUUCGGAUAGCCAGACUAUACCUUUGGCCGAACUCCUGGACUAUGAAGAUACAAGAUUGAAGACUCCAUCCCGUGUCCGGAAGGGACUUUCCUUGGCGUGGGAGGAAAGCUUGGCGAUACGGAUGUUGAGAUCUCCUACCAUUGUAACCGACUCUAUGUAACCCUAACCCUAUCCAGUGUCUAUAUAAACCGGAGGGUUUUAGUCCGUAGGACAACAUACACAUCAACAAUCAUACCAUAGGCUAGCUUCUAGGGUUUAGCCUCUCUGAUCUCGUGGUAGAUCAACUCUUGUACUACCCAUAUCAUCAAUAUUAAUCAAGCAGGACAUAGGGUUUUACCUCCAUCGAGAGGGCCCGAACCUGGGUAAAACUUCGUGUCCCCUGCCUCCUGUUACCAUCCGGCCUAGACGCACAGUUCGGGACCCCCUAGCCGAGAUCCGCCGGUUUUGACACCGACAUUGGUGCUUUCAUUGAGAGUUCCUCUGUGUCGUCGCCAUCAGGAAGGAUGCCUCGCCCCGUCUUUAAAGAUGGCACCGUUGCUAAGGGAGCUUUGGCCGUCGGCCAAACCCUCCAGCUAGGUGGUUUUCUUAUGACCACCUGUUCGGCUUCUGCGCCGACGAUGACCUCUCGAGCCAUCGAAAACAAUCUUCAUGUCAACUCGGAACUUGCCGAGCAGUUAGAUCCAAUAGAGCUUUCCUCCAUAAACGAGCUCUUGGAUCGCUUCGCCGCCCUGGGAGUCGCUACGGAUUACGACCAGAUUGGGCCUAAAAACGAUCUGAGAGAGAUUAACUCUCCCCAAGUCACCCAUCACAUUGCCAUGGUAGAAGGACAGUGCGGCGACCCUUCAUCUAUCUUAAGGACUCGCUACGUCCGGAUUCCCGAUCCCUCCAAGACGGAUGUCCGCGGAGGGGAGGAUAUCACUCAAGACCUGAACCUAGAAUCAGGCGACGGACUGGAUUCAUUGGACGACAUCCAGGAAUCCAAAUUCUCGAGUUCGGAAAUUCCUUGGCUUCUGAGCCUCAGAAGGGGUAAGGCUUCGGAUUUAAUUCCACCCACCCACCCGAACAUUAGCGAUCUAUCCCAAAUCAGGCAAGAGCCCAAAGAAACAGUACAUCAUUACUGGGCCAGAUUCCUCCUGGUUAUGAACAGGAUAAAGGGCUGCCGCGAGGAAGACGCAAUUUCAUUCUUCUGCGAUAAUUGCACGGACAAGGGAAUACUCAACGCCAUAAGUCGCCGUGAUAUUACACGCUUCACCGACUUAGCGUCCAUAGUACGAAAGUACUGUGCGAUGGAAAGCGCCCGGGAAACCGAAACAAAAUUUUGGGACAAUCCGGCCCUUAAGUUAAGCCUAGUCCGAAAUAAAAGGGUGCAUCAUCGCCAGACACCCGGGUCAAACACCAAAAGGCAAAAACCCUCUACAGGGCAUGGAACCGUACUGGAAGGAUGGCUUAAUGGACCCUGUAAAAUUCAUAGUACAGAGGACGCCACACCAACUCAUAGCCUUAGAGCAUGUUGGAUACUCCGGCAGGUGGCCAAAAUUGGCGAAAACCUCCUAAUUCCGGAGGCCACAGAAAGCCACCCCAGAGACACCAAUACAGUAUUAACAGUCUUCGAGACCUUUGCAUCAAAUAAUAUGCGAAAAAGGACACUCCGCAGCCUUGCCGAAGUCUACCAAGUAGCAACAAUAAACCCAUGGAGUGACACGACCAUUACCUUUAACGCCAGUGAUGAACCUAAAUUCCGAACAACCUGAGCACCAGCGGCAUUGGUCCUCAGUCCAAUAGUGGACGGCUUUCGUCUUAUCAAGGUACUCAUGGACGGCGGCAGUGGAUUGAACCUCAUCUAUGUGGAAACUCUUCAAAAAAUGGAUAUAGACUGGAACCACAUCAUGCGAAGCAGCACAACCUUUAAAGGAAUAAUCCCCAGUCGGGAAGCGCGCUGUACAGGAAAAAUCACACUAGAUGUGGUGUUCGGCACGCCGGACAAUUACAGGUCCGAAGAGGUCACGUUCCAUGUGGCCCCGUUCAGCAGCGGUUAUCAUGCUUUGCUAGGGCGGGAAGCAUUCACAAUCUUUCAAGCAAUACCCCAUUACGGGUACAUGAAGCUCAAGAUGCCCGGGCCUAACGGGAUCAUCACUCUCGCUAGUGAUCUGGACAUAGCACUCCGCGCCGAAAACAAGACAGCCGCACUGGCCCUCGAGGCACUAUCCGAAGCCCUAGCGGCUGAGGAGCUGACUGCGCUGCGCUCUAUGGUGAAUAGGGACGAUGUGGUACUCGACAAAAGAUCCAAAUCCACCUCCUUUAAACCAGCAGACGAAAUAGUCAAAUUCCAAGUCCAUCCAACGGACCCCAAUAAAACAGCUUCCAUCGGGGCACAGUUAAACCCUGAUGUCGACGCCGCAUUGCGAGAGUUCCUACGAGAGAACUGGGACAUUUCCGCCUGGCACCCUUCAGACAUGCCAGGAAUCCCACGCAGGCUGGCCGAGCACAGCUUAAAUAUCCAAACAGGAUUCAAACCCAUCAAACAGGCUCUCCGGCGUUUUUCCAAACCUAAGAGAUAGGCUAUGGGAGAGGAGCUAGCAAAGCUAUUAGAGGCCGGAUUCAUCAGAGAUAUAAAACAUCUGGACUGGCUAGCAAACCUGGUGAUGGUACCAAAGAAGGACAAAUCCUAGCGCCCGUAUGUUGAUUUUAAAGACCUUAACAAGGCUUGCCCAAAGGAUCCCUUCCCCCUCCCCCGCAUCGAUCAAAUUAUCGAUGCUACCGCAGGACACGAUUCGUUGUGUUUCCUCGACGCAUAUUCUGGCUACCAUCAAAUCAAGAUGGCAGAACUAGACCAAGCCGCAACGGCAUUUAUCACACCAUACGGGCCAUUCUGCUUCAACACGAUGCCCUUCGGGCUCAAAAACGCCGGCGCAACAUAUCAGCGCAUGAUUUAGACAUGUUUGGCAAGCCAGAUCGGUAAAACAGUGGAGGCAUACGUAGAUGAUGUGGUCGUCAAAACAAGACAUGUUGAAUCUCUAGUAGACGACUUGAGGCUCACAUUUGAUAAUCUCCGAACAUACGACAUCAAGCUCAACCCGGAAAAAUGCGUUUUCGGUGUUCCAGCCGGAAAGCUCUUGGGCUUUAUUGUAUCCAGUAGAGGAAUUGAAGCAAAUCCAGCCAAGAUUCGAGCUCUGUCGCAACUGGAUAUCCCAAAGGACCUCAAACAAAUACAAAAGUUAACUGGAUGUGUGGCGGCUCUAAGCCGCUUUAUCUCCCGCUUGGAAGAAAAGGCCCUUCCCCUUUACCGCCUCCUUCGGCGCACCGAACACUUCAAAUGGACGGACGCAGCCACGACCGGACUCAACGAAAUAAAAGCCAUACUGGCAACAAACCCAGUCCUGGCCGCGCCAAACACCGGCGAACCAAUGCUAUUGUACAUCGCAACAACACAUCAGGUUGUAAGCGCAAUGCUCGUCAUCGAACGAGAAGCGGACGGACACAAAUUCCCCCUUUAAAGGCCGGUUUAUUAUGUAUCCACUGUCCUCACUCCCUGCAAAUCACGGUACCCGCAUUAUCAAAAGAUUGCGUACGCGGUAUUCAUGGCAUCCCAGAAGCUACGACACUACUUUCAAGAGUGUUCAAUAACAGUAGCCUCAGAAGUACCACUUAACGACAUUAUAAACAACCGUGACGCAACGGGCCGGAUUGCGAAAUGGGCCAUCGAGCUCCUCCCGUUCGACAUAACUUAUAAGCCAUGACGAGCCAUCAAGUCACAAGUUUUGGCCGACUUCGUCGUAGAAUGGACGGAGGCCGAACUCCCUAGAGAGUACGACACAUAUUCAAAUUGGAUCAUGCAUUUUGACGGCUCCAAAAUGUUGGCUGGACUGGGGGCUGGCGUCGUUUUGACGUCCCCCACAGGAGACACAGUUCAAUACGUACUACAGAUUCUGUACACAGACUCCAACAAUGCAGCCGAAUAUGAGGCCCUUCUACAUGGUCUCCGGAUGGCAGUAUGCAUGGGCAUCCAACGCCUAGAGGUGCGCGGGGACUCGAACAAUCUCCCAAAUAAAUGGAGACUUCGAUGUCAAGGAUCCGAAAAUGGCAGCUUACGGCAACGCCGUCCUAAAAAUGUCAGCUCGGUUCGAGGGACUUGAAUUUCACCAUAUAGCCCGGGAAAAUAAUCAGGCGGCAGAUGUCCUGGCACGCAUCGGCGCAAAACGUGAUGUAGUCCCCCCAACAUCUUUCUGGAAAGGCUUUUCAAUCCAUCCGUGGCAUGGGAAGGGGAGCCGAACAAUAACAGCCCGGACCCAACCGCACUGCUCGACACCGAACAUUCUGACACAAUCGGAGGCUCUACCACUGAAAUAACACCUUCAGCCCACGUAAUAAUGGCCGUCAUCGCCCCGUGGACAGAACCAUUCCUCGCCUACCUUACUAGGCAGGAACUCCCCGAGGACCAAAAUGAGGCACGCUGCAUAGUGUGGCGAUCCAAAGCCUACAGAGUCCACGAGGGAGAGCUUUAUAAGAAAAGCACUACUAGAGUCCUUCAAAGGUGCAUCUCCGAAGAGGAGGGGCGGAAUCUCCUGGCUGAAAUCCAUGCCGGACUCGGCGGUCAUCAUGCUGCAGCCCGGUCCCUGGUAAGCAAGGCCUUCCGUACAGGCUUUUAUUGGCCGACGGCCCGGGCAGACGCUUAGGACUUAGUCCAACGAUGUGCCGGCUGCCAGCUCUUUGCAAACCAAAGCCAUAUGCCACCCACCGCCCUCCAAACUAUCCCCAUCACUUGGCCCUUUGCGGUCUGGGGGCUUGAUAUGGUUGGACCCCUUAAAGGCGGAACCCACAAGCACAAAUACUUACUGGUCAUGGUGGAUAAGUUCAUCAAAUGGAUAGAAGCCAAGCCUGUUAAGACGGCCGAAUCCGGACCUGUGAUAGACUUCAUAUUCGGGGUUGUACACCGUUACGGCGUCCCCCACAGCAUCAUCACUGAUAAUGGCACGAACUUUACGGCCGACGAGGUAAAACUCUGGUGCAAAAACAUGGACAUAAAGCUCGAUUAUGCUUCCGUCUAUCACCCACAAACUAACGGACAGGUCGAACAUGCAAAUGGUCUUAUCAUGAGUGGCAUCAAACCCAGACUAGUGCGGUCCCUCAAGGAAUCUAACAUGCACUGGGUAGAGGAGCUUGACUCUGUACUCUGGGGGCUGUGGACCACGCUGAAUCGCACCACCGGAUACACACUAUUCUUCAUGGUGUACGGCGCAGAGGCAGUUCUGCCUUGCGACAUAAUUCAUGACUCACCUCGAGUGCGCAUGUAUGAGGAAAGAGAAGCCGAGCUCGAUCGGCAGGACAGUUUGGACGCAUUAGAGGAGGAGCGUGAUGUGGCGAAAGCCCGUUCCGCAUUCUAUCGACAACAAGCUCGAAGAUACCAAAGCAGAGAAGUACGGGCCAAAAAUUACAACGUUGGCGAAUUAGUUCUACGCCUGCCAGACAAGAAAAAGGACAAACUCAAGCCCAAGUGAGAAGGUCCCUUCAUAAUUAACCAAGUCCUGAUGGGUGGAGCGUACCGCCUGCGAAACACAUCGGAUAACCGACUCGAGCCGAACCCAUGGAACGCAGCCCGUCUCCAAAGAUUCUAUGCCUAGCGCCGGAUCCUGUGUUCGUCUCCUUACUAUGUCCAUUUUUUAUAUACUAUCCGUCUUACAUUUCUCUCCUUCUCCCUUUUUCUCUCUCUUAUAACCUUUAAAGGCUCACAAAUUGACGCGCUAUCCGCGCUUAGUAAACCUGGGGGCUUCUUUAAACAGAAGCUUAUUUAUACGGGCUUCAUGCCUAACACAUGUGUCAAACUUCCACAUGUACCUUUUAUUCACCAUUAUAUGCAUCGAUAUGACUUAAGUUUUGGCCAAGCUAGGUUGCCUGGCUCCUGUGCUUACCCCUGCGUUCCCGAUUAUUCGGCUAGGUGAUAAAGGGAGCACCUCUGCGAUUGUUACUGCCGGAUCAGCCGGACGUGUACCUCAGACUGGGUGAAGCCGAAAGCUAGCGUUCUUAAGAGAAUAUUCGGUCGGUGAACUAAAGAUGAUCUUUUUCUUUAUCUAUGUGCCCCUAGGCGUUUUUCCUGUGUUUCUUUUCGCAGCAUGGACAUGCACUUUAGGGCAUGCCCCCCCAGGGAAAGGAACCCCUAACGGAACUAUUCUCCCUGGAAGAUGUUUCUUACUAACCAUGUAAUAUAACACAACUAGUCGGGCACUUGUCUGUUCACGCACUAAUGACCCCUACGCCUGGUCUCCACGCAUUCCCCGGUUCCUAUAUAACCGCAUGGGAAUUCGGACACACUCCGGACCGUCAGGCCCCGAGGUUGAAGCGAAAAGGUCGGCCAUGACAAAUGAUCUACAAUCCGGCUAGAAGGCAUUAUAAAUGUCAAUUCGAUUACAUAGUCAUUUUGACUGAUUGUAUUCCUCUUCAAUACCAUCUAACAGGCUGUCUAAUUUACAGUCUUGCUGGGAGUACUUUGCGGCCAACUCUACUUGGCCAUACACUAAGCUUACAGGGAUCUCCUUCCCGUCGGGCCCUAUAGGACCGACCUCGGCCAUAUGGUUGGGGUCAGCCUUUGAGUACCGCGUCUUCACCAUGGCCCAGGCCUCCCUAGCGCCUUGACGACAGGCUGAUAUCUUCCACAAUUGGAAGCGCUGCCGUGCUCCCUUUAGCUUCUCCGCAAGCUCUCCAAUACCUUCGGGCAUGGAGAUGGAUGGCCACAGGGCCUAGGCGACGCCUUGCAUCGCCUGCCGAACUCGGUCUAGCAGUUGCGAGAGCUUGGGAAGAAGGUCACCCGUAGAACCGGGCAUCUCCUCCGCCGGGCGACCUAUUAACACACCUACAGACAUUGCUCUAUCAGUCGACUUCCCCACCGAACUUUCUUUCAAAAGGUUCGUUCAAGCACUUACUAAAUAUGCCGCGCCGAAGCCGCUGAUUCUCCUUCACAGAGUCUGAUAGCUGGGCACGAACAUCUUUCAGCUCGACGCCCAGCCGGGUGUUGGCAUCUUGGAGAACGUUCUUCUCCCCCAUCACCUUUAAUAGCACCCUCUCACCAGCCUUUAGCUGGCGUAGGAGAUGUUGCCUUUCCGGAUUCAAUCUGGCGCCAUCUACAAUUCUAUUUGUCAGAUUCGCACCAAAGCCGUGCUUCGCAAAAUACUUAUCUUUCGAAAUGUCUAUUACCAGAGGGGGCCUCCUUAGGCUCCCCUGCCGCGGCUAGUGCGGCCUCUAGUUGGGCUUUGCACUCUUCCAGCUCCUGGGACAGUAGGGAAUUCUUUUUUGUAAGAACCUGCAUAUCAAAUGAUCCUUAAACCAGUUAUUCUAACUGUUUUAAGUCUCGGGGGCUACUGCUACAUAUAUAUUUACCAAAAUUUUCUUACUCGUAUGUCUUUUACAUAUUGCUCCGUGGCUCUGGCUAUACCAUUUUGAGCGGCACGGAGGUGUGCAUCUCCCAAAUUGAAGGCACCUAACGCCUCUUGGGAGAAGCAAGCGUCGCGAAGAAUUGUCCGGCGACGCCUGUGGUUCAUGGCGCUUUCCAUCUCAAAGUUGGUGGCAGACAACCCGUCCACAUCCUUCGUCGGAGGAACGUCCGGCACACGCCUUGCGUUCGCUUCCACCCCUGGACCAGGCUUUGGAGCCUGGCUGGUGGAGGCGCGAUUGGCAGCCUCUCCGGAUAUAGUCCGGCGAGGUCUCUUUGUCCUGAUGAGGGCACGAGUGUCAAAUGUGCCUCGAAGGUAUAACAACUGGGAUAAAGGGGCGCGCCAUACCUUUGAGCUGAUGCCUUGGUCCGGACUGCACCUCUUUUCUGCCCUCGGGGCCCUGCGGCCCCUCGUUGGCUUGUCGCCACAGGUUCGGCCUUCCGCCUCAAAAACCUCCCCAGCAGAGUUCGGUUGCAGUUAGGAAAUUAAACAUGCGUGGACGGACCCCUGUCCGGGGUACAGGGACUUCGGUGUCAGGUACCUGGGAUGUUCGGAUUAGCCCUGGGUAAUCGGCCGUAAUGGCCACCAAGGCUUUGUCCUCGCUCAAUUUAUGGAACACUCCAUCAAUCAGCUCCACAGAUAUGUCCUGAUCCUCUUGAGAGGCUGGGUCGAGAGACCGUCCUGAGUCCUCGGGUUGUGGAGGCAGGCUGUUUAUGUCCUUAAUGGCCCGGCGCAGUUCCUGCGUUAAAGUCAUCAGACUAAGUAUUUAACAACGGGAACACUAAACGAAUGGGUAAGUAAAUGCGACCACUUACCCAGCUUGGGGGAUUGUGCAUAGAGAAUCCACCCUGUGGGUUGACGCAGAGAAAUUCCUCCUCUUCUCCCUUGUACAAAGUGGACAAGAUCUUUAAUAGAGCGACAACUGAAUCUGGCCCUUUACGGCCGUAGCGGGUGGUGUCGUCCUCCCCGUUGAAAUCCCACAUGGGGUGGCUUCUGUACUGAAGCGGCUGCACCCCCCGCAUGAUGCAUUCGGCCAUAACUCCGAUCAUGGUUAGUCCGAAAUGGGCCAACAAUCUUAUUCGGCCCAUGAGAUAAACGAUGUCCCUGUCACUUUCCCUUUGAGGGCUCCGUGGACGCCAGCUUAGGCGCUUCUUUAAAGGAGCACUAUCGAACUCUGGGAGGCCAAUCCGGACAGGAUCCGGCAGCGGGACGUCUUCUAUAUAGAACCAUUCCGAGGGCCAUUCUUCGGAUGCCUUCUUUGGGGUUCUAGACAGAUAUCCGGUCCCGGCGAUGCGCCAUACUUCGGCUCCGCCCACUUGAUACAUUGACCCUUUCUUGGAACGGGGCACGAGGAAAAAUAGCUCCUUCCACAGUCCGAAAUGAGCUUCAAUACCCAAGAAUAGCUCGCAGAGGGCUACAAAGCCCGCAAUAUGGAGUACUGAGGCAGGCGUGAGAUGAUGUAGCUGGAGGCCGUAGAACUCCAGCAGCCCCCGAAGAAACGGGUGGAUGGGAAAUCCGAGCCCCCUUAUUAAGUAAGGAACAAGGCACACCCGCUCUCCUUUGGAUGGAUUAGGGGCGUUCUCUGCUUGCUCUCCACCGUUGUAGACGGCAAGACCGGCUCGGACCGGGACCAUAUAGGCCGGGGGGAGAAAUCCCUUGGUCUGAAGCAUCACUAGCUCGCUAUGCGGAGUAGAACAUCUCUCCCAAUAUCCAGGCUUAGGGCUAGGAGGGCGAGAGGAGGAGUUGCGGCGGCUGGCCAUGGUGGAAUGGACCUUUGUCGGGUGCGCUCUGAUGAACACUCGUGGAGGGGAGAAGGUGUGGAUUGGAUCUAAAUCCUCGCCCCCUUAAAAAGGGCAGCUCAUUUACACGGCUAGGGGUGUGAACGUAAAAACACUCAGACUUUUCGUAUUCGUUUGACACGUGGAAGACGACCAUUAUUGGGCGUAGAAGCCAAGGAGCGCAACAUCUACAAGAAACUGGACUUUAUUCAAACAGGUACCCGGAAUUUGGAGGAGAACCGCCUUGCAAUGCUGAAGACAAUCUGCGCGCCGGACUCAUCAUCAUUGAAGCCUGGUUCGGGGGCCACUAAGGGAGUCCUGGAUUAGGGGGUGUUCGGAUAGCCGAACUAUACCUUCGGCCGGACUCCUGGACUAUGAAGAUACAAGAUUGAAUACUCCAUCCCGUGUCCGGAAGGGACUUUCCUUGGCGUGGGAGGCAAGCUUGGCGAUACAGAUGUUCAGAUCUCCUACCAUUGUAACCGACUCUAUGUAACCCUAACCCUAUCCGGUGUCUAUAUAAACCGGAGGGUUUUAGUCCGUAGGACAACAUACACAUCAACAAUCAUACCAUAGGCUAGCUUCUAGGGUUUAGCCUCUCUGAUCUCGUGGUAGAUCAACUCUUGUACUACCCAUAUCAUCAAUAUUAAUCAAGCAGGACGUAGGGUUUUACCUCCAUCGAGAGGGCCCGAACCUGGGUAAAACUUCGUGUCCCCUGCCUCCUGUUACCAUCCGGCCUAGACGCACAGUUCGGGACCCCCUACCCGAGAUCCGCCGGUUUUGACACCGACAGGGAGGGAUAAGACGGCGGCGCUAGAAUGCGCGAAGAAGGCGACCGCGAAGGCGAAGGGCAAGCGGACCAGCCGGGGCGGAUCCUCAUCGAGGCCCGGCUUGCCGGCGGGCUGGAUCCAGGGCGACUAGAUCCGCUCCGCAAUCACGCAGGACGACCUCGACGACCUGGUGGAGGGGGGAUUGAUCCCUCACAAGUCGGCUCGGCUCCCGGGGGACGAAACCGAGCCGCAGCCUAGAGAGGGUGAGUGUGUCCUCCUUGCAACCCACAUAGAUCGCGGAUUCUCACUGCCUCCCCGCCCUUUCUUCCGGGGUUUUUUGAACUUCUUUGGGGCUCAGCUCCACCAUUUCACUCUGAACACCAUAGUCUAUCUGGCCGCUUUCAUGUCCAUGUGCGAAAACUUCUUGGGCUGUCGACCGCACUGGGGGCUUUUCAAACACAUCUUCACUUGCCAUUCCCAGUCAGUCAAAAAGGCCAAGUCGAGUGACGAGAGGACGCGGGUGAUCCAGAUGUGCGGUGGUCUGGGGAUCCAGAUGAGAAGCAAGCGUACUUUCCCAGCCAUGAUCCUUCCUGACUCGGUCCGGGGCUGGCAGUCGACUUGGUUUUACUGCAAGGAUCAACCAACCCCUGGCCAGUCGACUGGACUUCCUCCUUUUUCCUUGGCUCGAGUGGAGAAGCCUGCUCCCCUGAAGGUAGUUCCAGAAGAGAAGGCGCAGGUCAAGGAGCUGGUUGAACAGGUCGUCCAGCUUGUCCGUGACGGAGUGACCGGGAUGGAUCUGCUGGAGGUCUUUCUCGGUCGACGCAUCCAACCUCUUCAGGCACGCGAUCAUCCGAUGUGGAUGUACUCUGGGCUCGAGGAUACCACUCGGAUCCACCCGGAGGAGGUUAGCGAGGAUAUCUUGGAGAACUGGUUGAGGGGAAUCACUGGCAACAAAGACAACCCUCGGGGAUCCAGGAGGGUGAUUCCAUUCGACAACUCGCACCAGCCGGAGCAGGUAUAUUUCUGUUUUAUCAAGUAUCUUUCUGAUUCACCACGUGAUGUCCCGUUUAUGGUCGACUGAAUGUCUUUUGAUUGUUAUCCUUUCAGGCCCUCAUUGAAAUGUACUCGAUGCCCAACGGAGUGCAGGACCCAGGUGCUGAAGAAGAAGGGAGCCGGGGCGAGAGCGGCGAGGAGCAUUCAGAAGCCGAGGAGGAUGAGGAGAGCGAUGAAUCGACCGAUGAGGAAGAAGCCGACUCGCCUCCUCGCAGGGAGAGGAGGUCCAAGCACACUCAUGACCCGGCACGUGCUCCGGACUUGGUGGCUGCACCAAUCGGGCAAUCCUCGAAGCGCCCGAGGAUGUCUUCCCCGACGUCGACUGAGAAGCCUCCAAAGCAAUCCAAGGUCGCGCCGCUUCCAGCGCUGAAAGUGCUGAAAGCCAUCUCUUCCAAACCGCCCAAAGCUUUGCCCCGGAUCAAAGUGACCGUUCCUACUAUCUCUGGGUAACCAUGUGACUUGUCCUUUAUGUGGAUUCGAUUAACUGGGUGUAACCGAUUGAAUGCGGGCCUUUGCAGUGCUACUACGUCAGGGACCUCUUCACAUCAGUACCGGGACGAGGAAAUGGAGGAUGCAGUGACCUCUAACCCAGGUAUGAACUCUUGCGAUUUCGAUUCUUGAUCCUUUUAGGGUCGAGUUGUUCACUUGGGGUCAAAUGUUCUGUCUUGCAGCUCCACCCAACAUCAUUGAUCUUCCGGACGAUGACGAAGAUGUGGUUCCUAAGCCUAAGAAGAGCAAGCAGGUAACAGGUGGCAGGGUGGCUCGGCAAGAACCAGCUGCAACACCUCCCGUCCGUCAAGCUGAAGACGCGGGCAGGGCCACUGUGACGUUCGCUGCACCCUUGCCGAAUGGGCAUCCCACGCGGUCGACCGCGCCUGUGGUUCCUUCAACUAUCCAACUCCACACCAUGGAGCCUCAAGCAGCCGCACCUGGGUCGUCUGCACAUUUUUUCACCAGCUACCCCGUCCUAGACAACCAGUCGGAAGCGGCUGCGGAAGCCAUCCGACAGGCUGAUAUGAUGAUGGAGCGGGUGAAGAUAGUGCACGAGAGCAGUCAGGCUGCUUACGACGCUAGUGCUGCCCUUCAGGCCAACGUCCAGGUGAGUAGACUUUUCGACUGUUUUUGUUCUCGAAAAAUCUUCCUCUGCACAAUCUUCUGUUGUUCGUGUUGAAUUAGAGCACCCACUGGGUGUUGCUGUCGUUUUUGGUAGUUUCGCUCUUCCACUCGGUCUGGGCGAGUGGGAACAGAACCGGUGGGGGCACGCCAAGUGCACCCACUGGGUGUAGUCCCCGAGACCGCGGUCGACUGCUAGCAGUCGACUGUGGUCUGAGUUCUUCUUUCUUGACGGCGCACCUGUUCUUUCUCUUUUUUUUACUCCUUGCACUCGACUCCGGCGGGCCGAUCGAGUCGGAUCAGAACUGGUGGGGGCACGCCAAGUGCACCCACUGGGUGUAGUCCCCGAGACCGCGGUCGACUGCUGGCAGUCGACUGGGGUCUGAACAGCUUGUUGUCCACUUCUUUAGGUUUUAUUCACUCGGAAAUGAACUGCUUUCGAACCUAUCGAUUGAUCUGUCUCUUGCCUCCUGCAGAAGUCUUGUACUCUUAUCUCCGAGUUUGCCGAACUCGAAGAGAAACAGAGGCAACUCAACUUAGACUUGGAAUUGGCUCAGCAAAAUCUGAAAAAAGCUCAAGACGAGGCCGCUGGUAUGGAAGGUAACUGAUUGCCGACUGAAUUUCAAUAUAUCUCUUUGAUCUCUUUUUUGAUUCAAUUAUUUCUUUUGCAGAGAAAAUGAAGUUGGCUUUGGACAAGAAGGACUCAGACCUCAUCGCCGCGCAAAAAGCAGCCCAAGACAAAACCGCUCUCGCCGACAAGAAGCUUGCUUCAGUCGGAACGCUUGAAGGAGAGGUGACUAGACUGACAUCUUGUCUUAAUGAAGCUAACCGCGAAGUGACCAGCCUAAAGAAGGAUAAGGUUGUCCUGAACAAAAAGUUGGAGUCUGCGAUCCGCAAGAGGAACGACACGGAAGCUUAUCUGAGGACCCUCGCUAAGAAGCUUUAUCUCGUGCUGGGAGGUAUUUCUUUUAAUCCGACUGUGUUGAUGCUUGCCAUCGGAUUUUGCUUGGUUGAUUGAACCGACUUUUGGCUGCAGAACUCUGUCAAGACUUUGACGAAGAAACUUGAAGGGUCGAGACGGGUCUAGACCCUAUCGCUUCCCCGGUCUGCGACGAAACUGCGAUGAACGUGCUCUGACUGGAGUCCCGUAUCGUCAGCGCCACAAGCUACCUCGCACGCCUGAAGGAGGUUGUCUCUCGAAUCGACUCGACGCUUUGGCCGGGGGCGAUGCUUCAGAAUGAUCUGGAAUCUCUAAUGACUUGACUGAACGAGAUCCCUGACCGAGUGCAAGAAUGGAAGAAAUCCUCCGCCCGGUGUGGUGCUGAUGUGGCGCUAUCCCUGGUGCGAGUCCAUUCCAAGGAGGCUCGUGAAGACAAGCUGGCUGCGAUCAAAGUCGCUAACACCAAAAAGCACGACUUCUAGUCCUUCAUGGAGACUUUCAUUGCUGCUGCCACUCAGAUCGCUGAUGGGAUCGAUCUGGACUCAUUCAUGGAGCCUGCCAGCCCUCCUCCGGCCGAGUGAACAAUCGUAUGAAACUUGGAUACGCUUUAAAUUUGCCUCGGAAUGCUGAGUGGUUUCUGUAACCGUUAAACUCCUUCGGGCUUGGUGCCCGAGUACCUUUGAUUCGCUGCUUGGAACCUUUUAGUAUUUAUCUGAAUUUUGUUUAUCUCUGAAUGUGCUUGUGUUUGCCUUUGGAUGGACUUUGCUUGCUGCACCUCUUCGUCCUUGCGGAUAAGGAUGGAGUGGACGUUGUAUUUGUGCCGCAGCUCCGAAGGAGAAGGUGGCAGUCGACCUGCACCUCGUUGUCCUUGCGGAUAAGGAUGGAGCGGACGUUGUAUUUGUGCCACAGCUCCGAAGAAGAAGGUGGCAGUCGACCUGCACCUCGUCGUCCUUGCGGAUAAGGAUGGAGCGGACAUUGUAUUUGUGCCGCAGCUCUGAAGGAGAAGGUUGCAGUUGACCUGCACCUCAUCGUCCUUGCAGAUAGGGAUGGAGUGAAUGUUGUAUUUGUGCCGCAGCUCCGAAGGAGAAGGUUGCAGUCGACCUGCACCUCUUCGUCCUUGCGGAUAGGGAUGGGUCUCAAAAUUAGGCGAGUACUGGACUGCAGCUAAGGCCCCGAGUGGGAGGAUUGCUCUCCACUCGGUAGGAUUUUUCCAAACUUAGGCAAGUGCUGGACUGCCGUUAAGCCUCUUAGUGAGAGAACUUAGGCGAGUGCUCGACUGCAGCUAAGCCCCCGAGUGGGAGGACUGCUCUCCACUCGGUAGUUUUUUUUCAAACUUAGGCGAGUGCUGGACUGCCGUUAAGUCUCUUAGUGAGAGAACUCAGGCAAGUGCUCGACUGUAGCUAAGCCCCCGAGUGGGAGGAUUGCUCUCCACUCGGUAGGAUUUUUUCAAACUUAGGCGAGUNNNNNNNNNNNNNNNNNNNNNNNNNNNNNNNNNNNNNNNNNNNNNNNNNNNNNNNNNNNNNNNNNNNNNNNNNNNNNNNNNNNNNNNNNNNNNNNNNNNNNNNNNNNNNNNNNNNNNNNNNNNNNNNNNNNNNNNNNNNNNNNNNNNNNNNNNNNNNNNNNNNNNNNNNNNNNNNNNNNNNNNNNNNNNNNNNNNNNNNNNNNNNNNNNNNNNNNNNNNNNNNNNNNNNNNNNNNNNNNNCUAAGCCCCCGAGUGGGAGGACUGCUCUCCACUCGGUAGGAUUUUUUCAAACUUAGGCGAGUGCUGGACUGUUGUUAAGCCUCUUAGUGAGAGAACUUAGGUGAGUGCUCGACUGCAGCUAAGCCCCCGAGUGGGAGGACUGCUCUCCACUCGGUAGGAUUUUUUCAAACUUAGGCGAGUGCUGGACUGCCGUUAAGCCUCUUAGUGAGAGAGCUUAGGCGAGUGCUCGACUGCAGCUAAGCCCCCGAGUGGAAGGAUUACUCUUCACUCGGUAGAAUUUUUUCAAACUUAGGCAGAAUGGAUUCGCGACUAAGCCCACCCACUGGGGGAUUUCAGGAGUAAUUAAGAACAACCCAAUCGAAUGAGAGAACCGUAAGCUCUUGUCUUUGAUAAACGAAUUACAAAAGGUGUUGCUUAUUACAUUUUAUCCGAAUGAGUGUUUAAGUAUAAAAGGGGCGGAGCAGCUCCGCGUUCCAAGCCCGUGGCUCGUCUUUCUGAUGCUCGAUACUNNNNNNNNNNNNNNNNNNNNNNNNNNNNNNNNNNNNNNNNNNNNNNNNNNNNNNNNNNNNNNNNNNNNNNNNNNNNNNNNNNNNNNNNNNNNNNNNNNNNNNNNNNNNNNNNNNNNNNNNNNNNNNNNNNNNNNNNNNNNNNNNNNNNNNNNNNNNNNNNNNNNNNNNNNNNNNNNNNNNNNNNNNNNNNNNNNNNNNNNNNNNNNNNNNNNNNNNNNNNNNNNNNNNNNNNNNNNNNNNNNNNNNNNNNNNNNNNNNNNNNNNNNNNNNNNNNNNNNNNNNNNNNNNNNNNNNNNNNNNNNNNNNNNNNNNNNNNNNNNNNNNNNNNNNNNNNNNNNNNNNNNNNNNNNNNNNNNNNNNNNNNNNNNNNNNNNNNNNNNNNNNNNNNNNNNNNNNNNNNNNNNNNNNNNNNNNNNNNNNNNNNNNNNNNNNNNNNNNNNNNNNNNNNNNNNNNNNNNNNNNNNNNNNNNNNNNNNNNNCUCUCCACUCGGUAGGAUUUUUUCAAACUUAGGCGAGUGCUGGACUGCCGUUAAGCCUCUUAGUGAGAGAACUUAGGCGAGUGCUCGACUGCAGCUAAGCCCCCAAGUGGGAGGAUUGCUCUCCACUCGGUAGGAUUUUUUCGAACUUAGGCGGAACGGAUUCGUGACUAAGCCCACCCGCUGGGGGAUUUCAGGAGUACAUAAGAACAACACAAUCGAAUGAGAGAACCUAAGCUCUUGUCUUUGAUAAACGAAUUACAAAAGGUGUUGCUUAUUACAUUUUAUUCGAAUGAUUGUUUAAGUAUAAAAGGGGCAGAGCAGCUCCGCGUUCCAAGCCCUUGGCUCGUCUUUCUGAUGCUCGAUACUGUAAAGAUGGUAUGCUCCAUUGUGGAGAACUUUGGUGACGAUGAAGGGGCCUUCCCAAGUUGGAGCGAGCUUGUGUGGUUUCUGCUGAUCCACUCGAAGAACCAAGUCUCCUUCUUGAAAGGCCCGACCCCUCACAUUCCUGGCGUGGAAUCGACGCAAAUCUUGCUGAUAAAUGGUCGAGCGGAUCAAGGCCAUCUCUCUUUCCUCCUCUAAGAGAUCGACUAAAUCUUGCCGGGCCUGCUCCGCUUCUGCUUCGGAGAAGAGUUCAACUCGGGGUGCGUUGUGGAGCAAGUCACUUGGAAGAACAGCUUCGGCUCCAUAGACUAAGAAGAAAGGAGUUCUUCCAGUCGACCGAUUAGGAGUUGUCCUUAAACCCCACAUAACUGACGGAAGUUCAUCAACCCAAGCACCUACUGCGUGUUUGAGAUCAUGCAUCAGUCGGGGCUUCAGUCCUUUGAGAAUUAGGCCAUUGGGUCUUUCUGCUUGUCCGUUUGACUACGGGUGAGCAACAGAAGCAUAGUCGACUCGAGUGCCCUGAGAGGCGCAGAAAAUUCUGAACUCAUUGGAAUCGAAGUUUGAUCCGUUGUCCGUGAUGAUGCUGUGCGGGACUCCAUAUCUGAAUGUCAAUUCUCUGAUAAAACUGACAGCGGUGCUAGCGUCAAGGUUCUUGAUAGGUUUGGCUUCGAUCCAUUUGGUAAACUUGUCGACUGCAACGAGCACGUGAGUGAAGCCACUUUUGUCGGUCCUCAGCGGUCCAACCAUAUCCAGUCCCCAAACAGCGAAGGGCCAUACGAGGGGAAUGGUCUUCAGGGCUGACGCUGGCUUGUGAGACAUAUCAGAGUAAAAUUGACAACCUUCACAUCUGUCGACUAUAUCUUUCGCCAUCUCAUUUACUCGUGGCCAAUAGAAUCUAGCUCGGUAUGCUUUAGCCACGAUGUCCCGAGAGGACGCAUGGUGGCCACAGGUCCCCGAGUGGAUGUCAUUGAGGAUCAUUCGACCUUCUUCUGGUAUUAUGCACUUCUGACCGACUCCAGUCACACUUUCUCUGAACAGCUGCCCUCUUAUCACAGUAAAAGCUUUGGAUCGGCGGACGAUCUGUCGAGCUUCUUCUUCAUCCUCUAGGAGAUCUUUCCUGAGGAUGUAUGCAAUGUAGGGCACCGUCUAGUCGGGAGUAAUGGCCAGAACCUCCAUGAUUAGGUUGACCACAGCUGGGACCUCGACUUCAGUCGGAUCUGUGGUGCUCUUGGGUUGUGGGGGCUCUUCAGUGAAAGGGUCUUCCUAAACUGUCGGCGUGUGAAUAUGCUCCAAGAACACAUUGCUGGGAAUGGCUUCUCUCUUGGAACCUAUCUUUUCCAAUUCAUCGGGUGCUUGAUUUUUCAAUCGGGGAAUGUGGUGGAGUUCUAACCCCUCGAACUUCUUCUCAAGCUGUCUCACUGCGUUGCAGUAACCAGUCAUGGAUGAGCUUCUGACGUCCCACUCCUUCAUCACUUGAUUAACUACCAAAUCUGAGUCGCCAUAGACCAUGAGGCGACGGACGCCGAGUGAGAUGGCCAUGCGCAACCCAUACAGGAGUGCUUCAUACUCUACUUCAUUGUUGGAGGAAUCAAAGUGAAUCUGGAGGACAUAUCUGAGCUUGUCUCCUCGGGGGGAUACCAGAACUACCCCAGCACCAGAACCGUUCAACAUCUUGGAUCCGUCAAAGAACAUGGUCCAGUGCUCCGAGUGAACUUGACUUGGCAGUUGCUGUUCGAUCCACUCAGCGAGGAAAUCUGCUAUUGCUUGGGACUUGAUAGCUUUCUUUGCCUCAAACUUGAUAUCCAAGGGAAGGAGUUCAAUCGCCCAUUUUGCCACUCGACCAGUUGCAUCCCUGUUGUGCAGAAUCUCUGACAAUGGAGCGUCACUGACGACUGUAACAGAGUGAUCUGAGAAGUAGUGUGCAACCUUCUUCGUGGUCAUGUAAAUUCCAUAGACAAGCUUCUGAUAGUGAGGAUAUCUCUGCUUUGAUGGGGUCAGGACUUCGGAAAUAUAAUAAAAUGGGCGUUGAACUUUGUACGCUUUUCCUUCUUUUUCCCACUCGACCGUAAGUACUGUACUGACGACUUGUCCAAUGGCUGCUAUAUAAAGCAAAAGAGGCUCUUUGCUAAUUGGAGAAGCAAGCACCAGCUGGGUGGAAAGCAGGGCUUUUAGCUCUGCAAAUGCUGUAUCAGCUUCUGGAGUCCACUCGAACUUAUCUGAUUUCUUCAUUAGUCGGUAAAGAGGCAACGCCUUUUCACCGAGGCGAGAAAUGAAUCGACUUACGGCGGCCAAGCAACCAGUAAGCUUCUGGACAUCAUGCACACGCACAGGGCGUUUCAUUCGGAGUAUAGCGCCUACUUUCUCUGGGUUAGCAUCGAUUCCUCGUUCGGAAACAAGAAAACCGAGCAACUUUCCGCCUAGAACUCCAAACGUGCACUUUGAUGGAUUGAGCUUGAUAUCAUACCUUCUGAGGUUGGCAAAGGUUUCAGCGAGGUCGGUCAGCAGGUCGGAACCUUUACGUGACUUGACCACAAUGUCAUCCAUGUAUGCUUCCACAUUCCGACUAAUCUGAGUGAGCAGGCAAUUCUGAAUCAUUCGCAUAAAUGUGGCUCCAGUGUUCUUCAAGCCGAAUGGCAUUAUAACAUAACAGAAGCACCCGAACGGGGUGAUAAAGGCUAUCUUUAUUUCCUCGAGUAAGUACAGACGGAUCUGGUGGUACCCGGAGUAGGCAUCCAAAAAGGACAAACGCUCGCACCCAGCAGUCGAGUCGACUAUCUGAUCGAUGCGAGGGAGAAGGAAGUGAUCUUUCGGGCAGGCCCGAUUGAUAUGCUUGAAAUCGAUGCACAUGCGGAGUGAGUCAUCUUUCUUUGGGACCAUGACAACAUUGGCUAACCACUCGGAGUGGUAAAUCUCUCGGAUAAACUCACCUGCCAAAAGCCGAGCCACCUCUUCGUCGAUUGCUUCUCUUUUCUGGACGGCGGACCGUCGAAGAUGCUCUUUGACUGGUUUCACUUUCGGGUCGACUCGCAAACGAUGCUCAGCUAGUUCCCUGGGAACACCUGGCAUGUCAGAAGGCUUCCAUGCAAAGAUGUCCCAGUUCUCACGGAGGAACUGGAUGAGUGCUUCUUCCUAUUUGGAGUCGAGUGUGGUCAAAAUGUGGGUCGGAGCUGCAUUGGGGUCCGUCGGGUGGAUGUGAACAGACUUCGUCUCGCCAGACGACUGGAAUGCUAAAUCCGUGGCUGGCUUCUUGGCUCGCAACAAGGCACUCGGGUCUGCAUUUUUCUGGCAUUCUUGCAAUUCUGCCACGGCCAUCUGGGCAUCGGCGAUCUUAGAGCCCUUCUGGAAACACUCUUCCGCUUUUUUUCGAUUACCAGAGACAAUGAUCACUCCUUGGGACCAGGCAUCUUCAGUUUGAGGUACACGUAACAAGGUCGAGCCAUGAAUCGUGCAUAAGCCGGCCUGCCCAGAAUUGCAUGAUAUUCACUCUGAAAAUCCACGACUUCAAACAUCAACUUUUCUUUGCGGUAAUUUUUGGCAUCACCGAAAACCAUGUCGAGUGCAAUCUGACCGAGGGACGCAGCCUUCUUGCCCGGGAUGACCCCAUGGAAACUCAUAUGGCUUUCACUGAGUCUGGACAUCGGAAUGCCCAUUCCUUUCAACGUUUCUGCAUACAGAAUGUUCAGGCCACUGCCACCGUCCAUCAGGACCUUUGUCAGUCGAGUGCCUUCGACCACCGGGGCGACCACCAGCGCUUGCCUCCCAGGGGUGGCGAUGUGCGCUGGAUGAUCAGACUGGUCGAAUGUAAUGGCAGUCUGCGACCAUUUCAAGUAACUGGGUGUCGCCGGAGCAACCAUGUUCACUUCUCUGUUGAUGACUUUCAAUCGACUCUUGUUUUCAACAUCAGCAAAAAUCAUCAGAGUGGAAUUCACGUGAGGAUAACCAUCAUCAUCUUCUCCUUCACUCUCAGCCUUGUCUGCCUCCUUCUCCUUUUCCUUGGGCUAUUUCUCUCGGAACUGCUGGAUCAGGAGCCGACACUGUCGAGUGGUAUGCUUCGGGUAAAUGAAAUUACCUUCUUCGUCUUUUUUGGUGUGGAUAUGGCACGACAGAUCCAACACGUCAUUUCCAUCCUGAUCUUUUACUUUCUUGGGGUUCCACGGCCCUUUGGGCUUCCCCUUGAACUUUCCUUGAACCACAACAAGGCCUCACCCGGAGCAGCUGGUUCGGCCUUGCGUUUUUGUUUCCGACUGGAGUUUCCUCCUCCGGCUUCAUGGGCGACUGCUUUGUGCUUGCCGCUCCACAGUCGCUCCUCCUCUUCACCAUUGGCAUACUUGGUGGCGAUUUCAAUCAUCCGAGUCAGAGUCAUGUUUCCUGUCCGACCGAAUUUCAUAUUCAACUCCCGGUACCUGACACCUUCCUUGAAAGCACAAAUUGCCUGAUGAUCAGACACAUCUUCCACCAUGUGGUGCAGGGUGAUCCACCUCUGGAUAUAAUCUCUCAAAGUUUCAUUCGGUUUUUGGACGCAACAUUGUAAUUCUGUCAAACCUGCUGGCCGCUUGCAAGUACCCUCAAACAUUCCGACAAACACUCGGGCAAGAUCUUCCCAAGUAUAGAUGCUGUCAGGUGCCAACUGAUUCAGCCACGCCCUAGCCGAGCCCUCCAACAUCAGAGGAAGGUGUUUCAUGGCCACCUCAUCAUUGCCGCCACCAAUCUAGACAGCCACUCGGUAGUCUUCGAGCCAGGUGUCAGGCUUGGACUCUUUGGUGAACUUACUGACUCCAGUCGCCAACCUGAAGUUGGGGGGAAUCACUGCAGCUCUGAUAGCUCUGCUGAAGCACUCUGGGCCAGAGACAUGCACCCUAUUGCUGGUUUGCGGGCCUCUGUCAUGGCCAUCUCGGUGAGCUCUGUUUCUGUCGACCAAGCCUUGUACGAGAAUAGAUCUCGCAUGAAAGCCUGGCUCCCUGGGGUUGACUGGAAUACCUCUUUCGACGCUGUUGGGGCGCCUGUCUUCAUGUGGCCGCGGCACGCAUGACCCACUCCUUGGAGGAGGCAUGGGCACUCGACGGCGACCAUCACGAUCAUCUCGACAAUCAUACUGCUCCUGGUUUCUGUACUAAUCAUGCCGCUCUCCACGCCCUCAUGCCUCGGGGGCGAUCUCGGGCUAUGGGCCGACUGGACCAUAUCUGCGACCAUAGAUCUGCUAUGGAUGCUAUCCCGCGACUGAGACACAGCCGUAUUCUGCUCUCCUGCUUCCCAGAGCAAGGCCCUAAUCUACGCUAGACCUCGGCCAGCUUCUGACUGGGAAGGUUCAAUUGACUCUGCUAUCCGGGCAGCAGCUGCUAGGUUUUGGAUCGGUGUCCGGUAUACCUGAGCCGGAGGUGGAAAAAGUUGGCGUCAGCUGGACUCAGGAGCACGUUGAUGAGCGCGAUCGUCGAGUGCGCACUGGAGGUUCUCCAGCCGAGUGCGCUCAGCCAGAUUGACCAAGCGAGCCUGUUCCAAGGCCUGGGCCUCGGGCAUUUCUCCAACUAUAGGAGUAUGCAGGGCAUCCAUGUUUUGGCGACGAAGUUCUUCUCUCUGCUGCGAGGAGAGAGGCUCGGGGCGGUACUCCUCAUGAACGCGCGAUGUAUCGCCGUCCCCGUCACCUCCGUCUUCAUGAUCGAAGCCAGGAGGACCGCGUGGUCCAUUGACCAUCAGGACUUCUGCUGCCGAGUCAUUGCUGCCGCACUCGGAUGCAGUCUCUACGGAGCCAGUCGACAGAUCAAACAGGUCGUAGAGAGACUCAUCGGGCUCGAGCGCCGCGACUUGAGGGGUGGCUGACUGGCGGGCCACCGCAUGCUUCACCCACCGUUGAAUCCUCGACCGGCUGGUGCGCUUGCUCCGGCAUGUCGCAGGGAGGGGGAAAGCCAUUGGAGUCGACUGGUACUGGGUCGACGGUUGCCGCAGGAGGACGCCGCGGACGCACGCGUGAAAGUGCAUCGCCCCGCGGGCCGGGAGCGCGUCAACGUCGAGUGGUGCCUCCUGAAGCCAAGCGGAGUCGUCGGCGACAAACAAGAGCGCGCCGAGACGGAUCUCGCGGCCCUCGGCCAAACCUCCGCCUGGAACCAUGAUGAUGGGGAUCGGAAAAAUUGCAACUUCUUCAAUGAGUCGCUAAGACACCUGCCCCACAGUGGGCGCCAACUGUCGUGGAUCUAAGACUGACAGUAGAAUGGGGGGUAGGUAUGAGGAGGCAAGAUCCUAGCUAUGGAGUAGUUGUACACACGAGUUUACGAGUUCAGGCCCUUCUCGGAGGAAGUAACAGCCCUACGUCUCGGUGCCCUGAGGCGGUCGACUGGAUUAUAUGUGUGUGUGAGUUUACAAAAGUGCGAACCCUUGUCCCAGAGGAGGGGGUGGCUUAUAUAGAGUGCGCCAGGACCCCAGCUCCCCUCUGUUACACAGGGUUCAAUGCUCAUAAAGGAAAGGCGUUACUGGUAAUGUCUACAGUAAAGUGUCAUAAAUGCUCAUUAUGCUAUGGUUUAAGUCCUAACCGUUGCAGAGUGGAGGGUUCCUCAUCUUCUGGUGGUCGAGUGUCUUCAAGGUGGUCGAGUGAGCGCAUCUCCACAGUCGAGUGGAUGGUGGUUUCUCUUUGACUGCUUCUGAUUCUUUGUAAAGAUGUCCUUGGGGAGGGUAUGUUGGACAGGUCCAUGACCCUACCCUAGGUACAUAGCUUCAUCAGGGAGUCCUACUCCCACUGGGAGUAGGACUCCUCCUUCCCUUGUUGGAGUAGGAGAGAAGGAAAGAGGGGGAGAGGAACAUGGAAAAGGGGGCUGCACCCCUUGUCCAAUUCGGACCAGAGGGGGGGCGCGCGCCUCCUUCCUUUUGGCCUCUCUCCUCUAUUCCCGUAUGGCCCAAUAAGGCCCAUAUACUCCCCGGCGAAUUCCCGUAACUCUCCGGUACUCCAAAAAAUACCCGAAUCACUCGGAACCUUUCUGAUGUCUGAAUAUAGUCGUCCAAUAUAUUGAUCUUUACGUCUCGACCAUUUUGAGACUCCUCGUCAUGUCCCCGAUCUCAUCCAGGACUCCGAACUCCUUCGGUAUAUCAAAACUCAUAAACUCAUAAUAUAACUGUCAUCGAAACCUUAAGCGUGCGGACCCUACGGGUUCGAGAACAUUGUAGACAUGACCGAGACACGUCUCCGGUCAAUAACCAAUAGUGGAACCUGGAUGCUCAUAUUGGCUCCCACAUAUUCUACGAAGAUCUUUAUCGGUCAAACCGCAUAACAACAUACAUUGUUCCCUUUGUCAUCGGUAUGUUACUUGCCCGAGAUUCGAUCGUCGGUAUCUCAAUACCUAGUUCAAUCUCGUUACUGGCAAAUCUCUUUACUCGUUCUGUAAUACAUCAUCUCGCAACUAACUCAUUAGUUGGAAUGCUUGCAAGGCUUUAGGUGAUAUGCAUUACCGAGAGGGCCCAGAGAUACCUCUCCGACAAUCGGAGUGACAAAUCCUAAUCUCAAAAUACGCCAACCCAACAAGUACCUUCGGAGAUACCUGUAGAGCACCUUUAUAAUCACCCAGUUACGUUGUGACGUUUGGUAGCACACAAGGUGUUCCUCUGGUAAAUGGGAGUUGCAUAAUCUCAUAGUCAUAGGAACAUGUAUAAGUCAUGAAGAAAGCAAUAGCAACAAACUAAACGAUCAAGUGCUAUGCUAACGGAAUGGGUCAAGUCAAUCACAUCAUUCUCCUAAUGAUGUGAUCCCGUUAAUAAAAUGAUAACUCAUGUCUAUGGCUAGGAAACUUAAACAUCUUUGAUUCAACGAGCUAGUCAAGUAGAGGCAUACUAGUGACAUACUGUUUGCCUAUGUAUUCACACAUAUAUUAUGUUUCCGGUUAAUACAAUUCUAGCAUGAAUAAUAAACAUUUAUCAUGAUAUAAGGAAAUAAAUAAUAACUUUAUUAUUGCCUUUAGGGUAUAUUUCCUUCAGCAUUCAUAAUAGAUCCAUCCUUAAAACACACGUGCACACAGGGAAGAAGGGCAUUGCAGAAUUCUCCAUGCUUGCUUGGCCAACAACGCUUGAUUAAAAGCUUCGCAAUCCCUAAAACCCAUACCCCCUUCUGUCUUGGUUGUGCACAUUUUGUCCCAAGCAAUCUAAUGCACUUUCCUUUUAGCAUUUACUGCACCCAACCAGAACUUCGACGAGAUUGUAGUCAGGUUCCGACACAUCUUCUUUGUGAGUUGAAAACAACUCAUGGUGUAGGUCGGUGUUGAUUGCAAUCUGAAGGAAAUAUGCCCUAGAGGCAAUAAUAAAGUUGUUAUUUAUAUUUCCUUAUAUCAUGAUAAAUGCUUAUUAUUCAUUCUAGAAUUGUAUUAACUGGAAACUUAGUACAUGUGUGAAUACAUAGACAAAACAGAGUGUCCCUAGUAUGCCUCUAUUUGACUAGCUCGUUAAUCAAAGAUGGUUAAGUUUCCUGACUUGUAACAUCCCAAAUUUUCAAUUUGGAAUGUUAUACAUAGGUCAUCAUAUGCAUAUCAUAUUUUAUUUGCAUCUCGUUUGGGAUCCUAAAAAUCCUAAGCAACUCAAGGACCCACGGAGAGAGUUGGGGAUUUCACUAUUUUCAUAUUUGAAAUUUUCUCAAAUUUAAAUAGAGGAUCACUUUUGUUUUAAUAUUUUUCUCUCUGAAAUAUUUCCAAUAUAAAAAUAAAAGAGAGGAGAUAAAAUGACUUCUCCAAAAUAAAGGAAAUAUUGGAGGAAAAAUGUUAAAAUUAAAUAAUUAUUUUAUUUGGAUUUUAUUGCUAUUUUAUUUGAAUUAGAAAAAAUAUGCAUUUUUUAAAUUGCAUUUUAGGCCAGAAAAAUGUUCACUUAGUUCUAAAUAUUCUAUUUAGAUGGUGAAUUUUUUUUUGGCAUUUUUAGAAAAUUUUAUAUUUAUUUAGGAUUUUCUUUGGCAGAUUAAAAAAAACUCCCGGACCGAACUGGGCCGAAGCCCAGCCGGCCCGCUCGCGCCACCGACUCCGUGCCGCCGGUGGACUCCGCCGCCGCGCCCCCAUGCCCAAGCAGCCCCCUGAGGCCUUUAUAAGACGCCCACCGCCGCCCCUCUCCACCUCGUCCCGCCUCGCCGCCACCAGCGCCGCCGCCGCUGCCCCGNNNNNNNNNNNNNNNNNNNNNNNNNNNNNNNNNNNNNNNNNNNNNNNNNNNNNNNNNNNNNNNNNNNNNNNNNNNNNNNNNNNNNNNNNNNNNNNNNNNNNNNNNNNNNNNNNNNNNNNNNNNNNNNNNNNNNNNNNNNNNNNNNNNNNNNNNNNNNNNNNNNNNNNNNNNNNNNNNNNNNNNNNNNNNNNNNNNNNNNNNNNNNNNNNNNNNNNNNNNNNNNNNNNNNNNNNNNNNNNNNNNNNNNNNNNNNNNNNNNNNNNNNNNNNNNNNNNNNNNNNNNCCGCCGCCAUUUUUUUCUCGGUUCUCAUCGGUUUAUUUUGGUAAAUCCUAGAUCUAGAUCGCUUUUUUAAUAGAUCAGUUUUCUCGGUUUUCCCCCGGUUAGAUCAGUUUUUCUCGGUUUAGAUCUAUUCCGUGAACAUUCAUUCGUUUAGUUCUUAUAACAAACGAAUUCGUUCGUUUGCCUCUGUUAGCGGACGCUCGUCUGAUAGAUUUUCCUUUUUCUGUUUUAUUUUCACUAGGGACCUAUCCGCGAUUACUUUUAUCGCAGAUUAGCCCCUGAUCUUCAAACCCUCGCAAAUUUUCAACUCUUUGUCCAAAUCCAGUGAAACCAACGCCAAAAUCUUCGUCUUGAAGCCCUCUUUCUAGUUAAUUAACGUGAACAUGAUUUUGAAAAUUUAAAAUUUGGUUUCAAGCAGAUUUGAAUUCGAAGUUCUUUUCAUCGUAGUUUGAGUUUCGUAGCUCCGAUUCGAUUGAUUAUUUUUGCAAAUCGAAGCUCUUCAGUUGAACUUUCCAUUUGGAUCUGUUUAUUUGAGUUUUACCCUUGCAUCUAUGCUUGAGUGCUUAUGUAUGAUAUUGUUUGUUUGUGAUAGAAUUUCCGGAGUGCGAAGCAUGCUACUACGAGUCUCUAGGGUUUGCAUAUCGUCAGCAAGGCAAGUAACACUUUGAUCAUACUUGUUCAUUACCCAGUUUUUAUGCAUUAGUUCCAAUCCUCAAACAUCGCAUGAGUAGGAUCUCUUAACAUGUGGGUAUUGGGAAGUAGAUGAUGAGGUAGAACGUAUUGCCUUUUAUUAUCAAACCCUGGGAGUUACUUCUACGUUAUGCUUAUACUGCUAUGCUAUGCUCGCAGACGUGGAUUGGUUGAGUGUAUCCAUGACAGAUGUGAGAGUUGUUACUUAAGGGUUAACUUAAGGUGGUUACUUAAAUACACAUCUGGGUGGAUUGGUUGCGGGCACCUGGAGAAUCCAGUGUUGUCCUAGGAUAUCCCGGAGUACCCGUGUGAUCAUCCUAUGGUUUGGCACCUAGGCUCAAAGGGAUCAUAAGAUUAUUCAUGCUAGAAACUUCCGUGUGCAGCCACAAGCCAUUAUGGGCUCUGGCAUAGUUGAGUAUGUUGCGUGACCUCUUUCAGUGAUAGGCUAGGAGAUGUAGGGGAAAGUAGGUGUAACUGUCUACCCAGAGUAAAGAGUUAAUGCUUCUGAAAGAUUGUGUCUCGGUCAUCCGUUUCUCAAACAACAUGUAGUGCGAGAAAUCCAAUGGAGGAGAUCGAGUCUUGUGGGGAAAAGUGCGCAAACCUCUAUAGGGUGUACAAACUAAUCAUGGUUAGCCGUGUCCCCGGUUAUGGACAUCUUGAAUAUCUGGUUCUUGGAUUAUCAUGUUGAUCUCAACACUCUAAAUUAAUUUUUUGGGUUAUUAAUACUGCUUAAUUGGGAUUGAGUUGGAGGAACCUUCUUAAUGUUCCAUGAUAGUUAAAAAAAUAUCCCUUUGUUGUAGGGAAAAAUUGGCUUUUUGCAAAAACAUUAUAACCAUAGAGCCUCCACCAGCCAAAUAUGCAUAUAGUUAUAGAAUUUACCUGUUCAUUUGCUCUACAGUGUUAUAUUGCCAGCAUAUUCCAUGUGCUGACCCGUUUUCGGGCUGCAACGUAUGAUGUUGCAGACUUUUCAGACGAAGAUUAAGGUGUGCUAGGUCGCUGUCGUGCACUCAGCUAAGUCGUUCGAGUUGAUGGACUCACAUUAUCUUCCAAGCCUUCCGCUGUUAUCGUAUUUAGAUGACAUUAAGCCAUAUUAUUGUAAUAAGUACUCUUUUAUGAGUUAUUCGAUGUAAUAAGUGUGUGAUUGCAACUGUGUUAUAAAUCCUUCAAGUAUUGUGUGUGUCAGCAUUAGCGAUCCAGGGAUGACACUUAUGCACAGAGAUUUGACCGUCUGAGGUCGGAUCACUAUAAGAUGGUAUCAGAGCACACACUGAUUGGAGGACGCGACUACUAAGAUAAGCCAUAGGUCACUCUUCUCUACUCAUUUCUGACUCCUCUCCAUUUUCCACUCUAUAGAUGGUAGACCCAAGGAACAAGUUUGCACAACCGGAUGAAGACACGCCUUUUGGACGACACUUGAAGGAAGUCACUAGGUACCUGAACAUCGGAAUACCAAGCUUCACCGGGACCUACACCGCCACUUUACCAGAAGAGGAGCGCUGGAUGAUUCGAGUUCAUGUUCCAGGAAGGACGUUCACGCCAGUUACUGAACCCAUAGAGUUUUCCUUUGAUGCACCAACCUGGAGUCUAGGAAAGAGCAUGGCAGCCCACAUUGCCAUGGGACGCAUCGGCGAAGUUUAUCACAAGGAUCUUAAGGACACAAUCUACCGGAUAUGUGGGCGCCGAGAUGAGCAAUGGGAGAUGAUUAGCACCAGGAGGGACAGGUCCAUUGCAGCCUUCAUCCAGGAGUUAAACCAGCACAUUCGUCGCCAGGAGAACCAAAUGUGUGCAAGCAUGAUAGAUCUAAAGAAGUUGAUGACUAGGAACAAGGAGCUUGAAGAGGAACUCAAGUCUACACGAGAUGGAUAUGAGAAGGAAAUCACAAUACUAGUAGAAAAGAACGACGACCUGACAAGGAAGCUAGGAGUAUUCAUGGGAGCCCCCGCGCCAGGAGGAGAUGACGACCAUCCCAAGGACUACAUCAUCAUCGACGACACCGACUCCGACCCCGACAGUAGUGAUGAUGACUACGAAGACGAAGUUGGAGCAGAUAUCAUGGAGUCUUCCACUGAUCAAAAUUUCUAGAUGACCACCAUAUUAGUAGUAGUAUUUCCCCCAUGUAUAUAGUAGUAGUCCGAGUAUUUUGUAACUGUAGCUAGAUCGACUGUAUGCCCUUGUUUGAAUUGAGUGGUGUGAUAUGAAUGUGUUUGUCUCAUGUGCAUAUGGGUAGUGCUUUCUCUUUAGACCUCAUUCUAUUCUAAUCUCUCCCCUCUAAACCCAUCAGAUGCCUCCGAGGCGUGACCCCGGAUUUGUCUUCCCACCGGAGCUCACAUAGUUGAUCCAACAUCAGAAUGCCUUGAUGCAGCUACUACUCCAGAACCAAGGCAACAACAACAACAACAACAAUAACAACAACCAACCACCACCACCUCUAGUGGACAACCUAGCCCGUUUUCUAAGGUUGAAUCCGCCGGUGUUUUCUAGUAGCACUGAGACGAUUGUUGCUGAUGCCUGUCUACGUAGGAUUGGAAGGGAGUUGACCACCGCAGGUUGCACAGAUGUAGAGAAGGUGCACUUUGCCGCACACCAAUUGGAUGGACCCGCAGCCUCAUGGUGGGAGAAUUACACAACCACUUUUCCCAUAGCCAAUGUCACAUGGGACCAGUUUCAGCAAGCAUCUCGCACAGCCAUGUCUCAACUGGAGCUAUGAAUAUGAAGAAGCGUGAGUUUCGCGACUUGCGCCAGGGAAACCGUACUAUGGGGCAGUACAUGGAUGAGUUUAGCAAGUUAGCCCAUUAUGCCCCAGAUGAUGUGGCCACAGAUGCCGCGAAGCAGGAGAAGUUUAUGGAAGGACUGAAUGAUGAGAUGAGUAUGCAGUUGAUGGUGGCAGCAUUCACUAACUACCAGGAGUUGGUAGACCGGGCCCUGAUGAUUGAAAACAAACAGCAGCAGAUAGAGAGCCGCAAACGGAAGUAUGGAUAGGGGAAUUACAAUUCUGGAGCUUAGCAAAAGCCUCGCUUUACCCCUAACUCCAGAGGUUACACCCAUAACCAUGGAGGACAUACUCACAAUGGAGGAAGUUCGCAUAACCACAAUGGUCCCAAGAAUGGGAAUGGAAAUGGAGGAAGCAGCAGCCAGAACCGUUCCAACCCAGCAACGCCCGCCAAGAAGGAUCUAAGUCACAUUACUUGUUUCAAGUGCGGGAAGACUGGACACUACGCCACCGAAUGUUCCGAAGCAAAGAAUGGAAAUGGCAAUGGAAGCUCUAGGAAGAAGCCCAACCCUUUCAACAGGGGACUGAUACAUCCAUUUUGCAUCAUGCUUUUAUAUCGAUAUUUAUUGCAUUAUGGGCUGUUAUUACACAUUAUGUCACAAUACUUAUGCCUAUUCUCUCUUAUUUUACAAGGUUUACAUAAAGAGGGAGAAUGCCGGCAGCUAGGAUUCAGGGCUGGAAAAGGAGCAAAUAUUAGAGACCUAUUCUGCACAUCUCCAAAAGUCUUGAAACUUCAUGGGAGCACGUUUCAGAAUAUAUAAAAAAUAUUGAGUGCAAGAAGUACCAUAGGGGGGCCACUCACCAGCCACGAGGGUGGGGGCGCGCCCUACCCCCCUGGGCGUGCCCCCUGCCUCGUGGGCCCCCUGGUGGACCUCCGAUGCCCAUCUUCUACUAUAUGGAGUCCUUUGUUGAGGAAAAAAUCAUAAGCAAGCUUUCGGGAUGAGACUCCGCCGCCACGAGGCGGAACCUUGGCGGAACCAAUCUAGGGCUCCGGCGGAGCUGUUCUGCCAGGGAAACUUCCCUCCGGGAGGGGGAAAUCAUCGCCAUCGUCAUCACCAACGAUCCUCUCACCGGGAGGGGGCCAAUUUCCAUCUCCAUCAACAUCUUCACCAUCACCAUCUCCUCUCAAACCCUAGUUCAUCUCUUGUAUCGAAUUCUUGUCUCUAAGUCUGGGGUUGGUACCUGUGGGUUGCUAGUAGUGUUGAUUGCUCCUUGUAGUUGAUGCUAGUUGGUUUACUUGGUGGAAGAUCAUAUGUUCAGAUCCUAUAUGCACAUUAAUACCCCUCUGAUUAUGAACAUGAAUAUGCUUUGUGAGUAGUUACAUUUGUUCCUGAGGACAUGAGAGAAGUCUUGGUAUUAGUAGUCAUGUGAAUUUGGUAUUCGUUCGAUAUUUUGAUGAGAUGUAUGUUGUCUCUCCUCUAGUGGUGUUAUGUGAACGUCGACUACAUGACAGUUCACCAUUAUUUGGGCCUAGAGGAAGGCAUUGGGAAGUAAUAAGUAGAUGAUGGGUUGCUAGAGUGACAGAAGCUUAAACCCUAGUUUAUGCGUUGCUUCGUAAGGGGCUGAUUUGGAUCCAUAUGUUUCAUGCUAUGGUUAGGUUUACCUUAAUACUUUUGUUGUAGUUGCGGAUGCUUGCAAUAGAGGUUAAUCAUAAGUGGGAUGUUCGUCCAAUUAAGGGAAACACCCAAGCACAGGUCCACCCACAU